rnacentral:lncRNA from 1 species
UAACACUAUCUUCAGAGAUUGCAAUAAAAUCUCUAACACUAUCUUUAGAGAUUGUAAUAAAAUCUAUAAAAUCUGUGAGAUGAGAUCUAGAGAACUAUUGAAUAACUUCGUUCUCUUUCUUUCUUCGUGCAGGUUGCUAGAGUUUCACCUUCUUGUCUCGAUGUUACUCUUUCGGAUCUCAGUCUCUCAGUCUCAAGUGAAUGCCGAAUGAGGAUAUUUGCAGAACGCACUCCAACGCUAAAGUCAGCAAAAGGGAUAUUCGACACUCGGGAGUAUACUGUGAUAAUGACGUACCUUGUUCUUGAAAUGUGCGUUAUUUAUAUUAUUUUAAUGAACUUACCUUAUUAAGCCGGAUUAGUGAGGUGGAUCACACUUAGAAACGUAUUACCUAAUUCUUUUUUACAGUUUAGCUUUCUUGACCAUGAUUGAACAAUAAUGAUUUCAAUAACCUGCACGUCUGUGCAAAGUUCGGUCAGCUCAAUCAAGGAGACCGAGCCAUAAUAUUUAGAGACCGAGUUAUGGUAUUGGACCCGUAGGAAAUGUUUCUUAAAAUUCAAAUCCAUCCAAAACUUUUACAGAUACUAAUUGCUUCUACUGUUACAUAAGUUGUGUCGGUGAAAUAAAUUAUGCGAUAAGGAAUGCUAAUAAUUCAUAUUUUCUACGUACCUCACCAGAGUGGAUGUUUGCGUUUAUAGAGCAUUCACUGUCAGAAUCUAAAGCAAAAAGCCAAAAAUAAAUAAUUCACAAUCUUUCCUGAUACUGGAACAAAAUCUGUCUCCAUUUUAUAUAAUUUAAUUUAAUAAUUACGAAUAUUAAAAAGUUAAACCCCGUUAUAUUUUUGGAGAUUCAUCAGGAAAAUUAUGAAACCAAUUAACCAAACGCAGUAAAGUGUUGGUUUUUCCGUUUCACUUUGAGGGCAAACGUUCGAAAACACAGUUUUGUGAGGCGUAACAGAUUAUUGGUUCUGAUAGAACAUUUGUUUUAUAGGUUUUAAACAGAAAAACAGAGAGAAGGGGAUUUCCCAGCGUUCAUGGCAACCCUCUUUUUCCUCUUCUGAUGCAAACAAACAUGUUAUUUUUAAGAAACCAUUCAAUCGUCUAAUUCUUCUAGGGCCAUUUGCAAGAACCAAAUCAAUCAAAUAUAUAUAUAUUAGAAGAAAGCAAAAGAGGAAAUGAAAAGGGAAAAAAUUGUGGAAAGAAGAAUCACGAAUCCUUGGAUUGCGCCUUAAAUUAAGAUCAAAGUAAUCUGAAAUAGUAGACACUGCAACCGUUCAAAAACUCAUGAUGGCAAGUUUCCUUAACCUGGGCAGAUCACCAUAGCUUUUUGGUUAAUAUUUGAUUAAUUUAUGAUUAUGUUACCCUUUUGGACUAAAACCAUAUGCUAAAUUGCAUCUCAUAGUGUAUCAUCAGCAGAAGGCAUUACGGCAAUAAAGUCCAAUAAUAGUGCCACAUAAUAUUAAAAAGUGAGACACGGAAACUGGACCCCAUUUUCUUGCCACUGCUCAUUCUACGUUGUUUUUGUCCUCUUCAUCAUUUUUCAACCAGUUUCCUGUUCUUUUUCUUCCUUCAACUCUCCCCAAAACCAGUAUUUUAUACUUACUUCAAGUGCGGCUUCGUUUUUGGCUAAGGAAGAAUAACGCCAAGGUUUUAGGCCUGGUUUUGACCAAGUGAAGAAAAGGAUCAAAUUGACCUUUUUUUUCAGGGUUUUCCUUGUAUUGGGCAGAAAAUGAAUGGGGUUGAGGGUGAGAAGCGGGAAGAGAAUGGAAAUGAGAAAAUGGGUUAUGAUGUGCAGGAGAAAAUAGACUAUGUGUUUAAGGUGGUGGUGAUAGGGGACUCAGCAGUUGGCAAGACUCAAAUACUGUCAAGGUUUGCAAAGAAUGAGUUUUGCCUUGACUCUAAGUCCACCAUUGGUGUUGAAUUCCAGACUAGGACUGUCACUAUUAAUGCCAAACUCAUCAAAGCCCAGAUCUGGGAUACUGCUGGCCAAGAAAGGUUCAUCACAUUCUCUCUCUCUUUAUAUAUGUAUCACUCAUUCAUGUUUGUGUUUGAUUCUUUGUCUACUUUUAUGCUCAUUUUGCUUUGAAGACAUUGAGUUUCAAUGAUGGUACGGAACAGAUUCAAAGGUUUAUUAUAUUAUUGAUUAUUCAACGUGAUUCCAAUUUGACUUAGGAAACAUAUAUGGCCAAGAAGCACAUGAUCUUGACUUUUGUUUUAUAGGUAUUUCAUUUUCCUUGAUUAGGUCCCAAAAGUCACAUUAAGGUUCCAUAUAAGGUUUUGGUAAAAUGUAAUGCUUCUUAACACCUAAGCUCAUUCAUAUUGGUAUAUUCUACAUGUUUGCCUGUCUCUGAAAAGUUCAUUAGAAUCCUAUGGAUUCAAAAUUGCAAACUGUGUGCGCUAAUGAUAAAGGAAAAUGUUAUGGUAUGCGAUGAAUGAGAAAGGAAAACAUCUUAAAGUUGUUCUUUAAUAGAUCAUGAGCGCAACACAAAAAUAAACAUAGACUCAUGGAUCAUUCUCAAAUAUGAUACUGAAAAAUAUAUCUAUAACACAUGAUCAUUUUGGAGCAGAUAAAUUGUUACAUAUUUAACAAACUAUAUGCUUGUAAAUUUUGAUGGUGAUGUAGGUACAGGGCUGUAACAAGUGCAUACUACAGAGGUGCAUUAGGGGCAAUGCUGGUCUACGACAUAACAAAAAGACAAUCAUUUGACCAUGUUGCUAGGUGGGUUGAGGAACUGCGUGCACACGCAGAUAGCUCCAUUGUGAUCAUGUUGGUUGGUAACAAAGCUGACCUUGUGGACCAGAGAGUGGUGACAACUGAAGAUGCAGUGGAGUUUGCUGAGGACCAAGGUCUCUUCUUCUCUGAGACUUCAGCUCUCAGUGGUGACAAUGUGGAGAGUGCAUUCCUCAAGUUGCUAGAAGAGAUCAAUAGUGUAGUGUCUAAAAGGUCAUUGGAAUGUGGUUGUGGGAAGGUGAACAGUGCCAACAAUUUUGCCUCAUUCAAGGGAACUAAGGUUGAUAUACUCUCAGGUCCUGAAUUGGAAAUUAGUGAGAUGAAGAAAUUGUCUUCUUGCUCUUGUUAAUAUUGCUAUUGAGAUUUAACACAGUGUAUUUGAUUUUAAGUUUGGAAAAAAAGAGCAGAGCCACAAGUAUAUNNNNNNNNNNNNNNNNNNNNNNNNNNNNNNNNNNNNNNNNNNNNNNNNNNNNNNNNNNNNNNNNNNNNNNNNNNNNNNNNNNNNNNNNNNNNNNNNNNNNGGAAAGCUAAAUAGAUUCAUUUGCUAUUGUUUUCCAUGCUAAUUCUUGAAGAGUAAUAGUUCUCCUGCUGCAUCAAGAUUAUGAAUCAUUACAGUUAUAGCACAUUUACUAAAAAUGUGUGCUGAUAGAUAUUUGUAAUAUUGUCUCGAUUAUAAACAUAUAUCUGGUAUUUAUUUAGAACAUUCACCUAAAAUGUAAAUUCUGUAUUAAAAAUGUGUUUUAAGUUCUUCCCUCUAAAAGAAUGUUUUGCUCUAACAAAAAAGAUGGUUUGCUGUAUACUGUAACUGUGAGAAAAAGAAAAAAAAUAAAAACAUAAGUGUUUGGAUGCUUCAUGUAUAAAUUAAUAGCUUAAUUCACCAUUUGAUUUCUCUAAUUUAGUUUGUGAUCAAUUUUAGUCUCUCGAUCUUUAAAUGUUGAACUCCACCUUAAAAUGUCACAUCAACUUAAUCUUUUUUUAAGGAUACAAACUUUUUUUAUUCUUAUAUAUUAUAGUAAAAAAAUUAUUUGUUUGGUUGAGAAAAAGUUUAUUUAUUUUCUUUAUUAAGAGUAUUUUUUUUUUGUCAUUUUUAGAAAAAGAUUAAGAUUAGUGUGAAAGCAUGUUGGGGGAGGGGGAAGAGGAAGUGGUUGCAUGUGGAGUGGGGAGAAAAAGAAUUUGGGUAAAGAAGAAGGGGGUGGAAGUAAUAUGAGGGAUUAAUUUUAAAUAAACAAAGUUAAACUUAAGCUUAUAGAAUGACUAUUUUAAAUCAACUUAUAAAUAUAAAUAAUCAAAUUAAAUCUUUUAAAAAAUAUGAAGAACCAAACCCAAUAAAACAUAAAAGAUAAAUGACAUUAUGUAUAAUUUAACCUUUGAAUAAGAGUUUGAAAAUGAGAAAAAUCAUUGAAAAAAUAAAUUUGCCAAAAAAUGACUAGAAACUAAAUUUACAUAUCAUUGAUAAUACAGGAAUUGAGCCUAUAGAGGUGCCACUAAGCCUAAAUUAAUUUAGGAGUGGGUUAAAGUAGUAUCUCAAAAAUGGUUGUUUUUUCUAUCACCUUAACAAAUUUCUUCCUGCACACCAUCAUUUUCGAAGAAUACUGUUUUAUUCCUUUUAAAAAUUGUUUUUUCAAAAAUAUUUCCAAAACAUAUUUUCUGAAAUAUAUUUUAUUAAUUCCGGAUUUACCAUCCAGAAAUAAAAAAAAUGUAUUCUAGAAUGAUUUUUGUCUUCCAAAUUUCCUAUUUUGGAAACACUCUUUGCUUAUAGAAUUCUUGUUCCGAAGUUUUUUUUCCUUAUGGAACCCCUACUCCAAAAUCACAUAAAACUGUGAAAAGAUAAUUUUGAUAUUUUAAAGAAUGUAGGAGUGCAGGAAGAAAAAUAUAGGGGUGCAGGAAGAAACUUCCCUAAAAAAUAAACUUUUGAUAGUUUUAGGACAUAUUGAGAGGUUUUGUUACGUAUAGAGUCUAAUUUUAUGCCAAUGAAAAAAUAAAAAAAUGUCAAAACUUAAAUUAUUUUAAAAAUAUAAAUAUAGGUCCAUAAUAAAUGAAAGAACAUGGCUGCUUCUUCCUGCACCUUCAUACCUUCUUGUGCCACCCCAUAAAUUUUUCUUAUUCCAAAAAUAUCCUUUUCAAUAUUCCGGAUUACAUAAUCCGGAAGUCUUUUUAUAGAUUCAGAAUUAGCUUCUGGAUUAUGUAAUCCAGAAGUCUUUUGUGAUUAGCUUCCGGAUUACAUAAUCCAGAACUCUUUUCUAUACAUAAGAUUAACUUCCGGAUUAUGUAAUCCGGAAGUUUUUUUUUUCAGAUGUGUUAUUAGCUUCCGGAUUACAUAAUCCGGAAGUCUUUUCUAAAUAUGAAAUUGACUUCCAGAUUAUGUAAUCCGGAAUUUAUCCGGAUUACAUAAUUCAUAGGCUUAUUAUUUCAAAUCUAAGGGAUGAAAAAAAAGGAUAAAAUGGUAUUUUCAUAUUUAGUAUGGGGGUGGCACAAGAAGGUAUGGAGGUGUAGGAAGAAAGAGUCAAAGAACAUAGCCUAUAUAAACUUGCACCUGUAAUGGGCCAUUCCUCUUUUGAAGAACGUAAUGGACCAUUCCAUUUUUUUCUCUUUUUUUGUGAGAAAUAAUGGCUCAUUCUUGCACUUUUCACUACGUGCUUCACCGGUUAUUAUAUACUCAAUUUCUUCCUACACCUCUACCUCUAUAGUUUCUUCUUUACUUUCAUAAUUAUUUUAAUUCUAAAAAUAUCCUUCUGAAUUUUAUCUAUAAUGACCAACAAUUUCUUCCUACACCUCUAUAGAAAAAUAACAUUACUUUUCUCAUUUUUAUCCUUAAAUAAAAUAAAAUAACAAUUUUGUUUUAUUUUAGUCUGUAAAUUUCUAUUAGUUUUAAAUUUUUUAAAGAAAGAAAAAAGUAAUAAAUUUUUAAUAUUACAUACAAAAUUAACAUAUUAUAAUUAUUAAUUCUUAAAAAUAUAAAAUAUAAAAUAUAUUGUAUUAUUUUCACCCUACUGAAAUCUCUAUUUAUGAUUUAUUAAAAGUAAAUCAUUUUACAAUCAAUUAAAAUUACAAUAUGGAAUUAAUAUAUAGAAAAUAAAUUAUAAACUUUUAAGUAAAAUAUAUUAUUUUUUAUAAAAAUACAAUGUUAGAAAUUAAAUUAUUUGAUUGAAAAAUUAAAAAUAAGAAAUUUCGUAAAUAUUUUUAAUAUAAGAAAAAUAAAUUCUAAUAAGAUAUGAAAGAUAGAAAUGAAAAAAAAGUAACUAUAAACUGAUGGUGCUACAUGUGUUUAACUUUUGAAAAAUAGUGUAAAAAUUUAUGAACUAUGGUACAUAUUAGGAAUAGAUUAUUAUGAAGACAAAAUUGCAAUAUAAUUUGUUCAAGACAAUAAGGUAGGCGACCUCACUCUCUAGAACACUCAAGGUGGCAAAGAACAAGUGUGUUCUUAUGCCUGUGAGAUGAUAAUGAUGCAUUUUCAUAUGGUGUCCUUUGAUAUAUACUACAAAUCUUUUCUUUACUUUUAUGUAUCUAGUCCUAUUAUGGGCUUCAUUCACUAAUAAAUGCACAAUUUUUCGUUGAUGUUGAUUGUCUGUUGGUCCUUUAUUUGAAUUGAUAAGUCAUAAAUUCCUUAGGUACUAUCUUCGGAAACAGUUCCUCUACACACUGCUUUGGGUUCGACCCAUGACUCAACAACCUCCCAACCUCAGGCCUCAAGCCUAUGAGGCUAAGUCAAACUCCGUGACAUCCCGCCUAUCAUUAGGGCUGACUUUUGAUCUUGAGUGUUUUUCGUCAUACCCUUUGGGGGAACCAUCUUGAUAGUACACUGCAUCGUGCCCGACCCAUGACGCUACAACUUCCCAACCUCAGGCCCAAGCCUAUGAGGCUAAGAAGUCAUACUUGCAAACUUUCAUUGUACGUUCGUUUCUCGAGUUUGACUGUCUUAUAGGAAUAUGCACCUCAUUUAAUACCUUCUGUUAUGCAUCACAUCAAGUGUCCCUUCCUGUACCUGACCAUCCACGUGUCCCCUUUAGAUUGGCACAUAUACUAAACUAAAAUCUUCAAACUCGGUUGCCAUCACUUGUACUUUAGCCAAGUAUUUUGUUAAAUAUGGGUCCCUUAUUUGAAAGUUUCCAGCCACCUGCUUGGUCAUUAGCAGGGAAUCGCUUCUCACCACAUCCCUGCUAUUAAAGCUUCGUAUUUUGUCUGAUUGGUGCUCGCUCUGAAAGCAACUUGAGGGAUUGUUCUAUUAGGACUCAAUCUGGUCCUUCCAGUAUUACUUUCGCUCCACUACCUUUGCAUUGGACGCCCCAUCCACUGAUAAGAUCCAUUUUCCCAAACCUUCUUGAGUAUGCUUUUCCUCUCCAAGUGUUAGCUUGCGACAAAAUUGGCCAAGGCCUACAGCUGAAUUGCACCCCUACUUUCAAACGAGAUUCCAUAUUCCAAAAAUUGUACUGCCUAUUUUAUCAUUCUUCUCGCCAAGUCCUACUUUUGUAAAACUUUUCUAACUGGUAAAUUGAUUUAACAAUGCUUUGGAAAAUUUGGAAGUAAUACCUUAGUCGCCUUGUUGUAAUCACGAUGGCUAAGAGCGCCUUUUCCAACUUUUGAUACCUUCCUUUUGCUCCCUUAAGUAUUCGGAUCAUGAAGUAUAUUGGCUUAUGCUCUUUUCCUUCUUCUUGUGUAAUUACCGUGCCCACAACUUUAUUGACUACACAUAGAUACAAGUAGAUGUGUGAUACGACCUGCGACUUUACAAGUAUAGAUGGAGAUGCCAAUAUCUUUUUUAAAUUUUGAAAGGCUUCUUCACACUCUGUCCACAAAAAAUGAUUGUUCCCCAUCAAACACUGAAAAAAAGAAAGUGAUUUUUCUCCUGCCUUUGGGAUAAACCUUGAUAAGGACGUUAAUCUUCCUGUUAACGGUUGCACCUCCUUCACUGAGGUCAAACUCCGCAUGUUGAUAAUUGUUGCACAUUUCUCUGGAUUCAUUUCAAUCCCUCUCCGAGUUAGCAUGAAGUCUAAUUUUUUUUCAGCCUGUACCCUAAAAACACAUUUUUCUGGGUUCAACUUUAAUUUGUAUUUGUCUAGUGCUUGAAACAAUUACCUAAGGUCUUCUAUGUGCGUACUAGCCAUUGCAGAUUUUACUACCAUAUCAUCAACAUACGCCUCUACAUUCCUCCCUAGCAUCCCUUCCAAGAUCUGAUCCAUCAAACAUUGAUAUGUUGACCCUGCGUUUUUCAAUCUAAACGGCAUUACCGAGAACCAAAAAUUUGACAAGCUUCCCAUAAAUGUUGUUUUAUCCUGAAUAUGCAUCCAUAAAACUUAACAAUUUGCACCCUGAGACUCCAUCCACCAAAGCGUCAAUGUUUGGUAAUGGGUAUGCAUCUUUAGGACAUGCCUUAUUCAACGCUGUAAAGUCUGUACACAUCCUCCAUUUGUCGUUGCUCUUCCUCACCAACACCACAUUUGCCAACCAAAGUAGGGUACUGUAUUUCCUUGAUGUAUCAUACUUUUCAGCUUUUCUACUUGCUAAUCUACUAUUAGCCUCUUCUCUUCUCAUGCUUUCUCCUUUUCUCUUCUCCUAGCUUUCACCUUUUUUGUAUCACUAGUUUCAUCUUUGGGUCAAUAGAUAAAUGUGGCAAAUGACGUCUGUGUCCAUUUCCGACAUCAAAUACCGACCAUGCAAGGCACUUACAUUUUCCUUCAGACACUCAAUCAAUUCUUUCUCCAAUCCAACAUCCAUUUUAAUUCCAAUUUUCACACUCUUUUCCUUACUCAACUUUAUGGUUUUCACCUCCCCUACUGGUUGUGGCUUUUCUUCCUCAUAGUCUAUUCUUAGAUCCAACUCUACUUCCUCCCCACUCCGUUUCCUUUCUCAACAUGCAAGCACCUCUUUCUACUCUUUAAACUCCCCUCAUAACACUUUCGUGUUGCCCUUUGGUCUACUUUUAUUACCCCUAUUCUCCCUUUGAUCGGUCGGGUAUUUAAAUUUCAAAUGCAUUGAUGACACCACUCCCCCAACUUACUUAUCAUCGGCCUCCCUAACAACAUGUUAUAAGAAGAGGGAGUAUUGACGACCAUGUACUUGAUGCUAAUUGUUUUGGCCUCGUCCUUUUCUCUGAACGUUGUCGAGUCUCAAAGUAACCACACAUUUGUACUGCAUCGUCCGAGAAACCCACCAGUACCCCAUCAUAUGGUUCCAAAUCAUCAAAGCGAGCCUCCUAGAGCCACAAAUGAAUCCCAAAACAACACAUCUGCUAAUGAACCCUGAUCCACCAACACCCUGUGAACUCGCUGACAUUUCAUUAUGACAGAUAUCACGAUUGGGUCAUUGUCAUGUGGAAAAACAUCCCUUAAGUCUUCCUUCAUAAAAGUCAGAGAUGGCAUACACACCUUCUCCACUGCCAGAUGCAUUACCGACCGAGUAUACCUCUUUCGCCCUGCACUCGACACUCUUCCUCCCAAGAAUGCUCCAAAAAUGGUGUUUAAUUCACCCAGAUGCCUUUUCAUGUUCUUCGUUCCUCCCUUUGUCUCUUUCACUCUUCUUUUCAGGGUUAUCCUUCGACUUCUCCUUUCCUUCACCACCUUCUUCCACCUCUUUCUUCUUAAAACUCUACAAAAGCCCCUUUUAAACAACACCUCAAUCUGCCUAGCAAGAGAAUAACAAUGUUCGGUGUCAUACUCAUACGUCCUAUGGAAAUAACACCAGACACUUUUAUCGCUUCCCAUAUGUUUUAUCGUCCUUUCAUAGAAUCGCAACAACUAGGUUGUAUUCAUGUCCUUCACAAUGUAUUUCUGAGAUGGAACUAACAUUUGUGGAGGCUAAUCAAAUAUUCUUUCCCUAUGAUCAUUCGAGGGCUUGAAACCUCCAUAAGGAUCAAUAACACCCAUAUCCUCCCUUUCCCCCAUUGAUCGUGUCGCCACCACAACCCUUUCACUUCUCCUCUCAUUCUCUCUCUUCCUUGUAGUAAACUCCUCUACCUUGACAUGAGACGUUGCUCUCGGGUCUUUUCCAUACCAAAGACUCGCCAAACGUUCCUGAACGGAGCCCUCGAAUAAAGGCUUCCGCGCACAUUCUUUCAUUUGGAUGGGGAAUUUGAACAACUACUUCAUUAAAGCAACGCAAAUACUGUUUUAUGGAUUCUCCCUUUGCUUGCUUUACUUCGAACAAAUCCGUCAUUUUUGGAGGCUUUGUUUUAUUUGCCGCAAAGUGUGUGACAAAUAACUUGGUGAACACUUCAAACGAUGUUUCCAAUCUGUUUGGUAAAUUGCUAAACUAAUCCAAAGCAGUCUCCAUCAAGGUUCCUGUCAACAUCUUACAUUGUACUGAGUCCAAUUCUCCAUAAAUCAACAUCUGAGCCCUGAAAACUUUAAUGUGGGCAUUCGGGUCUUACUUUCCGACAAAUGAUCUGAUUUUUGGGUAAACAUAAUUUGGUGGAAUACGCUUAUUCAGAAUUACCUUCGAAAAAGGCUGAAAAUCAGGCUCUACUUCUUUUUCUAGUCGUCCGUUUGUGAAUUGGUUUUUAAUCUACCUCUGGAAUUCCUCAUUCCUCCUCUGCAGUUGCUCCUGCAUUCUGAUUGACUCCUCCAUCAUUUCUCUUGCUCGGACACUUUCCGCUAUAAAUUCCUCCCGAGCCUUCCUAAACUCCUCCGCACGUUCUUCAUUCUCCUUCCUCAUGACCUCCAUCAUUUCCAUCAGUGCCUGAGUUGUGUUGUGUCUGGUGGUGCUAUGUCGUUUGUCUCCUCCUCCACUGCAGUCCUAGACUUUACAUGCCCCACAGUGAGCGCCAAAUGUUCUAGACAAUAGGGUAGGCGACCUCACUCUCUAGAACAGUCAAGGUGACCAAGAACAAAUGUGCUCUUAUGCCUGUGAGAUGACGAUGCCUUUCCAUAAGGUUUUUUAUGAUAUAUGUUGUAGAUCUUUUCUUUACUCUUUUAUAUCUAGUCUUAUUAUAGGUUUUGUUCACUAAUAAAUGCACGAUUUCUCCUUGAUAUUGAUUGUCCAUUGAUCCUUAAUUUGUUUUGAUAAAUCAUAAAUUCCUUAAAUACUAUCUCUAGAAAUUGUUCCUCUACACACCGCAUCGGACUCGACUAGUGACUCUACAUAAUUGAAUAAAUCCUUUUAAUUAAACAAAAAUAUCCUAUCUCCAAACCCUGAACUUCUUCUGGUUCAACGGUUUUCAUUUUUUUCCAUCUUCAUUCAUAAUUAUACCGAAGAUUGGUCAAUUUUUUUAAACUUUCUUAUUGCCCUUUGUGUUUCCACUUUCAAAGACAAAAUUGAUGUAAGUUGUUGAACUUGAAUGUCCCUAAAUAUCAUCACAAGUUUUAGUGAAGCAUCUUUUUUUCAUAUCCACCCUGAAAGAUACUGCAAUUAAUGUCCAAGACUUCUUUCAUUUCCUUAACUGAAUCCCCUCUAAUUCAAUAAAUAUUAUUUUAGUCAAAAACUUAAAAUAGAAUUUUAGAGAGAAAAUAUAUGUCAAAUUCUUCCUACACCUCCAUACAUUCUUCCUCAUUUUCAUUUUUUUUUAAUUUCCACAGUAAACAUUCUAUUUAGCUACCAAUAAUAAUUAAAAUUUUUGUAGUUAAUUAAAUAUUAAUUUAUUAGAAACUAUUUAUCAAUAAUAAAAAUUAAUUUAGAUAUCAAUAAUUUUUUAAUUUUUAAAAUAAUAUCUAAUUUAGUUAAUAUAGUAAUUAAUUAUUUUUUUUUAUAAAAUUAAUUUUUAUUUAAUAAUUUUCGUAUAAUACACUCCAAUGCAAUGUACCUCCCUAUGUGACAUCUUCCAUCAACUAUUUCUACUAUAGAUUUAUUUAUUAUUUAUUUUGAGUUUUGAAAUUUAAACCACUUUUACAUAUUUUUCUUGCAAAUCUUGAAAGUUUUAUUGUUAUUAUCAUUCUUAUAGAUAUAGAUAUCAAGUUUUUCAACAUAGUUCUUUAUUUGAUAAAUAAUUUUAAAAGUACAAUAUUUAAAAAAUCACAUUCUAUAUUUCAUUACAUCUUGGAAUCAAUAUUCAAACUCUCUUAUUUAUAUAUAAGUCAUAAUUACAUCAAUUUAUCAAACUAUGUAAAAUAUCUAAAAUAAUAAUCCAUGUAAAAGUUAAUAUUGUAGUAGUGCAACAUUACAUCAUAAUAUAACUUAUUUAUUAUAAAUUUAAAACUUAUUAUAUAUUUGAAAUAUUACUUUAUAACAGAUUUUAGUUAUAUAAUAAAUAUUUAUUUUAUUCAAUGCGCGCAUUAAAAUACUUUCUGAUCUAAAUAAAAACUAAUUAUAAAUUAAAUUAUAUAUAUAUAUAUAUAUAUUAAUACGGGAUUCUGCUUUUAUUUUGCUUGUUUACUGUUUAAAUAGUAAAGGAAAGAAUUCUAAUGUAUGAGAAUCACGGAUUUUAAUAUCGGUUCAAAUUUUAAGGAAUAUGAAAAAUUGGUUUGAAUAAUAAAAUAUCUAUAUUUUUUUCUCACUUUUUUUAUUAUAAAUAACUAAACAAGAUAAAUAAAUAAAAGUUUAUGAGAGCAUAUCACUUUUUAAUUUUUUUCAUUCCUAUAUCUCUCUUUCCCUUUCUCUCGUACAUCAAAUAUAUCUUUUGUGAAAAAAUAUAUAAAUAUAAUAAAUGAUAUAAUUAAUAUAAGGAGAGAAAUUAAAAAGGAUUAUUGGUAUCAAUUAUUUAUUGUGUGUUCACAUUUAAUGACCCCAAAUCUAACAGCAUUGUAGAAUAGCAUUGGAACAAGUCAGAAAUUACCCAUGCUUAAAUUAAUAUAUGGUGAAGGUGUAGAAAGUAAAAACAUUAUUUAAAGCAUUAACAUGCAAUAGAAAUAAAAUUCUGUUUUUUUCUUUAUACAUAUUUGUGUGUUGCUUGACUUAUAUAUUAUAUAUAUUGAUCAUCUGAAUAAAAAACUAUUAUAUUGGUCGACACAAAUUUUUAAAUGUAAUUUUUUCAUUUGCAGGUUGACUCUUGAAUCAUUUCAUGACGUUGAAUAAAAUUUUAUUAAUUUCGAUUUGAUUUUUUCCUUAUCAGACAACUUUUGACCGUGGAAAGUUUCAAAACAAAAAUGUGAACUCCAAAAAUAAUAAUGAAUAACCUUUUUAAUUAACAUGAUUGAUGGAAAAUUGAAAUUGAAACAAAUCGUUAUUGCAAUCUUAUAUUUUUUUUAUUUGUAUGGAAAUUUUAAACUAUUAAAAGUGAUAGAUAUAACGUAACAUUUAAAAAAAUUAUUAAUAGAUUUUAGAAUAAAUUAUAUAUUAGAUGUUUAUUUCUUAAUUUAUUAUAAAAUAUUCAUUUUAUGCUAAACUUUUUCUUCUUCUGCAUUCUUUAUACACAAACGUAGGUUUUGAUUGUAGAUGUUUUGCUAAGUAGUCUUAUAUUUUUUUCAUUUUCAUUUUGAACGAAUGAUUAAGAAGGAACAUUUACGGUAUAUGUUUGUUACUUAAUAGCUUAACUGCAUUGUGGAAUUGAUAAAAAAAGAAUGUAAGUUGAAUUAUUGGAUAGACUCAAACAUCAAUAUAAAAGUAAAGUAAGAUAAUAAUAUUUCUCUUAAGUUUAUUGGUGGAUAAAUCUUAUUAUGAAAAGGUAAAGUGGUAAUAAUAUAUUGGUGAUAUAUGCUUAGAAAUAGUUUUGUUAUUGAAACAAGGAGUAAUACAAUUUUUAAAGAUAGAAAUAUUUGAAAAGUAUGAUGAAGUUGUUUACAUCGUUUAGGUGAUGAGUUAGUCAUUUAAGUGAUGUGUUGUAUAGUUCAGGUGAUGAUUUGUAAUUUGAGUGAAAAAGAUGUCAGAAUAAUUGUCUCUCGUUUAAGAAUCUAUCGUAACUUAAAUGGUCAAGUGUCCUAAGGCGGUAGAGGAAUCUUUGGGUUAGUUAGGUUAAUCUCAAUAAGUGAUUGUCACUCAAACCUUGGUCAUAACAUUCAAGCAAUGAAAUGGUUGCUGGAGUGAGGAAAGUCCUAAGAGGAAGAUGUUUUUGGGUUGCAUUUAGCUCAAGCGACGUGGUUACUACUUAAGGAAGUCACCUUGUUGAUACUAAAAAUUUGUUCAAGCAAUAGGUGCUUACUUAAGUGACGAUGUAUGUUAUGUAUUAUAUGCUUUUAUAGAUAUGAUGCAUAAAAGGUGAUAUUAAUUAUGAUUAAUGUUUAGAUGCAUUAUAUGAUAUAUGCAUGACAUAUGUCAUUUUUUUAUGAAUCUUUAUGAGUGAUGGAUCCUAAACGGAUUACUCAUAUACAUAUACAUGUGUUUGUAUAUGUGUAUAUAUAAAGUUUGACCCUAGAUGAGUAGAUUGCAUGACCCUUAAUCAGCAAUGUAGGAAUACCUAGGGUGGUAUCAAGCCUUGGGUGGCGGUGAUGAAUUUAUCGCUUAAGAGAUGUUUUGUAUAGUUCAACUCUGAUAGGGAGAGCCAUGAGAGGGAAAUGCUCUUAUGUUGGAUUUAACUCAAGCAACAUGGUUAUUGUUUAAGCGGAAUAGAAGUCGCCUUGUUGAUAUUGAAGAAGUUGCUUAUACGAGAUGUUGUUCAAGUGAUGAUGUAUUUAGAGUGUGAUGGUGUGUGUUAUAUAUUAUAUGUUUUUAUACAUGUUUAUGGAUGAUAUGAUGUAUGAAAAUUGAGAUUAAUCAUAUAUGCUUUGGAUAUAUAUAUGGUUAAUGUUUAGAUGCAUGAUAUCAUAUGUGCAUGACACAUGCCCUUUUUCGGUGGCUCUUCGUAAUAUACAUUUACAUGUGUUCGUAUAUAUAUANNNNNNNNNNNNNNNNNNNNNNNNNNNNNNNNNNNNNNNNNNNNNNNNNNNNNNNNNNNNNNNNNNNNNNNNNNNNNNNNNNNNNNNNNNNNNNNNNNNNNNNNNNNNNNNNNNNNNNNNNNNNNNNNNNNNNNNNNNNNNNNNNNNNNNNNNNNNNNNNNNNNNNNNNNNNNNNNNNNNNNNNNNNNNNNNNNNNNNNNNNNNNNNNNNNNNNNNNNNNNNNNNNNNNNNNNNNNNNNNNNNNNNNNNNNNNNNNNNNNNNNNNNNNNNNNNNNNNNNNNNNNNNNNNNNNNNNNNNNNNNNNNNNNNNNNNNNNNNNNNNNNNNNNNNNNNNNNNNNNNNNNNNNNNNNNNNNNNNNNNNNNNNNNNNNNNNNNNNNNNNNNNNNNNNNNNNNNNNNNNNNNNNNNNNNNNNNNNNNNNNNNNNNNNNNNNNNNNNNNNNNNNNNNNNNNNNNNNNNNNNNNNNNNNNNNNNNNNNNNNNNNNNNNNNNNNNNNNNNNNNNNNNNNNNNNNNNNNNNNNNNNNNNNNNNNNNNNNNNNNNNNNNNNNNNNNNNNNNNNNNNNNNNNNNNNNNNNNNNNNNNNNNNNNNNNNNNNNNNNNNNNNNNNNNNNNNNNNNNNNNNNNNNNNNNNNNNNNNNNNNNNNNNNNNNNNNNNNNNNNNNNNNNNNNNNNNNNNNNNNNNNNNNNNNNNNNNNNNNNNNNNNNNNNNNNNNNNNNNNNNNNNNNNNNNNNNNNNNNNNNNNNNNNNNNNNNNNNNNNNNNNNNNNNNNNNNNNNNNNNNNNNNNNNNNNNNNNNNNNNNNNNNNNNNNNNNNNNNNNNNNNNNNNNNNNNNNNNNNNNNNNNNNNNNNNNNNNNNNNNNNNNNNNNNNNNNNNNNNNNNNNNNNNNNNNNNNNNNNNNNNNNNNNNNNNNNNNNNNNNNNNNNNNNNNNNNNNNNNNNNNNNNNNNNNNNNNNNNNNNNNNNNNNNNNNNNNNNNNNNNNNNNNNNNNNNNNNNNNNNNNNNNNNNNNNNNNNNNNNNNNNNNNNNNNNNNNNNNNNNNNNNNNNNNNNNNNNNNNNNNNNNNNNNNNNNNNNNNNNNNNNNNNNNNNNNNNNNNNNNNNNNNNNNNNNNNNNNNNNNNNNNNNNNNNNNNNNNNNNNNNNNNNNNNNNNNNNNNNNNNNNNNNNNNNNNNNNNNNNNNNNNNNNNNNNNNNNNNNNNNNNNNNNNNNNNNNNNNNNNNNNNNNNNNNNNNNNNNNNNNNNNNNNNNNNNNNNNNNNNNNNNNNNNNNNNNNNNNNNNNNNNNNNNNNNNNNNNNNNNNNNNNNNNNNNNNNNNNNNNNNNNNNNNNNNNNNNNNNNNNNNNNNNNNNNNNNNNNNNNNNNNNNNNNNNNNNNNNNNNNNNNNNNNNNNNNNNNNNNNNNNNNNNNNNNNNNNNNNNNNNNNNNNNNNNNNNNNNNNNNNNNNNNNNNNNNNNNNNNNNNNNNNNNNNNNNNNNNNNNNNNNNNNNNNNNNNNNNNNNNNNNNNNNNNNNNNNNNNNNNNNNNNNNNNNNNNNNNNNNNNNNNNNNNNNNNNNNNNNNNNNNNNNNNNNNNNNNNNNNNNNNNNNNNNNNNNNNNNNNNNNNNNNNNNNNNNNNNNNNNNNNNNNNNNNNNNNNNNNNNNNNNNNNNNNNNNNNNNNNNNNNNNNNNNNNNNNNNNNNNNNNNNNNNNNNNNNNNNNNNNNNNNNNNNNNNNNNNNNNNNNNNNNNNNNNNNNNNNNNNNNNNNNNNNNNNNNNNNNNNNNNNNNNNNNNNNNNNNNNNNNNNNNNNNNNNNNNNNNNNNNNNNNNNNNNNNNNNNNNNNNNNNNNNNNNNNNNNNNNNNNNNNNNNNNNNNNNNNNNNNNNNNNNNNNNNNNNNNNNNNNNNNNNNNNNNNNNNNNNNNNNNNNNNNNNNNNNNNNNNNNNNNNNNNNNNNNNNNNNNNNNNNNNNNNNNNNNNNNNNNNNNNNNNNNNNNNNNNNNNNNNNNNNNNNNNNNNNNNNNNNNNNNNNNNNNNNNNNNNNNNNNNNNNNNNNNNNNNNNNNNNNNNNNNNNNNNNNNNNNNNNNNNNNNNNNNNNNNNNNNNNNNNNNNNNNNNNNNNNNNNNNNNNNNNNNNNNNNNNNNNNNNNNNNNNNNNNNNNNNNNNNNNNNNNNNNNNNNNNNNNNNNNNNNNNNNNNNNNNNNNNNNNNNNNNNNNNNNNNNNNNNNNNNNNNNNNNNNNNNNNNNNNNNNNNNNNNNNNNNNNNNNNNNNNNNNUUUCUUGGGCGAUGCCCAAAGCAGUCAACCUGUUGACCUUCCUUCCCUUCCUUGUGGCCCUCGAGCGGUCUCACCAUGUGUUGACUUUGACUUUGAGUUCUGGUCAAUGCCCCGGGACGGUACAUACAUACAUAUAUAUACGUACAUAUACAUAUAUAUACGUAUAUAUAUAUAUAUAUAUAUAUAUAUAUAUAUAUAUAUAUAUAUAUAUAUACUAUAUAUAUAUAUAUAUAUAUAUAUAUAUAUAUAUAUAUAUAUAUAUAUGAAUUGCAUGAUCCUUAAUGAGUGUAGGGAUACCUAGGGUGGUAUGAGAUCUUGGAUGUGAUGAUAAACAUAAUACUCACAUUAAUAAAGGUAUGUAAGGUAUCCAACUUCAUAGUUAUAUAGUAACAUUGAUAAGACUUUAGAUGAAGUUAAAAAAAACUUAGUUAUUGUUUGAUAAAAGAUGUGCACGUAGUUGAGUAAUAAAUGGGUUGUGUGAUCCUAACAUGAAAAACAUAAAUAGGUAAAGUUUAAUGAUUUUAGAAUAUGUCAAAGUUUUUAGUCAUGACAUAAUAUGUGGUUAAACUUGAAAUUAUUUACAUUUAUACACAUAAUCUUAAUACAUACAUAAAUAUUAUAUGUUAAUAUAUUGUGAUAUAUAUAUAUAUAUAUAUUACAUUACAAAUGUACAUAAAUAUAUUUUUGUACAUGUGACAAAAUGAAGAACUUUAUAAUUAGUUUUAUAAUUAAUGAUUGUUUAAAAAUUUCUUUUCAUAUAUUAAAAUAUUUUAUAUUUUAAUAGUAUAUAUAUAUAUAUAUAUAUUCUACUAAUAUAAUAAUUUUAAUUUUCGCAGUGUUACUAAUAUAACUUAUUCUAAGUCAAGAUUUUUGAAAUAAACAAGCUUAAAAAUACUAAAUCAAGUUGUAGAUUAGUAUAAACAAUGAGAGAGGAUAAAUGGAAAACAUGUAAUUUAUUUUUUUGCUUUUUUUUUCAAAUGUAAAAUUUAUACAAUUUACUCCUCAUUGAUUAAAAUUAUAAUAAACAAUUUACAAUGUAGUUAGUAGCUUUCUUUUGCAAGCUAAGUUUCUAUUUCUAUCAUUUAAGUUUUGGUCACUCGAAAUAUCUCAUUGGAAAUAGUUUCUGAGGGACCAAUUUUCAGGUGGAAGUAUCCUACCAAUAAAUGCAUUAUUAUUUUUUAAUUAGAAAAACUUUGCCCCAAAAUUGAGAAGAAAAAAUCGAAAGAGAAUUUUGUCUUUCUUUUUUUUUUCUCAAUUUUUAUCUAUUGUCAUGAUCUAACAUGGGCCAAGGUGUUGGACUUUGGGGUAGCUGACUCUUCUGGCGUUCCGUUUUUUGAAGAAACUGUAAAACUUCCGCAAAUCCUUAACCGUAGAUAACUCGUCCCCACCAAAGGACGGUUCGUCCACGUCAUCAACCCCUAGGUGCCGUUCGAUCUUGUCCGCGUACUUUCUCCCAUCACCGUCCGAUUGGAGCGCCCCGAUUACCGACUUUAUGGCCCGACUCGGCGAGUUCCGGUUCGCGAUCAUCAACUCGCUGAUCUCGGCGGGGCUGAGACUGCCACCGUGCCGGAAAAUAUUCUCCACCUGCGCGAAAAGCUUGUGCUCCCUAACGCCGAGGUAACUGCUUGCAAGCGUCUUGAAUGCCGAGAAAUCGCACACCGGAAAGUGGAUGUGCACGUCGACCCGACCCGGGCGCAUCAAGUUUGGGUUCACGAACUCCUUGCUGUUCAUCGUGAACACCAUUACCCUCUCCUCACCACAACACGCGCUCAGAAUCCCGUCCAUGAAGCUCUGGAUCCCCCUCUCCGUAACUGCAGAUUCCUUUUCCGGUACGAGAAAUCUGUCGAGAUCCUCUACUACGACGACCGACUUCGCCGUCGUUUCCAUUAGGAGAAACUUAAGAUCCGAAUCGCCGCGAAUCUUCGAGAGGUCCACGUCGUACACGUCGUAGCGGAGGAAGUUCGCCAUCGCAGCGACGAAGCUCGACUUUCCGGUGCCGGAGGAACCGUACAAUAGGAAGCUCCGCUUCCACGCGCGGCCGAGUUUACGGUAGUAUUGCUUCGCUUUGAGAAACGAUUCCAUAUCAGAUUUGAUUUUGUUCUUAAGAUCCUUUUCCAUCACUAUCGUUUCAAAAGUCGCUGGAUGAGUGAACGGAACUGAUCUCCACCGUGUUUCUCCCGUACCGCCUUCGGUCGCCGCGGCGUUCAUGAACAACCGCAAAUGGCGCUUCCUUUGGUUCUCCAUCUCGUCGGCAACGGUAUUGAUAUGGCGGAGGUACUGGCGUAGGAUUCGGCGUUUAUCUGUUUUUCUGAUUUUGAGAACGAAGGAGGAAAUCCGUUCCGGUUCGGUUUUUUGUUCGAACCAGAAGAGUGUGGCCCCGAGGAAAUUGUCCUGGAUGGUUUGGUUAGGUUCGAGGCGCAAAACGAUGUCGUUUUGGUCGUAACCUGAAACGAGAUUGGUGAAGUCAGCAUCUUCUAUUGAAGGAAGAGAAUGCAAAUAGAGAGACACUUUGCGGUGAAGGUGAUUCCGCUGCAUGGCUUCAUUGAAUUCAGGGACUUUGAGGAACUGGUAGACGUGGAACCAAUCCUGAACCCUUCUCAAGAGUUUCCUUAUGCUGUGUAUCAAUCCCGUUUUGAACAGCAACCGCCGAAUUACGAAACCUACCACCAAACUGAGGAUUACGAGCAAUACGGUGCUGUAAACACUCAUGACCACAAUGAUCCAAGAUUCAAGAAUCCAAAUUCCUGGGCAUUCGUUUCUAUUGUGUCUGGUUCCAGUAAGUUUGGGAUUGGGUGAGAAUGAAGAAACAAAAUCACAUUUUCAUUUUGGUAAAGAAAUUGGGAGUGGAAUGAAUGUAUGAAGAUUUGGAUAAAGAAAGGAGAAGAAGAGUUGUGUGGUGUUGUGAGUGUCUGGUAAUGAGGGCAAUGGAUAGACUCUCUUAUUGCUUGCUUCUCCUUAAUCUUUGCUUCCAGCUCCCUACGUGUGAUGAUUCUAUUCAAUUCAAUUUCUACGUGCUUUUGGAUUUCCACAUGGGGCGUAAGGGCUCAAUAUAUAGCACAUUCUCUCACGUAAUCUGUUUAUUAAUUUUUCUUUCAACACGGAAUUAGGUGAAAGAAGCAUCACAGUUUUUUUCCUUUUAAAACCUAAUAAUUCCUUUUAUUUGGCUGGCAUGGAAACCAAAUUUUGUUUCAUUAAUUAACCCAUCAUGUGCUGCCAAGUGAUUAACCACUUCCUGCUUAUUGAUAAUAAAUUAAAUUUAUAAUUAAUUACUUUCAUUAUUCUUUUGUAAAUAUGAAAAUAUAUUCAGUCAAGCAGUCAGAUGAUGUAUUAACAGGAAAGUUAAAGAGGAUAUUCUAUACAAGACUUCCAUGUAUUUUAAAUUGACCAUCUAUGAUAAAAAAAAUUAAAAUUUAAUACUUAUUGUGUAUGAAAAUAAUUAAUAUUUUCUUCAAUUAACAAUUUUAUUUAUUCCCAUAAUAAUAAUAAUAAAAGUUUAAGGGCCUAUUUGAUUCCGCGUCUAUAACUCAUAUUUUUAAGUUUUCAGUCCAAUCAUAAAAUUCACCAAUAUUAUUUAAUUUAGUUCGAUUUGGGUAUAUGUAUAUAUGUUAUUCUGGAACACAACUUAAAAUAGACUGUACGAUAGAUAAAGAGGAAGAGGAGACGUUUAAUAAAAUAAUACUUAGAAAAUUAAUGAACUCAAGUUAAUUUAAAAAACAAUUUUUUGUCAGGGGGUCAACCACGAUUAGUCAGUUAUUUAUAUUUCAACUAUGCUUAUAAUGAAUGAUUCUAUUGUAAUUAUAACAAAGCUUUAAAAUAUUACAAAAUUGCACUAAUUUUAAAUAUGGGGGCAUUUUGGUCAAGGUCAUUGUUUUAGAAGAUUAUGAUUCCUAAGAAUUAAGAAUGUGAGAAUUAUAAUUAUUAAUAAAACAAAUAUCCAUUUAGUUCGUCAUUUUCUAUAAAAAAGAAUGUGUAUAUAUUAAAAUAAAAGAGUAACAUGAUAAUUUUUAUCAUAAAUUUUAAAUACAACUCAAUAAAUAAUUCAAUAAAUUUGUACUAGUUGGUACCGGACGAACUAAUCACUCAGUUAUGGUGACCGAUCAAUCGUGUCAAAAUACACUCAAGGCACUUAAUAAAUGACACAACAAUGAUAAUUAUGAGAACUCCCCUUGAAUCAUGAUCAUGUCCCACCAAAUCCUUGUGACAUUUUCAAGAAAUCAGCUAACACUUUUAUUAAAGAUAUUCUUCCAAAAUACUAAUAUACUAAUAUACUUUCCUAUAAAUUAGAGAUCAUGCCAGAAAUUAGUUAAGAUUGACAUUUAAUAGAGUUAGCCCAUCAUGACUAAACACUAUAAAUAAAUCUUCUAUAGAGAUGUAAUGUACGUUGUUUUAACUAUACACUCUUAACACAUAGUACUUACUUGAUAGUCAAAAUACUUUUUUCAGGUCAACUCUGACCGAGAGACAACAAUCAAAAGAGGAGACUUGAAGUGAAAAGCGAAGAGAUAACUUACACAUCAAUAAUUAUGCAACUAGUUCCAAAUACUAUCUAACUUUACCACUUUAUCUAUACCAAAUAUUAAAAUAUAACAGUAAAAAAUAUCAAUUUGAAAAAGUUAGAUCUCUACCUUUUUGUGGAAUUAUUUCAUGGAUAUUUAACUAAUCAACAUAAUAAGAAAUAUGAUUAUCUAAAAUACAUGUUUUUAAACACAAAACCUAAUGUGAAAAAGUAACCUUUUUUUACUUCAAAUUAUUGAAAUACUAAAAUUUUCCUUCUAUAAAAUAUAAUAAACUUUAAGAGAAAACUUGAUGAUAACAUUUAUAAAGAGAGUAGCUUAUAUAUUCUUAUUUGUUAACUACGAAAGAAAAAAGAAUGACUCAUCGUGUAUUAAUAUUUCGAUAGAAUUAUUAUUAAUAUUAUUAUAUUUUUAAUUUAUAGAAAAUAUUAAAAAUUAGUUCAAAUGACUGUCAACUUUUUAGAAAUGUGUACUUAUAUAUUAGUGAAAUAUCUUGUAUUAAUUUUCUCUAAGUUCUUAAUAACACUUUUUUUAAAUUGUGAAAGUUAACGAUGAAAAAACAUGCUAGGAUUAUGCAGAAAAUAUAUUCACUGUCUUUUAUAAAUAUUUGUUUUGAUGUGUGCAAAUUAUAUCACUAUAUUUUAUAAAUAAAUCAAACGUAUAAUAUUUUUGAAACUAAGAAACAACUGUCUUUAAAAAAAACAGAUGUAGUCUUUAAAAGAAAGAGAAGAAGAAAACAAAAUAUUUGAAAAGAGAAGAAAAAUUUAUUAAAUGGAAACAAUUUGGAUUGUUUACCAAAAGAAAUAGUAUGUCUCAUUAUAAUAUAGAAUAAAAAUAGCAUGUCUUAUCAAUAUUAAUAAUAUUGGCAUACGAAAAUACAAUUUUUUUGAAUAAUUAUUUUAUUAUAUAAUGAUUUUUUGAAUUAUGUCUCAUAAUUUUGAAGUUUUUUUUAACUUAAAAAUACACCCUUCCCAAACCGAAUUGAAAUUUUCUUCAAGGCUUCUUUUCGUUUGUAUUCACGUCAUCAACUUUCAUUUAUUAUAUAAUAAAGAUGACUUUUUCAGAUUAAUUAAUUAUAUAUCGUUUAUUUGUUUCUCUAUUCAUGACAUCAAAUUUGAUCCAUUAGUCCGUCUCUAGCUACUUUUUCAUUCUACUAUCUUUCCAAUUUAAUAAUUUUAUCUGUAUUUGACAAAAAUGUAGAUUUGAUGGUUAAAAAUUAUUAUAGGCCUAAAACUAAUUUCCAUUGAGAACUAUCUUUAAAUAAUAUUUCUUUUCAAUCAAAAAAUUAUCAUUAUAGUAAAUCUGUAUUUAAAAUUUGUCAACAAUUGAUACAAAAUAACAAAUCAUCGUUGCUAACUCAUGAUUUAUUAGGUGUUUUGUGUUGAUUCCGAGGAUAUAUAUAGUGAUCUUUGAGUCAGUUUGCGUUGGUUUCUCAAUAUUAAUAUUAAUUAAAUUUGUGUUGAAAUAAAUAAUAUAAAAUAUUAAUUAAUUAUGAAAGUGUAAUCUUAAUUGAUUAACUCAAAAAAUUAUAAAAUUUAAUUUUUUACUAAUAUAUAAAAUUAAUUAAACUGAUAUUAAAUAAAAUUUAUUUUUAAUAUUUAUUAAUUUAUGUUUGGUUUGAUAAUUAAAUUUUUUUAAGUACCAUUUUCAUUUUUAAUUUAUUUAUUUAUAAUUUUAAUUUUUAAUUUAAAAAAUUCUAAUUAUUUCAGUCGGUGUCGGACAUAUAGAGGUUCACAUGACUAAAUAAUUAAACUUAGCAAAUUGAUUAAUAAAUUUAAAAUAAUGAUUAAAUAUUAUGUAAUGUACUCUUAGUUAUGAUUCAAAUGUUAAUCUGAUAAAAUAAUAAUGAGUAUUUAAUUAAUCAUAUAAUAAUCACGAGUUUUAAAAAAAAUAUGUUAUCAUUAUGUAUUAAUUGCAUUAAGUAUUAAAUACCAAGAUUUAUUGAACAGUAUCUUUUACAAGUACUAUCUCAAAUGAGAGGUUGUGAAGAAAUGGAGGCUAGUAAAAGAAAAGAAAAAAUAGUUAAAGUGAAGGGAGUCUGAUUAAUGAAGUAAAAAUGAGAAAUACAAAAGAUGAAGUAAUAAUUUUCUCAGUAUCACGAUAAUACUAAUCAAUUCUAGUUUUUAAAUAAGAAGAGUUAACCAAAUUAAUUCUAAUUAAUUAACUUUUUGAAAAAGUCUUAUUAUUACUACUGAAGAAAUUAUCAUUUAGUGAUUGAUGUUCUGACACAAGUCAAGUAAACGUCAUUCUCCUUGUCACUAUUAACACACUAUGGUAAAUGAACGGGUAUGUUUACUUGUUCAAUUAUUGAUCUCGUUUUCAAAACAUAAGAAAUACGAAAUCUCCAUUAAAAUAAUAUUUCCUCUUUGAUAUUUGAAGUAUUCUUUUGUAAAGAAACAAAUGCCUUGUAAGUAGUCGUAUUUAUGAAAAAGAUACAGAAAAACUAUUACUGAAAAUAAGCAAGUGUCUUCUGUGAAAAUAUUCUUUUUAUGUUGCAUUAAUAAUUAUAAAAACGUUACAUGUUUCUUAUUUUUUAAGGAUUUGUUCAUAAAGGAUGAAAAAACUUGUACAUGUGUUAUUUCUUUAUUUCUCCUAUUUUGUCAACUAUUUUAUAAAUUUUGAAAAAUAAGAAAGAAAGUCAAAAUAAAUCAUAUUAAUAAAAAAAAAAUAAUAAUAAAUUUUCAACCAUGAUACAUUGAUAACUCACUUCUUUUUUUUAUAGUCAUUUUACAAUUUUCAAUACUAUUAUUUUAAUUAUUUUUGACAUCAUUUAAUUAUAUUUUUUUUAUUAAAACUAUCACAUCAAAAAUCAUAUAUAAAGUACAAUUUUUCUUGUUUUUUUUUUUUUUUAUGUUUUCACACUUAUUUGUUAUUACUUUUUGUCGUGGUACACCACCUUUUAUGCAUGGCUCUUUGAUUUGUAUUCUCAUAAUUUAACCCUUGUAGGAAUGAAGAGCUGAAUAAAUUGUGGACACAAUUAUACUAGAAUAUAAUAUGAGUUCUCCUCCAAUUGGUAUGAGCUGUGGUAGGUUUCUUUCUAACUACUAUGGCUGGUUCAACCUCGAGAGGCUUCUUCUAAUGAAAGCAAAACACUUUUCUAGGUGUCAUUGUUUUAUGCUUCAUUUUAACAUUAAAAACUGAAGCAGAGGAAUCUCUUUUAGUGGUGAGAAAUAUUGAAGUUCCAAAUAGAAGAAACUUCUGGUCAAAAUCCAAAAAUAAAAUUGAAAAUAAGGAGGCCAUGAGGACCAUCCCUACCAUCAUUGUCUGUGAAUUCUAAGAAUAGAAGACAAUGCUCUUCUUGACCACACUCCACUGAUUAAUUAAGCAUGGUGCCAAGACAUCAUCCCAAUAUGUCUUUUUGGACUGUUUCAUCUUGUCGUGAAUUAACUGUUUCACAUCAUCAAAUAAAACACAACCUGGUAUAUUAUUACUGCAUGCAUCUCCCUUGUGUUCCGUACAGCACGUGAUAUUUUAGGUUUUCUAGCCUUUUGUGUAGAUAUAUUUUUUAAGCAAUUACUUUUUCAGCUUCUUUAUGUAUUGUUGACACGUAUGAUUCUGCAAAUUAAUAAUGAAAUCAGUGGUAAAUACGACAAAUGCAUGAGAAACUAAGGAUUUGGUGGAGCCUCUAAAAGCUGCAUACUGUGGCCAAUUGGUUGAGCCUGCACAACAAUUAUUUGUAUUUGCAUCAGCUCAAAACCAGAUCCAUAUAUUUGUCUUUCACUCUUUAUAUUAGAGUAUCUAUUUCUGCAGUACUGAUCCACCGCUUGCAUGAAACAUGUAUUUCUAUUAACUGUGUUUCUUUUUCUUCUCUCAUCAUCGUCAUUGGAACAGUUCUAUAAUGGGUUGUUUAUGAGAUUCUUAAGUUUUAAAAAUAGUAAUGAGAUUAUUAGUUAUAUAACAAUGAUUAAUUCUUAGCAGCUUUUGUAAUAAUGAGACAUAUUCAAUGUCAGUUCUUACAGAAUAUGAACCAUGAUGGUUAUUUUUAUUGAAGUUGUUAAAAUCAUACGUCAGUGUAGGAUUCAAAUUGAACCGGACGAUUUUACGAUGAUUGUACAUUCAAAGUUUAUUGUUUUCAGGAUCUCAUGAGGGAUUUUGGCAUAUAAAGAUUUUGUUGAACUUUGAAAUGCAGUGAGGAUAGAGAGACAUAAAAGGGAACUGAGAAGCACAGUGCCCGAAAAGUUGAUGAAAUUAAUGAAGCAAUCAAUGUAUGGAGAAAAGGCAUUAGUGUACUAUCACUGUUACUCAGGGCAACAGGCUGCAGGCAAUGCUCAGAAAGUUAAUGAGAAAAUUAAGUGAUUAUUAUUAUAUAUCAGUGAAGUAACUAGUAGUACUUUUAUAAGAAGAUAGAUUGAGAAAAAGUUCAACCAAGUGUAAUUUCAUACCCUCUUACUCCAUGGUUCUAACAAAUGCUUGUGAGUGGUGGAAAAUUACUGGUUGAGCUUUCAAUAGAUACAAUGGUUAAUUUACCCCUUCUUAUACAUAUCAGCUAAGGUAAAAAAAAAGGUUAGAAAAGAUAUAUAAGAAUGUUUUUAUAAAUUAACUUAUAGGUAAAUUAAUUUUACUUUGUAACUUUUAUUUAUUUUCAUCACCUGAAGGUGUUUAUAGAAAAGUUGUUUGAAACAACUUUGUUAGAGAUUGCCACAUUUCACACAAAAUGUUAUCAAGAUUAAUUUUUUGAGUGUCUAACAUAUAUUUGGUUGCUACACUUUUUAUAAGAAAAUUGUAUGUAAGAAGAUGGUAAAAAAGAAGAAGAAGUUUUAUUCUAUGUAUUUACAUCACUUUAUGUAUAAGAAAUAUAUAUUAGACUUUCUCUCUUCAAAUUACAAUAAUUAAAUAGGGAUCCACUAAUAAUGAGAUUCUAUCAUUAUUAAAUUAAUUGCAUAUAAUUGGAUACAAUAUGUACAAUAUUGCACAAUAAUUUGAUAAUUAUUAUUUUCUUAAUAUUGCAGCAACCAGAAAUUGGUUUACUCACCAGAUGUGCAAAAUGUCUUCUUACCUUACACAUUGCAUGAAAUUAUUUACAUGUAGUUGCCACCUGCACAUCAUUGACAGAGGAGAACAUUGUAUGUCGACUCAACAAAUCCUUUAUGGUCUCAUGGUGAUUAAAUUUGUACGAUUUCAAUAGUCCAAGACAGACUACUCUCUAUUCACAAGACCGAAUAACUCAUCGUCCAGACAAAUCUUCAAUGGAGCAAUACCUAAAACUCACACCAGAGGAUGGAGAGAGUUAUUAAAGGAUCCAGUCAAAUACAGGCGACUUGUGGAAUGACUGAUAUACCUCACGGUUACUCGGUCUGACAUAGCAUUUUCGGUUGGGACCCUAAGUCAAUAUAUACAGGAUCCAUGAAAACCUCAUUGAGAUGCCGCAAUUCGAGUCCUAAACUACAUCAAAGGAUCACCGGGACAAGGAUUGCUAUUGCCAUCUGAGAACAAUCUGACAUUGACAGCUUAUUGCGACCCAGACUGGGGAGGUUGUCAAAUUAGUAUCUGGAUAUUGCAUUUUUCUUGGUUCUUAUAUUAUCUCAUGGAAGUCAAAAAAACAGACAAACGUAUCAAGAUCAUCAGCGGAAGCAUAAUACGGCGAUGGUCAAUACUUGUUUGGAGAUAGUUUGACUGCGAUAUCUGUUGCAGGAUUUAAAGGUGCCAUGUGACUUGUCAGCUCAAUUUUUCUGUGACAAUCAAGCGGCAUUACAUAUAGCAGCAAAACCCAGUAUUUCAUGAACACACAAAUAGACUGACACAUUGUGCGAGAAAAAUUACAAGCGGGGAUAAUCAGUCCCUCAUAUGUACCGACACAGUAUCAACUCAUCACAGCAGAUAUUUUUACUAAGGCAUUGGGUAAGGAACAGUUUUUGACGUUACACAAGUUGGGGUUCAUGAUCUUCACCACCAGGGGAGUAUUACAGAAAUAAUAUAUUUCCUAUACAUUAAGUGAUGUAAACAUAAUAGAAUAAACUUGUUCUUUCUUCUUACCAUCUUGUUACAUACAAUUUUCUUUUAAAAAGUGUAGCAACCAAAUAUAUGUGUUAGGCACCUGGAAAAUACAUCAUCUUGAUAACAUGUUGCGUGUAAUGUGUGGUAAAAAAGAGUUGAACCUGCCAGCCACCUAUUUUUAACGUGUGAAGUGGUGUUGGUGGCAUGGAACCUCUAUUAUAGAUGGAUACAUACCGUACAACAUAAAAUUGUAAAAAAUAAUUUCUUUCAAUUGAGGAUCCUAAAGUUAAAAGAAUUUGAAAACAAAGCAUGAGGUGUUGUGGAUUGCAAUUGUUUGGAAAAUCUAGAGAUAGAGAAACAAUAUUAUUUUUAAUAAUGAUAAGUCUAACUAUAAAGAAAUUUUUUCCAUGACAGAAUAGAAACUUGGUCUGGAUUACUGAAAAUGAAUAAUUGACUUCCUUUUCUUAUCCCAAAUGGUGUAUGGACCUAUAAAUUGUAUGAAAACUCUAAAAAAAAUAAAAUCAAACCAACAAUCUAGUCAGAAAAUUAAUCUAUACAGAUUUCAUAGGCUAUAAGAAAUUUGCUAGAUGUUAUAUCAGGGUGGUGACUGUUAGCUUUAUUUGAAGGCGGAAGAACUAUAAAUGAUUACAUCAUGAUUUGGGAUACAACCAGUCAAUAUCUUUAGAUGCAAAUUCAAGAUCGAGUCAGAGUUCCCUUAAAUUUUUUGCUGCAGUGGGUAAAAGGAGUUUUGUAAUUGUGCAGGAAUUUGUAAAUAUUUUUUGUGAUAUGCUGAAUGUGCCAUUUUAGGUGUUUUUUGGUGGGAGAGUGUCUUUUUGUAAUGUCUUUUGUAGCCUAUUUGGUGACAUCAAGUUUAAAACUUUGUUGUAAAUAGGUUGGAUCAUUCAUAAAAUGAUCGAAUUUAUUUCAUUAUUUGUUUCCGACUAAAAAAAUUCCAUAAGAUACUUGAAAUAUAUUUCGGCUAAAUGAUAAUUUGACUAGUCUUACGGACAAGUAUGUCAAUGAAGAAAUAUUCAUUAUCUUGCACCCCUUUAGUUUUUUUAUAUCUAUUUCUAGCAUAGCAAACUUAUUCGUGAGUAAUUUAAAAAAGCUAAAAAAAUAAAACAAAAUUUUUCAUAAACUAAAAUUAAUUUAUGCAUAAAUUAAAAACAAAAAUUUAGACAACUCAUAUAGUAAAUAUUUUAUAUUUUCUAUAAAUUAGUUCAUGUAUCUUGAAGUUCUGCAUCUUCUUUGACUAAAGGGUGAAGAUGAGAAAAGAAGAGAUAAAGGUGCAUAAAGAACAAAAGGAAGAAAGAAAAGAAUCGUUUUUCUAUUAUUUCAUACUCUGUAUCUGAUGCCAAGCUUUAUAUUAGAAAAGGAAAAUAGAAACUGGAUUGGGCUUGAUAAAAAAAAGCCCAAACUAAGAAAAACCCAAAAAUGCAAAAACACCAAAAAUGUAUAAACUAAUUUUAGAUAAAGAAAAGUUUAUUUUUAUUUUUUUUCUCCUAAAAAUGCUUUUCACUAAAUUUGUUUAAAAAGAUCUAGGUGUUGGACAUUGUAAUAAAUGUUUUCACCGCUAUAAAAGUGAAGAAUUAAAACAUAUCUUCGGGGAAAUGAUAUUUUUUAAAUUGGAGAAAUUUAAUAUCUUAAUAAAAUAGUUUAAAUUGUAUUUAAUUUUAAAAAUUAUAGAUAAUAUCUUUUUCUAGUUCCGGGCUUAGUAGAUGACAGGUUGGUACUGGACUUAUUGCUAUCCUUUAUGGGUAGAAGCCAUAAAGUCUAAUAAAGUGAAAGCCCCACAACUAUGGGUUACUUCAGCCAAUUACUUCCUGCACCCAACACUUUUGAACCGGCACCCAAUACAACUGAAGCUACCCUUUAUUACUGAAAUAAAAAUCCGAAAUUGAAAAUAAUGCAUUCUGAAAAAGUAAAUCUGGAAGAGAUUAUUGUAUUCUAGAUAAAAUAUUCGGAACUAAAAAGAAUACAUUUAAGAAAAAUUUAUUCAAAAAAGAUUAUUAUGUUCCAGACAAGGAGUUCAGAAUGUAAUUUUAUACGUAUUCAUUUUUUUAAGGGUAUUUUUCUCUUUUCCGCUGUUCAGCGGCGAUAUGGUGCAUGAAGCAAUUGCCGUUACUUCAUUAUUAGCAUAUGGGCUUAAAAAUAUGACCCAUCAAACUAUUACUACAAAGGUUUAAAUUAGAUAAGUUCCUCAGCAAAAAUGACAACUACAUAAAUAUAUUUACCUAUCAAUCAAUUCACAAAGGAUAAUGUAUCUCACAUCUUAGUGUUUUUUUGAAAAUUAUUAAAUUAUAUAAACAAUUAUUUCUUUUAUGUGUUUAUUCAGAAGUUAAAAAAAAGAGAAGCAAUGUUAGUUAAAUAAACUAAUCAAACAUAUCUUAGUGUUUUCUAGUUAAAUGAUUCAAUUAUAUAAAUAAAUAAUUUUUUCUAUUAAAAAACGACGAUUCUUUCUCUGUUUUAUCUCUUAUUUUUUCUUGGGAGAUUUUCAUUAUAAUAAAUUAAGAAAGCUAAUUAUAUAUAUAUAUAUAUAUAUAUAUAUAUAUAUAUAUAUUAUGUGUGUGAAUUUUGAACAUAUGCAGUUACUAAUCUCAGAAAAACAUUGACUUCUCUUAGCUUUUAUUGAGGUUAGUAAUGUCUAGAUAACCUACUUAAAGUGACAUUUUAGCUUAGUGACUAUAAACACUGUUCAUAUGUUUUUUUCCAUUAGAUGCAUUUUAUUGAAGUUAGUUAUAACAAUUUUAUUAUAUAAUAAAUAAGACUCUUUAACGGCAGUAACUCAAAGUUAAAAAUUAAUUUGAGCGAGAGUUCAAUGAAAAGUAAACUUCGAAGUAUAGUUUAUAUUCAUGGUAAAUUUUGUUGUUGAUUGUGGAAUUGAUCUUCCCACCUUUUACAUGUGUAUUCUAAGUUUUUUUUGUCGUUAAUUAUACUGCACUGACAUGUGUGCCAUGUAAGCUUAGUCAAUGGAGUGUAAUCCUACAUCUCCCUAUCAAAUAUCAGAAUCUCUGUACCUUAUCUUCUUCUGCUGUUCCAGUUUUCAACAUUUUAUUUCUUUCACCCCACAGAUCUUUCUUUUGUCUCCUGCCUCACUCUUCCUUCCUGAGAUGCUGAUGGCCUCCAAACUCACUUUCCUAACACUUUCAACUCUUCCUAACAAGCCACACCACCAUUCAACAAAACUUCAUCCACUUCCUCUGAUCUCUUCAAGAUUGAAUGUUUCAAAAGAUCCUACCAUUCUCAACUCACACAAAAUAUUGGAUCAAUCCAGCAAUGCUCUCAAAACUGCCUCUCUUUCCCUCACAGCAGUCACACUCCCCUUCUUGUUAGACCAAAAGGCAAGGGAUAUAUAUGCCCCUAGUUGUUUUUUAUCCCAUCAUGCUUACUCACACUUGUUUCUCUUAAAAGGGUUAUUUUCUCUCUCACUUUGUGGCAUGAUUGUUGUUGAGACAGGAUGUGGCACUUGCUGUUGAUGGGGAGUUUGGGGUGUUUGAGGGCAGAACAUUUGCUCUCAUACACCCCAUUGUGAUGGCUUCUUUGUUCUUGUAUACCUUGUGGGCAGGAUAUUUGGGUUGGCAGUGGAGGAGAGUGAGGACUAUUCAGAAUGAGAUUAAUGAGCUCAAGAAACAAGUCAAACCUACCCCAGUCACUCCAGAAGGUACACCACUAGAAGUGCCACCAUCACAAAUUGAACUCAAAAUUCAGCAACUUACUGAGGUAUAUAUCCUUGCCUUUGUUGCCAUUGUUGUCACUGUUAUCUUUCUAAUUUCAUUGGUUUUCCUAAUUUCAUUAGCUGAGAAAUCUGCCCCAUGUGUUUAUUUCUUUUCAAUUUUUUACAAACUCUAAGAUUUGUGGGAUAGUUCUGUGUUAUUUACUGUAUGUUAGAUCGAAUUGGAGCUUAUAUAUCUGGACACCUACCAGAACUGAUUCUAGUUCUUAAAAUCACAUCCAAAAAUUGAAGUAGCUAUUUGUUGUUCUAGUCUAAUUCAAACACUUACAUACAAGGAUUGCUGAAUUAUUGGUUUCUUAUCAAAUUCAGGAGAGGAAAGAGCUAAUCAAAGGCUCUUACAGGGAUAGGCACUAUAAUGCAGGAUCCAUACUUCUUGGAUUUGGGGUGCUUGAAGCUGUUGGUGGAGGAUUGAACACGUGGAUCAGGACAGGAAAGUUAUUCCCAGGUCCACAUCUGUUUGCAGGAGCAGGUAAAGUUUUAAAAUUUGCAAUUGAUGAUGAAAUUAAUUAAAGAGAGUAAGAAUUUAAGGGGGAAGAAAUGAAUUAGAAGAGUUUGGCAAAACUGUUAGCUUUUUUAUGUGAAUGAUCAAUUAUCCAUUGAACAUGCAUCUUUCCACCUAAGAAAUGAAUAUGAAGGGUACUGUGAUUGUGGUUCAUGUUGGUAUGGAAAAUGAUUGUUAGGCAAAUUUUGUGAUCAGGUAUUACAGUGUUAUGGGCUCUUUCAGCAGCUUUGGUACCAUCAAUGCAGAGAGGGAGUGAGACAGCUAGAAGUCUUCACAUUGCGUUGAAUACGUUAAACGUGCUGCUAUUUGUGUCACAACUUCCCACAGGAUUUGACAUUUUAUUGAAAGCUUUUGAGUUCACAAAAUGGCCUUGAAUGUUCUCCAUUCUGCAAUACCAUAACCACCCCAAAUUCAUAUUUUACAAUCACACUUUUUUUUAAUUAAAGUGCAAAUGUGUGUUUAAUUAAAGUGAAGGAGACGAACAUGUGUCAUUGCUAGAAAUUGAGUAAUCUUAGAGUACAUAGUGAAGUUCAGAUUAAGAAAAAAUCUCGUUAUUUAAUUGUAAAUCGUUUUAUUUAUGUCAAUGAUAUCGUAAUGGAGCCUUGCUGCCUCAUCUUCAUUUACAUCUUUAAUUUGCAAUUGUCUACUGUGUUCUCGAACGGGAUUGGGACCUAGAGAACUAUUGAGACUCUUUUUGUGCUUCUUUGGUCGGUCAGUCGGACAACACUUCACUUCCUCUCCUAGCAAGCUCCUCACCCCUACUCCUCUGUCUUCACAUAGUCUCAACUCAGAUGACAUUUCGACGCUCAAGUCAGAUUUAGUAUUUGGUACUCGGUAUGCUUAGUACUGAACAAUGACGUACUUGAUUCUUGAAAUUUGUGCUAUUUAUAUUAUUUUAGUGGACCUUUCUUAUUGGGCCAGAUUAGAGAGUUUGGGUCAUGUUUAUGAAUGUAUUAUCUCGCUCUUGAUUGCUGAUUAACUUAACUAACUCUGCUUAAGCGUAAUUGGAUUUGUAGUGUCGAUUGACCCAUUGAUGGAGAUUGAGACUCAGUCUUAGUCGUGCGGACUCUACCAGUACAUCUACUUUUCUGUUCCUUAAACAAAUGCUGAAUAUUUUGGAAAGAAAAAAAAAAGACAUUCUAUAAGUUUAAAUCAAUUUUAUUAAUUUGGCUUAUAAUAAAAUCAACUUAUAGAUAAGGUUUGCACUCAUUUAUAUAUUAUAAAAUGUCUUUAUAUCUAAUCGAUGUGAAAUUUCCAAUACAAUUUUCUUGUGUCGAGACUUUCCAAACUCAUACGGAAGAUUAUAUGAUGAAUAGUAUGAUAAUGGAUGAUCUAAUAAGUCCAACAAAUUCUCAUUAAAAUAAACUUUAAAUAUCUCUGAUACCAUAUUAAAAAUUGGACUUUAAAUACAUCAAUAUCUUUUCUCUUUAUUACUUUAUCUUUAAGUUGAACUAUGAUCAUUUAAUCCGGAAAAAAAUACAAGAAAAAAAAAGCAAAAAAUACAAGAAAAAAAAAGCACACAAUUAUAGUUAAAAAAAUGCAAAUAAUUUGGAGUCGGUUUCCAGAAGUAAAUUAUCCACUUUUAAAUGUGUGGAAGUAUAAAUGCAAUUGAACCAUAACUUUAGGAAUGAAUUCUUAAAUAGGGUAGAGAUUCUACUGCCUCCAAAUGAAAAGCUUCACGCUUCAAACUCAACGGUUAUUUGUGUGUUUUCAUCGACAUUAUUAUUAAUAUUAUAUAAAACAGUAUAUAUGCCAAGUUUCUACCGAAUAAACGAGAGCCAUAGUCAACCAUAUAUAAAAUAAACAAAAUCGAACCUUUAUCAUAAAAUAUGUUUUAAACUUUGAAAAUAACUCUUACUUAAAGAAAACGAGUGAAUUGUUACAUUAAAAAUAAUAAAAAUUAACUAUUUGUUCCAGAGACGCACAACCGUUGACAUUUUUGUGUUGCAGAAGAGGGAUACCCUGUGGAAAUUGGCCAUGCAUGCAUCUUGAAAAGGAACGAAUAAAACUGAGAAAUUCAAUAUUUUCAACUUUUUAUUUUCUUUUUACCUUUCGAUGUCAUCAAGCAAUAGUUAAUUCGCAACUUUAAUAUUUUAUGUUUUCAAAAUUUGUACCUUGGUUCUUUAUUUUUUUAACGUCAUUUAAAAUAGUAUUUCUUUUGUCAAUUAACGUAAUUAACAUUUUUUUAAAAUAAUUAAUUUUAAUAUGGUAAUGUUUCAAAACUGACAAAAAUACUUAAAUUAAUUUCAAAAUUGUCAAAAUACUUAAAUUAAUUAUUAUAAUAAAGUAAAUUACUAAGUUUUGUAAUGUAAACAUAAUGACAAUUCUAAUGUUUGUAAAUCCAUUAUUUUUCUCUCACUCCUUCUUUCACCUUCACUUCCAAGUGUAAGAAGAAGAUGGAUGUAAGGAAAAUGAUAAUUAAUUCUUUGAGUUAUGUAAAUGAUAAAUGUCAUAAUUCAAUAAUAUUUCAUGUAAAUAGAUAGACACUUAUAGACUUAAUAAAAUUAUAAUUUAACCUAUAAUUUAAGAAUUUGAAUUAUUUUUUUACAUAAUUUUAGAGUAUGAGAUUAAUAAUAACGAUUUAUUCUCAAGUUUGUGUUAAUUUCAGGAAUAUAGGGGAAGAUGGAGAUAAAAUGACUAAACAAGAAUUGACAAGUUAAAGGCAAAAUAAAAGGACAAAGUUGAGCAUUGAAAACUCGCUCAAUAACUCGCCCAAACAAGAUCAAUCUAGAGAGAAAAUUGUUCUAUGGAAAAAACUCACCCAAGACUCGCUAUAGUUAGUUUCCCUCUAACGAAGUUGUGUUUUUCUCGUGAAACUCACUUAAGCAAGUAAUAGCUCGUUUAAGCGAAAUGUCACUUAACCUACAUCAAAUUAGGUUAAAUAGGAGGGUAAGGCAGAACUCUGGACAUGAAUGGGAGGAUAAUCAGAGAUAGAAAACCCUAAAAGAGGUAGUCGUCAAGGAGAAACACCCUAAAUCUUCUUUUCUUGCUUUCCAUGCUUGUAAUGACCAAUAUGAGUGGCUAAGUAUUCCCUUUGGGAUUGAGAGUAAUUUGUUCAAACUAUUAUGUAUUGAGUUUAUAUAUAUUUAUUAUAUUUGAUGAUUAAUAUUAUCAUUUUAUUCUUCAAGUUUGAAUCUUUAUUCAUGAUUUUGAUAGUUAGAGUUGACUGAAAAAUAUUUGUAAGCAUCUGACAUAAAUUAUAAGUUUAAUAUAGUUGAAUGUUAGUAAUAGAUUUGAAAUGCUAAUUGUUUUAUAACAUUUGUUCGUAAUGAUAAGAAAGUUUUUGUAAAUACGUGAGAAAUCGAUAUCUAGUAGACAAUCUUAAUAACUUUGUAUGCGAGGAAUCAAUAUGAAUAUUUUUAUAUGUGCAUCAAUGUCAAUAAAGAUAAAAUGUUAUAUGUUUUUAUAUAUUCAUUGAAAACACAUACGAGUGAGAAGGAUUAACACCAAUUCCAAUUUUCUCUGUUGAAUCAUCUAACUCAUUUACUUUGUUUUUAUUUUAAUUUCUUACAAAUUCAUGAUACAACCAACUUUUCAAACAAACUUUGACAGGUCUUUUUAUAUUAAGUGAAUAUUAUACUUGAGAUUUUAGAAUUGUUCAUUGUGGGUUCAAUAUUCGUCCUUAUGGACAAUUUACUAUUUAUGACUCGGUACACUUGCUGAAUUAGAGUCAUCAAUAAAUACAAAAUGAACACUUGCGAAAGUAAUAAACAAACAGAAAGAACAUAGAUAAAAAUAGAAUAAUGACAUUGAAAAGUUUUAACGUGAGAAAACCUUCUUGACUUGAGAAGUAAAAAUAAAAACUCACGAAACUUAGUACAGAAAAUGUCUUCAUUAUAAAAUUUGUUUAUCUUGUUUUAUAAAAAUAACACUUAGUCUCGUCCAAUAAAAAUAAAAUAGAAUGUCAAACUAACCUCAUUAGAAUUUAUAAUCUUACACUUAAAAGAAAACGAGUGAAUUGUUACAUUAAAAAUAGUAAAAACUAACUAUGUUACCUAUUCCAGAGACGUACAACAGUUGAUAGAUUUUGAUACAUAUAACCAACCAAAACAAAUGUAAUGUAAGUCAUAGGAAUAGAGUCGCCAACCAUCUUAUAAAACUUUUAUGUUAAGGUCUAAUGAUGUUGUAGACGUUUGGGACUAAAAAUUGGUGAAAGAGUAUAUUCCAAAAGGCAAAAGCAGUUUUUGUCAGCUGGAAGUGGCAAAUGCCUAUAGAAUCUAAUGCUUUUCACAUUUUCUGUCAUUCCAUGUUUGUUAGCUGUUAAUAGGUACAGUAACAAAAGCUGAUCUUGUUUAACCAUAUAGCAUCAUCUAUAAAUAGCAUUUUAUGGCUCAUACAUUUUCAUACUCAAACCAAAGAAGCUUCCACCAUCAAGCUUGAUUUUAGCAUUUCCAUGGCUCACCCAAUUCUGAUUCGUCCAUGGUCUCGUUUGGCCUCUUUGCACUCUCCUUCUUCUUCUGCAGAGUCACAUCCUAAACCUCAGCUUCCACAACCUUCUUUCAAAACAACAAACACUAACUCUCACGACACCAAUGCCAUUGCCACCAAAUCUCUACCAACAACAGCAGAUGUUCACACCCCAAUUCACUCACCAAACCUCAAAUCUACUACCCCUAUGGUCUUUCCAGCUGCCAAAUUGAAGGUUCAACCUCCCCCGGUGGUAGAAGUCACCAUUGAAAAGCCUAAUGAUGGCAAGGGCAAUGCUUCAUUGAAGAAUGAAUCAGAAGAAACUAAGAACAAAGUCAUUGGCCCAAAUGAAACCAAAGGAAAAGGUAUUCACACAAAGGUCUCAGAGGGUCAUGGCGUAAGGGUCAUAACAAUUUCAGGGGAAAACAGAGGUGCUUACAUGAAAAUAACACAAUCCCAAAAGAAGCAGCCCAUUCACAAGAUGGGGAAUUCUGAUGGUGAGAAAGUGAGAACACUAUCUUCUCCUCCAAACAGAGCUUUUUAUGGGAACAGCAACGUGCAGUGUGUCAACAACUCAAUGCUGUUGAACUCUAGUUUAAGCCACCAUGAACCAGGAGUGCACCUUAUUGUCCCAAAAAGGCCAUUUCCCAAAGGAUUGCAUCUCAAGGAACGUGAUGAAGUUCAGACAAUUGAUUUAAAGGCGGCGUUUUAAGCUAGUUAUUCUUUGUUUUAAGCCUAGUUAUGGUGUGGUUAUGUAAUAAACUAAAAAAUAACGUAAAAAUAUGAAGUUUUAAGUUAUAAAUAAUUUCAUCUCUUAUGUUAGAGAUCAAAUAGGGAUUGAUGAUGUUCUAACUCUAGUUUUCCAAGGAAUAGGAGUCCUCAAUUGAUGCAUAAAAUAAGAGUCUUCAAAAUUGCUAUUUUGAUUUUUUUUUUCUUUUAUUGAUAAAUAAGUGAUGUAUAAUUUUAUUAUUAUAAAUAUCUGAUUAUUUGGUGGUCAUUUUCGAUCUUACAAAAAUGUCUAUAUUCCGAUAUAUAAUCUGAACUAUACCGCAAAUAAAUGAAAAAAAGAGAAGAGGUAGUAGUUGUGGGGAACACAAAACUUAGAAAAUGAAAUGAAAAAGCAAAGGAGGAAAAUUACAGAGAACUGUUAAAAAGGGAAACGGUCUUUAAAAUUAAAAUCAGGUUCCAGACGGUAUCCUAUUAAGAUUCUAUUUGUUUCUAACAACGGAUUUGCUGCAAGCGAAGAAAAAAAAACACAAAAAUAAAAAAAUAAUGAAAAGUAAAAAACGAGUUAAAAAUACUUCGGCGUUUUUUCUUUAUAAAAUACAAACACUAUGUGUGUGUGUGUGUAUAUAUAUAUAUAUAUAUAUAUUAAAUAAUAAUUAAAAAAUAAAAAAUAAUGAUAAAAAUAAAUAAUAGUAAUAAUAAUAAAUAUUAUUAUUAUUAUAAAAUUUUCUUUAUAUGAUAUUAAAUAUUAAUAUAUAUUCCACCACUAUGAAUAUAAGAUUUUUAAUUAUCAAAUCCUAAACUUAUCAUGUGAUAUUAUAAAACUUAUUAACUAUUUAAAAAUAUAUUAAGUUAUUAUUAUUGUACAAGUUUUUAUAUAAUAUUCAAUAACAAUAGAAAACCCACAAAAUUUUUAAUAUUUAUAUAUAUGAAAAUUUUAAAAUUUGACUAUCAGUACUAGAUUAUCAUUAUGGUAAUGUUAAAUUUUUAUGUAUUUAAAAAAGUAGAGAGAAACAUGAAAUCCUUUCAUAUAUUUUAAAUUAUUAUAAAAUUUGAUAUAAUCAAUUUAUCACAAUUUAAUUAGUCAAUUUUAACUAGAGUCACAAAAUGGGUCAAAACAGUUUAUUUUGACUCGAUCUCCAUUGUCUACCAACAGUGAUCCGUCAAGGUUAUGCGGGCGGAAAAUAGUAACACACAUCGUCAUAAGACGGGUUGGCGUGUUGACUCGCUCCUUUUAAAAAAAAAUUGUAAUUUUUGUUUUGUUUUAUAUCUAUUUACUUUGUUAUAAUCAUUGGUAUCAUUUUUUGAAAAAUAAAAAAUACAAGAAAGAGUAAUAAAAAUUAAAUCAAAUUUUAAUGUUAUAAUGAAAAAAGGUUUAAUAUCUAACAAAAUAAAGUAAAUAUCAACAAUACUUUAAUAAAUCAAAUUAUGUAUAAAUAAAUAAGUUAAUGUAAAUAAAAUUUUGUAUAAAAUAUUGACCACCACCGAUUUUUAUUCUAAAAAUGUGAAAUCCUGUGUAAAAAAUAAAAAAUGAUGUGUUGAUUAUCUCAUCCCACCAAUGAUCCACAGACUGACGAAUUAAACAAACCGGACUAAUACAAGUUAAUUGAUUCAAAAACUAUUCCACCCUACCUAAAUUAUGGUGGACAAUGGGCCUAUUUUGCUACCAGAGGCUAAGUAGGAAUUUCUUCAAAGUUGUCAUUUAAAAUACUAUUAAUUUUUCUAUUACUAAAAAAAGUUUACUUUUAAUUUAAAACUAAUUUCUCAACUAAUUAUUAUUUUUCGUUGACUACAAGAAACGCUAUAAAUUUUUAUGUUUAUGUAACAAAUAAAGAAAAACUAAUUUACUUAGAUUGAUUUGAAUAUAAAAUACGAAACAAAUAUGGGUAAAAAAGAAAGUCCAUUUAAUUUUAUUUUGAAUUAACAUUUUUGGACUUGAUUUACGUCUAUCAACAAGUGCUACAAUUUCACAUCUUCAUGAUAUCAUGGUCCAUUUAUUUUCCGAAAUUAGUAUGAAAAUAAUUAAAUUACGGAUACAUGAACCCAAACAUCUGUAAUGACUUCAGCACCCAACCAAAUGAAACUUCAACAUGAAAUAUCAAAUCAUGAUUACGCUAUAUAUAACAUGAAGUAAAUGAAAUGGUUUCGGCACAAAGAACACAUGCAGUGUUCAAAUUUGCACUGUUCAAAGUUGAUGAAAUGGUUUUGAGCAUUUUCUCCGAACCAUCUCCCAAAAGAUAUGAACCGAUUCUCUUAUCCAAAUAAGGAAAUUCUUACUUUUCGGGUAAUUUAUAAAUUUGGUUGGCUUGUUUGAAACUUUUAUUGUCUAUCUUCAACUCUUUUUCUUUUUUACUUUCAUUGAGGUCUAGCAAUGAAUAUUUUCUGAGGAUCCUAUACAUUACAAUAUUCUUGCACCCUAGAUAGAAUACAUAACCUAUGUAUGUGUAGUCAUCUACACAUUAGAGAUGAUUCGUCAGAACAGAUAUAAAAAAUCAACAAGAAAGCGAUUUACAACCAGAUCAACAUAUAAGAUGUUAAGACCAUCCACACAAAAACUAAAGUGCUAAAGAUAUUCAUCCCUGACAAAAGCUAGACCCAAGAACUAAGACACAUCCUAGACCACUAUAUACCCAUCAUUUUAAGCAGAAAAAAUCUCACUUUGGUGCAUCCUAUAACAAGAGUUUGAUGCACAUAAUGGGAUUAAGGUACCAAUAUGAAAAAGUAAAGUUUGAUUUAAAAUAUAUAAUAGAUCCUAUACCAAGGCCACACGUUUCUCUGCACAGUAUCAAAAAUAUCUUCAGCAUUUGUUGAACAAGACUUGGUUUCUUUGUUUCAAAGAUUAGGUUACAUUUUUUACCAAGAUGGUUAAAACCAAAAGGAUUGAAACUUUGAAGAGGAUUGUUAUGAAUUACAUUAUAGAUUCCCACCCAAUUUUCACACAUAUAUCAGACUUUUGUGUUAAAUUACAUAGAAAAAAAAAAAUAAGUGUUGAAUAGUUUCUAAUCCGUCAGAACUCAUAGGACAUUAUUCUGAUCUAGGAAGAGUCAACCCCUACUCAGAUGGUGAAUGAUUUACUAUGUAGUUAUCCAGAAACAUACUACACCGACAAAUAUUUUUGUUAUAUUUUUUUAUUAUUAUUAUACUUAUUAUAAUUAUACUUCUUAUUAUAAUUAUCAAUAUUAAUAUUAUUAAUAAUAUAAACAUUAUUUAUAUAAUUAAUAAUUAAUGUCACUAAUAUUAUUCAAAUUAUUACAUUAUUAAUUAUUAUAAUUAUUAUUCAUAUUACUAAUACUAUUUCAUACUAUUAUAUUAAUAUUAUAAUUAUUGAUACUAUUAUAUUAAUAUUAUAAUUAUUGAUAUUAUUAUAUUAAUAUAAUUUGUAUUAUUAUUUAUAUUAUUAAUAUUAAUAAUUUUAUAAUGUUAAUAGUAUCGGUUCAUAGAUAAUAGUCAUCAAUUUUAGUUAAUAAAUAAAACUAAUUUUUUUUUCUGAAAUAAUAUUUAUCAAUAUUAAAUCAUGUAUUAUUCACUAAUUGGGAUAUGUAAGUACGUAAUAUUCAUCAACUUGAGUUCGUAGGUAAUAUUUAUCCAUUCUAGUCUCUGAAUAAAUCUAGAGAUAAUCUUGUAUGCUUUUUUUUUUCUUUUUAUUUUUUUUAUUAUCUACAAUUAUUAUUUAUAAUUGUUAAAUAUAAAUAUUAGUUAUGAUUAUUAUUUAUAAUUAUUCACAUUGUAAUAAUAUUAUUAAUAUUACGCAUAUUAUUAGAAUGAUUAAUAUUUUUAAUUGUAUUAAUAUUUGUAGUGUUAUUAAUAUUAUAAAAAUUGGAUAAAAAUAUUAAUAUUAUUAAUAAUAAUAAUAAAAUAUUUAUAUAAAUAUUAAUAUUGAAUUUAAUUAAGAAUAUAUAUUUGUGGGUGUAAAAUUUACCUAUAGACAUAAAUUUGUGAUUAAUAAUUUAUAAAUAAUGCUGAAUUUACUUACGGAUUCAUAUCUAUAGAUAAUAUUUUAUAGAUAAUAUUGAAUUUAUCUACAAAAUUAUAUCUGUAAGUAAUACUGAAUUUAUCUACAUAUAUUCAGAUCAAUUGAUAAAAAUUUGUUGAUAAAUCUGAAUUUUUUUUAAGUAAAGAGUGAGAAAAUUGAUGAUACCAUCUUCACAUCCCAUGCGAGUUUUGUAAAACAGCAAUUGUGUCGGCAACUCAAUAGUGUUGAACACGGGUUUAACCCACCGUGAUCUAGGAGGACUGCAUCUUUUAAUCCCAAAGAAGUCAUUUGGCGAAAGAUUCUAAUGUGGCGUUUAAGUUAGUUUAUUCAUAUUUCUGGCUUGUUUAAUACGAAGAAAAGAAAGAAACUCCUAGUUUUGCCACACAAUAACAAAAUGUCAAAUUAAAAAGCAUUACAACCUUAAUUAGAAGUUUUUUUUUGUUUAGUUUGGUUUUUAUGGUUGAACCAUCAAUACUAUUUUUAGUUUGGAACACAUCUAACGCUGAUUAAAAAAUAUAAUAACUGUACAAAUAAAGAGGUACUAAUAAAAACAUUUAAUUUAGUUGUUUUUUUUAAUAUUUGAUACUUUUAAAAUGAAAAUAAAAUAUUUAGUAGGAAAUAUUAACAAAAACAUAUUGUUCUAAUCUUAAAUUCAUUAAAAUAAUAUGUUAUGAUUUAUUAUCCUAUUUAAGGUAUUAUUGGCUUUGAAAAAGCUCUUCUUAUCUUAAAAUAUGUAUCAAGUAGUAAUAGUAUUAUUAUUUUAUAUUAAAAAUUUCACGUAAAAUUAAUUGAUCAAAUAAUGUAAGUUUCGUUGAGUUUUGCACCUUACUUAACGAGUCUUGUGUUUCAUAAAAAAAAAGAAACAGGUUAAAGUUCUUUACAAACUAAAGUUGUUAUUGUCCCUUAAAAUUGUCAAACCCAUCUUUUUAGUGAACAUAUUUAUUGGGGGUGUUAAUUGCACGACUUCAAAAAAGUUUUUAGUUGGAUUGUAAUCAAUGGUGUUAAAUUUUCUUCUUCUUGUCAGAUCAGAAGAAGAAGAAGAACGUAUCAGAUGAAUGUCAGAGUCCAGGAUCAAUGUAUACGAUUAGUUCAUAACAGAUUUUAGUAGAGUUGGUUAGGUGUGGACAUAAUAUUAUUAUACGUUGAGUUUUUAUACAUUCUUCUGAGAACAUAGAGCAACUGUAGAGGAAAACUAAAGUGCAAGGACACCAUAGAUUCUUUUCUAUGACACAUUUGUAGGGGAGCAAGGUCUAAUAAUGUGUGGUUAGCAGCUGUUUCUUAGGGUUCCAAAGCUAGAGGCAAAGGACCAUGUUGUCUUUCUCUCAGUGGAUUACGAGAUAUUUCAGUCAUGUUCAAUGUUCCACUCCCAUUUCCUACCUCUUUUUAUAAACAAUUGAGUGAGUAUAAACUGGUAAAUGUUCUCUGUACAAUAUACAUUGUGUUAAAGUCUGGAAUAGGCAUUGAAUCCUUCCCCAAAAGGCUUAUAAUAAGGAUUAACGUGUAGUUUUCUAAAGAGACUGAAUUCCUCCAUAAGCAAAAUCUUUAUAUUAUUAUAUAUAGUUUGUGUAAAGCUGGAAAGUGCCCAAUUGAAUCUAAUGCUUUUCACAUUUUCUGUCAUUGAGUGUUUCGUACCAGGUAACAUGGUCUAAUAAUAUUCCUCCUGCUCCAGAAUCACUUCCUAAACCUCAGUCUGCAGAACUUUCGUCCAAAACAACUAACACAUCCUCUCUCAUGACAGAAAAGAAAGUGUAUACCAAAAACACCAAAUCUUCACAGCCCAAUGCAGUCACAAAAGCUCAAACUCUCUACCCCAAUUACCUUCCCACCUUCUACGUUAAAGUUCGUGGGAUAACAUAUUAUAGAUGAUCGAUAGCUUACGAAAUAGACUUUAAGCCUAAUUCAACUCCAUAAAACUGUUCAUUAUAUACAAUGAAAUACUCUAAUCUCUAGUCGAUGUGAAAUUCCAACACAAGUUUAGCUUGAGAUUAAGACAGUUCUAGAAAAAGAAGUAACCGAUGAAGAAGCUAAUGGAAAUGGAAAUGGCAGUGGUGCACUUAAGAAUGAAUCGGUUGAAAAUCAAGUCAUUGGCCAUAAUGAAAAAGAGGUGACUACAAAGGUGAAGAGUUCCUAUCGCCAAUACCAAAUAACAUUUUAUCUCCAAAUAUAAGACAUCGGAAUGUAAUGUCCAGAACUCCCAUUAAUAGUGUAGUUGAAAUACUAAACAAAUCAUUAUAAUAGAGACUUUCAUACAGUUGACAUAUUCAAUCCGCUUGGUUAACGCAAACAAUAACAGGAACAUCAUUACAAGAAAUUAAGAGAUUAAGUAAGAUUAUGUCAUUAAUCAACUACCAAAUCAACUCGAUAAGUCACGAGUCUUAAAAAACUUGGAUCUACACGAGACCUACAGGGAAAGGCUCAUCUUAAAAUGAUAUAAAUAGGAGGUCCUUCCACUACUAACAAUUUUUACUAACUUUUGACUACUUGGUUUCUAAAUACUAGAAUAAAAUAAUUUAAUAACAACGAAUUUAUAGAUAAACUAAAAAAUUAUUGAUAUAUAAAGUUGUAUAGUGAUGUCUAACAUGAAUUUUUUUAUUUAUAUAUAUAUUAUUAAUAAAAAAAUUAUAAAAUAAUUUUUGUAUGUAAUUCGUGACUGACAAUUUGUAUGUAAUGUUGAAUUUACCUAUCAAAACACAUAUAUGGGUAAUUUAUCUACAAAUAUGUAUUUGUAGGUAAUAAUCUAUACGUAUAAUGCUUAGUUUAUUGAUAAAUAAAUAUUUGUGGAUAAUAUUUGUAUCUAAUAUUAAUUGAUAAAUAUCUGUAUGUAAUACCGACUGAUAAAUAUUCGUAUGUAAUACCGACCGAUAAAUAUUUAUGAAUAAUAUUUAAAUAUAAUGUUGAAUUUACUUACAAAUAUGUAUAUGUAUGUAAUAGUUCAUAAGUAAUUUUUAUUUUUUUUAGUAUUAGUAGUGAGUUGGCUACAACUUAAUUAACGACAAAUGCACUGGGAAAAGAUAAAAACAAUGCAACGAAUAAGAUUACUAAUAGUAAAAAAUAAUGAUCUAAUUUAGAAUUUAAAGUAGUUAGUAGUUAAAUUUUUUUAGCUAAUAUUUGAUAUCAAUUUAAAAAUUAUUUUAGACACUAAUAAUUUUUUAGUUUAUAAAAUAAUAUAUAAUUUAGUUAUUAUUUUUCAUUUUUAAAUUAAUUAUUAUUAUUAAAUAUUUUUCUUGUGGUGAGUAAUGUUGCUACGUAAAAAAGAGAGGAGAAAUGGAGAAACAAAGACAUGAAGAUGAAGAAUUAUUAUUUACAAUCUCUUCAUGCAAUAUAUGAAUACUAUGAUGCUGGUUUCUUAAUAAUUCUCAUUAUAAUAAUUCUUAAGGUUGUUGUGUUGUUCAAUUUAAUUUGAAAACGGUCUAUCGAUGAAUGUUGUAUAGUGUUGUUGAACAAUUAUCAUUAAACAUUUAAUAUUUGUUAAGUGAUGGUUGUUUGUGAGUUUGGGUUGAAUAUUUUUUAGGAGGCUUUUAGGUUGUUUGUUUAUCUUGUUUUUUUCUUUAGCGGCUUUGGUUGUUUCUGGAUUGUUUUCUGCUAGAUGGUGGCUCUUUUCCUAGUUUGGGAGUGAGUGUUUUGAAGAGAUGUGUUGCCGUGUCUUCCCUACAAGAAAAUCAUGAAAUAGAAACUAAUUUUUAGAGACCAAAAUAAUUAGCUACAAUAGGAACUAAAAUAGAGACCAUUUUAGAAACUAAAAAAAAAUUGGUUUCUAAAUUAGUUUCUAUUAUUUUAUAUUAUUGUUAAAUAGUUUCUAAAUUGGUAUCUAAUUAGCAACUAAGGUUUUAACUACCAAUUAUUUAGUUUAUAAAUUUGGUAGCAAAAACCUUGGUUGCUAAUUAGAUAUCAAUUUAGAAACUAUUUAACAAUAAUAGAAAAUAAUAGAAACUAAUUUAGAAACUAAAUUUCUUUUUAGUUUCUAAAAUGGUCUCUAAUUUAGUUACUAUUGCAACUAAUUAUUUUGGUUUCUAUGGUUUCUAUUUCAUGAUUUUCUUGUAGUGCUUAUUAUGUAUAAUGGUUGAAUUACCGCUGAAAUAGUUAUAUUUAUUUAUUUAUUAUUGCUGAUAAAAAAAAUAUUUGUUAAAAACUAAAUUUAAUUAGUUAAUAAUGUUGUAUUUAUGUGUGUACGUAAAACUAUUUUUAGAUAAUAAUAUUUUUUUUUAGUUAUUAAAUUAAUAUCUAAUUUAGUUAAUAUAAUAAUUAAUUAUUUUAUUUAAUUUUUUUUGUAGUGUUAAAUAAAUGAAUUAAAACUAGAAUAAAAAAGAAAAUUAUUUCCAACUGAUAUUGUGGUUCUUUACUAAUUAACUAAAAAUAGAAUAACUUAACGUUAAUUAAUUAUUGAUAAAUAAUUAAAUAUUUCCAUAUUAAAUAAUGCAAAUGAAAAUAAAUAUAAAUGCAAUGCUCGUACAUAUCUCAUAAAAAUAAUUUUGCCUAUACAAUAAUCAUAAAUCCUUAUACAGAAAUUUUAAGAAAAGAAAUAUACUUGCACAGAAUUAUUAUUCAACUGUUUAAUUUGUAUAAUCGUUAAUUUAAAAUAUGCACGAUUAUUUAACAUAACAUUGCAUGCUUGAAUUAUAUAGCCAAAAUAAACUUAUAAUUUAACAAUAUAAAUAAAUAUUCCAAACACAUUAAAAUUUAAGAAACCAUUUUAUUCAUUAAAUUACAACGUAAUAUAUGAUGCACUUUUUUUUUUACAAAAAUACAUAUAGAAUUAAAUAUGUUUUUCUCAAUGUACUAUAAUGUAAAAUUGGUUUUUCUCAUUGAUAUAAUCUUUAGAUAAUCGAAGUGUUUGUAAUAUGAAAACGAUUAAAAUGAGUCAUUAAAAGACAAUAUUAAUUAUUGUUUUCACAUGGUAAACAUGAACUUUCAGCAUGAAGUAUAUUAUAAUAUUCACGUUGGUUAGUGAUGAAUCAUUAUCCACCAUUUUAACUUUAUUUUUUAUAUAAAAAAUGUUUAAAAUAUUAAUAUUUUAUUUAUAUUAAAACAAGACUUUAUAAUUAUAAUAAAUAUUAUAAUUAAUAUAAGUGUUUUUUAAUAUUUUUUUAACUUGGAAAGAAUGAGAUAGCUUUGCAAUCACAUUGUUUCCACUCUCCCUCUCCAUCUGCCUAACCAUGUUUUUAACAUCCAAAAUUUUACUUCUCACUUUUGCUUGAGCAAGAAUUUUCUUGUUUGAGGAAAAAUGGACCUAAGAGUAAGGUAAUUUUAUUGUCAUAUUCUAGUUUGAGCGAUAAUCUUUCGUUUGAGCGAAGAUCUCUCACUUGAGUGAAAAUAUCAUAACAAAUUUUCUUAAAACUGAUACUUUUCAAGAUUUCACCCAAAAUAAAUACUCAACUUGUAUUUUAUAAAACAUAUAAGACCAAAAUGAUAUCACCUUCACUACAAGAAAAUUAUUAGAUAUAGACUAAUUUUAGAGACAAAAAAAUAAUUAGUAACUAUAUUAACUAAAUUAUAUAUUAUUUUAGAGACUAAAAAAAUAUUGGUAUCUAAAGUAGUUUAUAUUAUUAAUAAGUUUCUCAAUUGGUAUCUAAUUAGUUACUAAAAUUAAUUUAGAAGUAGGUGUAGUGUGCUCAAACCUAAAGAAAAAACAGGAUAGUCUAACCUGCACCAAGUUCUGAUCAAUGAUCCAAACAUAUCACUAGGACUAUGAACUACCAGAGACUAAUUCUAUAGUUAUAACCACCACAUGCAAACACGUUUAUGCAAACAAACCAUAAAACUUAAAACUGACUCAAAUAAAAAAUGAGUGAAAAAUGAACUUACUAUAACCAAAAUUCUGAUAACGUAAUAUUACUUUACUCACUUCCUAGCAAUCUAGUGGUAGCCUCUGAUAGUUAGUAUGAUAAAAUAGGUGGUCAAAAUCUUAGAGAGAAUGAAAAAAAAAAAAUUUAAAAAGAUGAUAAUUAUAUUAAAAUGAAACAUGAAUAACUGAUUUUUUUUUAUUUAUAUACAUUUUUUACUUUAACAAUAAAAUAUUCAGAUAUCAUUUUAAUUAUAUCAAUUUAACUCAAACUAUAUUUUAGGUUAUUAUAAUUUAGGUUUUACAUCUAUUAUGUGAAUGAUACACCAAAUUUAAAAGAAGAAUAGAAAUGACCUUAUGACAUUUUCUAUUGUAAAUACAAGGGUUAUCUAAUUUUAUUUUAUAGAAAAAAAAAACUUAGUCGAAAAAAAAAACUAAGACAAUAUUUUUUUUAUCGAUAAUAAAAAAUAAAUAAAUGGAAACCACUUCAUAAACCUUAUACGAUACAAUAUUCUCGUAAUUAAGCAAAACAUGGCAUACCCACGAAUUAUGUAAAUGAAUGGUACAGUGUCUAACUUGUUUAUGAGAAGGGUUCCCUAUGCUUAACAGUUAAAAGUGUACACUUGUAGCCAAACAUGUUAUAUUAUAAUCCAUAAAAUGGAAUGCACUUUCCCUUUAAGUCUAAUCACAAUUUCUUAUCGUCUAACUCCUAUCUUCUUGUCCAACUUUCUAGGUUUUGGGUGUUGCUUCUCCACUCAUUCACUUACUAUUAUUGCUCUCAUCAACAUAGCCUUGCAUUAAAUUACACCUCCACAGCAUCCAAUGUUCACAACCACCAACCCUACUAUGGUUAUCCAAAACAUGUUGGUGCUGUCAUUGCUUGCAACAAUCCUAUCCUACACUCUCACUUAACACUUUUAGCUACACUUUGUUAGGGAAAGAUUCAACAACCCCACUUGGAUUCAAGAACACUUUGUGACACUUAUUCUUACCGAUAAAUUUUUUUACUGUUUUUAUUAAUUAUAUUUUUAUUUCAUUUGAAUUAUUUUCAUUUCAAUAGUAAUAUAUAAUAUAGUCACGUUGUUUUAGUUUGUAUAAAAUUAAAUUUAAUUAUAAGUAAUUUUAUUUAUUAAUUAAUUAUUUAACUAAAUUGUAUAUAACUUAUUUUAAAUCUCUUUGUUUACAUCAAAAUGAUAAAUCUCCAAAAUAUCAAUUACUAAAUAAUGAAAUAAUUAAUUAUAUUAUCUAUAAAUCUUAAAUAAUUAAUUAUAUAAUCUAUUCAAAUAAAAAACAUAAAAAUAAAUCUGCUUGCAAGUACAACUUCAAUUAAAAAAAUAAAAAAUAUGUAUACAAACACGACUAAAACACAAUUUCAAUAGAAAUAUAAAUAAAAUUGAAAUUCAUGUUUUUAUGCACGACUUCUUAUUAAAAAGAAUUGAUGAUUAAAUUUUAAAUUAUGCAUGCAACAAGUCUUCUUUAUUUAAAAAAUCAUUUUUAUAAACACACUUAUCCAAUUAUAUAAUUCUUAAAAAAUUAUCCAUUUUAAUAAAAAUAUUAAAAAAAAUUAACAUUUGUGUAAAUUUUGCCAACAUCAAAUACUAUUAGAGUAUAUCAUGUAUUUUUAUAAAAUUAUCUUUAAACACAAGGGAAUUUCUAAUAGAAGUAUUAUAUAAUGCAUCACAAAGGGAGGAUUCAAUUCUAUCCAAAUUUGUUGUCAGAAGAAUAAUCCUAAUGCAACAACACCCCGCGCCCACCAAAAACAAGUAUUAAAAUAACCUUAAAAAGUAAUAAAGAAAAAUACGGUUUUGACCCUUCCAACAGUGAAAAUCAGCUAAAUUCACGAAACACACAGUGCAAACUACAAGUUGUUUUCACAUAAAAAUAUAUGUUUUUGACGUGAUAUAAUUAUUUUGUAAGUUUUUAAAAUAUUCAUAAAAGUUAGUGUUGAUCUCUUUCUAUCUAUUUUGUUGGUAUUGCUUAUAAACUAGGAAACUCGGACACUCCUCUAAAAUGACGUGUGUGUUGGUAUCUGACACUCAUAGGACACAUAUUUGUGAAAUGUCCAAUUCAAAACAUAUUUAUUGAAUUUUUCACAAUUCUAGCAUGAUUCUAACACAAUUUUAAAAAGAAAAAAUACAUUAAUUUUUUAAAAUCUUAAAUUUAUUAUAUAAAUUUUUAAUAUGAUUAUAAAAAUAAGAAACAAAUCAUUUUGAACUAGUAAUGAAAAACAUCUUUCUGCUAAAAAAAAAAUCUGGAACAUACUUAUGCACAUAAAUCUUGUCAAUUUAUAUACAGUCAAAUUUGGAGCAGUUUAAAUGGUGAUGUGUAUGAAAGAAAAGCUCACUUCUAUUAGCAAAUAUUUAAACAUUUUAAUCCAAUCGUUAUGAAUUGAUUGAGUGAGGCCUUGACCUCUCAUUGGAAAAGAGAAAACCUUACCACUUAUUUUGGAUGCUAAUGGCAUGAGCUUAUAACUCCUAAUGAUUAUCCAAAUUUUUCAAGCAAUUACUUUCAAGUGGGUCUUGCGUUUUGACAAAAACUUACUGCAUAUGCAUCAAACAAGACAUAUAUGACACAUCUAUUUGACAAUUGUGACAUUAACUUUGUUCUUAUAAGGUUGGAUUUUUUCAUGAGUGUUUCUUCUCUUUUGUCGGUCUCUAGGUUUUACGGUAUUUCAGUUAUUCAGUUCUUCCAUUCUUCUUUAAUUUUAAUCAGUGGUGGAGUACCUACAAAUAUAUUCUGAUGCUCAAGUUAGUCUAAGUACGAUUUGUAAGUGUUACAGUUGAUUGAUCAUUAUCUUUGUCUCUUGGGUGUCUCUCUAUUUAUACUUUCUGGUUGGACUUUUGUUGGUAUGGGCUUGCGCGCAGGGUCCAAACGGGUCAAUUUCUCAUUAAUCAUGCUUUGUAGAUAAUUUGGCGUGUUACUGGUUAAUGGCGUUUUAAGAUCUCUUACGUGUUUUGUAAGACAUGCUGAGAGGCCAAGAGAGUUGUCGACACGACAGGUCUAUUGGCUACUCAGCAGUCUGGUAGUACACUUGUCCCCAAAUUCGAGUAGAAUGAAGUUCGAAUGGAAUGUAAAGUCUAAAACUUUUGAGGCUUUUUUAAAUUUAAAAUUUAUUUUUUAUCUUAGUUUAGGUAUGAUACGCGAAAUACGUUGUUGAGCAGUUGAGACGUUGACUAUGUGUCAUCUUGUCCUUUAGGGAUAACCUUGAAACUCUCUUUCAUGUGGUAUACUAGAAGAGCUUUGGACCAUGAAGUUUUAAGUUAAAACUAAUGAAGUUUGAUUAAGAAAGUGUUUUGCCUUUCAUUUAUUAUAUGGUCAAUUAUGCGAACAUGACCUGGGAAAUCAUAUAAGGACAAUGCAUCUUGAAACAAAAAAGCCUACCUUUUCAAAUUCAAAGUUCCAUGUUUGAUUUUCUAAUGUCUUAUUCAACUAGUAGAUAAGUAUAACACAUAAGUUAAUUAUAAGGCUUAAUUAAUUGUGGGGUGAGGAGUUUCAAGUAUAUUCAUGUUUGAAUCAAUACUAGAAUUAACAUUUUGAAUCUUUGAACCCUUCAACGAACUUAGUCUAGACAGUUGUUUCUCUUGUGAGCUGUUUGGAUAGGCACUUUUUCACAUGCUUAAUUUAUUAUUAUAGAACAAAGAUACCCCACAAUAUAACCAGUUAGGUGAAGAUCCAAACUGCAAGCUAGUGUACCGUUUAUAGUUAACACGACAAAGAAGACUGUGCAUGUCUAACAAAUUAGUGAGAGUGAAGUUUAGGUAGGCUUUGAAGGGGGAAAAGGAAAAUGGGAUGUGGGAAAGAAGCUAGAAAGUGAAAAGAUCAUGUGGACAAACCUGAAAGCGGUGCAACAGUGCCCUUUGUACGGUGUGUCUCUGCAUGUCAUGGUCCCAUCAUCACUCAGAUUACAAAGUUAAACAUGCAAGCAAACCUCAUUAUUCUAGUUGUUUAUCUGUUUACUCUUUCUCUAGCAUUUUCUUAUACUUACAAAACUGCACAUUAAAUUUCAAAACCCAACUAGCUCGCUAACCAUCAUGCAGUAAUCCAUCCAAGUUCUUCACUUGUAUGCACAACGGCUGGUUAAGGAGCUUAUUAGGAUCAUAAUAGAACUCAUAGGUAAAACUUCUUGUUGUAAAUCUUAUCUUAUUUUAUCUGAUAAAUGAUAAAUAAAAUAAUAUAGAACAUUUGAGGGGUGUUCUAACCCUAUUACAAAGAGAAAAUCUAACAAAAAGGACCUCUAACCAAACCUACAAAACCCAAAAGAACUACAUAUUUUUGUGUUUCAAAAUUAACAUCAUUAAAAUGUUCCUCUAGAACCCUGCUCCAAUGUAAGUACAUGAAGAACCAGAAGACUUAUUUUAGAUAUACUUAGUUGUCCACAACCUUAUACAAAACAUAUAUAGUAUAAAAAAAUACAUAGUACAAAAGAUAUGCUACAAAAUACAAUCAUAUUAAGACCAUUAAUAUGUUUAAACUCCUAAAAAAAUAUCCUGAAACAAUUUCCACUUAGUCUAUUUAUAAUAAUAAUGUCAAAGCUCAAUUCUGCGUACGAGAUUGAAUUGCACAAUUUUACAAAAAAUGACUGCAGCACCAACAUAUUGCAGUCUAGUUCGGACAAGUCUUUAUCUUGUUAUAGACCAACCAAUUUUGUUGAAUAAUAAUACUCAUAUUAGAGGAGGUCAUGCAGUUCGUUUGUGAUGAAAAGUCUUGUUUAAUGUAUUUUGUCUAACUUUUCAUAAGGUUUUCCCUUUUGUCCAUAAGAAAAGUUGGAAAGAAGCCUAAGAGGAUUGUGAUAAUGGUAUAAUUAAAUGUGCUUAGUUUCUAACCUGAGUUGUGUGUGUGGAGAGUUAUCUUUCUAGUUCCUAAAAAUUUGCUUUAAUUGUGAGCUAAAUUUGUAAGUUAGUAACAUGGAAGUACUCAAUAAUGACCCACUUGACUAUAUGCACAUAUAUGUGACAAACCCUUUGAGUUAGGGAGAGAUAAUAGUGGUUUGCUUUAAGAAGAAUCCAAAGCCAUUUAUUUGUUUUUAAGGCAACACCAAGACCCAUUAAUAGACAAUAGAUGAAGGGUGCAACCCAAUUGGUGCAAAGCAUUUGCUCAAUGCUACAACAAGACAAUUAGCUAUGAGUCAAAACAUAGUACCAUCAUUUGAAUGUCAUCCAAAUGCCCCCUUAACUUUGUUUCCUCUUGGCCAAGCCUUCUUGGAAACCUUCUCCAACUAAGCUUUCACUUUCAUGGAACAUUCUUCUUGUGAAUGUCUGGUUUGCCCUCGUGGAACCUUUGCCUCCUACAUUGUCCCUCUUCAGCUUCACACAAUCACACUAUGAAUUAUGGACCUACUUUUUAGAUCAAUAUAUUCUAAAUUAUCUUCUUCAGAAAAUGGCUACAAAUUAAAGUACGUUGUUGUGGCAGACACUGCAGCAUUGAGGAAGACUUCAUUGGACUAUAGCUUAUACCGUCCUUAGUGGACAACAAACAAGCGAGAAGAUAAAUACAUCAUCCUCACUAUAGUCUCAAAUUGAUGAGAAACUUUAUUUGUUUUUACUAGUUUUAUCCACUUGAACAAAAUUGUUUGUAUUUUGUACCCGUCGACGAGUCGAUCUUAACCGAGGUGACCGACCAUCCGAGUCAAAAGAUACCUUAAAACAUGCAAUAAAUGAUGGCAGUAACGACAGUUACAUUAGCCCUUAAUGAGUCAUAAUUCGUAUCCCAGAAUACGCGGUAAAUAUCUGACCCAAAUAUUCUUCAGAUAUUUCAAGAUACUUAUGUAUCAAUAUACCUCCCUAAUAACCAGGGAUCAUGAUGCACAUCAACGAAUAACUGGAAUCUGGCACAUCAUAAGAAGGGUCCAUGACCAACACUAUAAAUAAACCAUCUACGGAGGUGUAAGGUACGCUAGUAUUUACUUGAUAGUCAGAGUACAUUUUUUCAGGUUAACUUCGACUGAGCAUCAAUAUUUGUGGGAGGAGACUCAAAGAAAAGAAUCAAAGAAUCACCGAUACAUGAACAAUUGUACUACUAGUCUCAGAUAUUAUCUAGGUUCUCUUCACCUAUAAAGAUACAUAUUUAAAAAAACAAAAAGAAUUGUGAUUUGUUAAUUAUUUGAUGCCCGUGUAAAUAUUAACUACACAUUUUUGUACGUGAAGAUCUUGAUAUCAAGUGGGGGUGGAUUUGCUGUGGCCAUAUAAAGAAAGCUUUUUCCACAAAAUUCUAUAAAAAAAUAGAAGAAAAAAAACUUUGAUGAGUCCCAAUCACAACAGUCUCCAAAAGGGUGAAGACAGCAAUUUAAGUAACUCACUCGUGAGUAAUAUUUAUAUAUAUCAAAUAUCUCGCCACCAAAUUGAUAAUUGAUAUUCGUACUCACUACUUGUGGAAGAAGAAAAACUCAUCAUCUUACCCACAAGUGUUGUACCUGUAGUUUUAGCAUUAAUAUUGAUCACUAUCUUCUCCUUCAAGCUGAAUAUUAGAAAAGAGAAAUGCAUUAUAGAAGUUAAUGCAAGAAAAAUUAUCAAAAUUAAACAGUAGUGACCUGAGUAGUAAGGUGAAUUAGGGGUUAAAUUUAUAAUUUCUUAUUUCAAUUAUGUUUUGAUGGAUAAGGAGCAUGAAACCCUAGUCCACAGACAUCAAAAAGUUUUCCUACAUAGCGAUAGAAUGGAAAAUAACAACAGCAAGUAGUUCAUUAAUGUGACUGUGCACCAACCACCAAUAUCUCGUGGUCGGAUAUUCUUUGACAUUUCAAUGUUCAAACUUCCAAAUAAACUUGACCUUAAAAUUUACUUGUAAAAAACAUUUUAAACUUUCAUUAAAAAUAUUGAAAAUUUUGUGUUGUGUUAUAUACCCUCUUCUUGUUCAUCUCUCUUCACUAAAAAACAUGAAUCACCACUGAAAGCUCAUCUUUACAUAACCCUCACCAUUUUCUGCGUAUUGUAGCUUCUUCAUGGUACAUUCAUGAGUAAAUUUACUAAAAAAAUGUCUUUGAAUAGUUUAAUACAAAUUAAAAAAAAAUCCUAAUAAAAAUUAAUUCAUUUAAUAUAUUAGGAACUCAACUUGUAUAUAUCUAUAUAUUUACUUCAGGAAAUAAAAAUUAUUUUUAAAAUAUUGAAAUUUAAUUAACCACUUACUGUGAGAUCCUAAACUCAAAUGUCACGUUCUAUUGCUAUAGGGUUCUCUUUUAGAAAAUUUACAAAGCGGUUGUGUAAACUUUUGAAAUUGCAAAUCUAACCUCGUCAUUAAUUUAGAUAGUUUGUGGAAGGUGCUUUAGAUGGAAUUUUUUAAACGCAUCAUAAUUUUUUUAUUUUUUAUCAGCAAUAAUAUAUAUAUAUAUAUAUAUAUAUAUGAAUCAUUUAAGGAAUAUUUCAAUCCAUAUAGUAAGUAGCUAUAAUUUUUUAUUGUUUCAUUUAGGCUCUGUUUGCUUCCAUAGAUGUACUGUUCACAAGGAAAGAAGUGAGAGAAUAUCGCUGGUUUGGAUCCAAGGUUUUGCAGGGAAGAGGAGGAGAGGAUAUACUGUGAACAGUAAAUAUCCUCUCCCCUCAAGAUGAACAGAUGUAGAGGGAAAGCCACAGCAUCUGUUAUUUAUGAAUUUACCCUCUUUCAUCUACAAGAGUUUUUAAUAUUAAAAAACAGUAUUUUAUUUAUUUAUAUAAGAUGUGAUUUUUUUUUCUAAUUUUAUAAUAUAUAUUUUAGACGGUAAACUUUUUUUUUCCUAAUAUUAUAGUAUUUUAUUUAUUUAUAUAAGAUGUGAUUUUUUUUUCUAAUUUUAUAGUAUAUAUUUAAUAUUUAAAGAAAUUAUUUAAAGUUCUCUUUUUAUUUAAUUUUUUGUUGCGUUUAUAUUAAUAUAUUUUUUAUAAUUAUUAUAUUUAUGAGUUUGUAAUUUAUUUGAUAAUAGUUUUUUAUGAAAUUAUUUUCUACUGUUAAUUACAUUAUAUUUUUUUUAUUAUUAUAUGGUUUUUAAUAAUAAAAAAUAUUAUCUUUUAUUUAUAUAAGAUUUAAUUUAUUUAUUUAUUUAUUUUCUAAUUUUAUAAUACAUGUUUAAAAUUUUAAUAAAUUUUUUGAAGUUUUAUUUUUAUUUAAUUUGUUGAAUAUAUAUUUUUUUCUAAUUAUAAUUUUUAAAUUAUAUAUAUUUAUAUUUAAUAUAUAUUUAUUUUUUAUUUUUUAUUUUUAAAUCUACGAAAUAUGUGAAAGCUGUUUAUUUCUAAAAAAAAUAGCUCAUUUCAUUAUUAAAAAACAUUAAUAGGCAUGAAUAAAUUUGUAAAGUAACAUUUAACAAUUUAAAAAAAAAAAAAAACUCUCUCACAAUCAUCAUAUCACUCACAAACUCCCAUAAACUUUUCUCACACAUCCACCCUAACAUACCUCAAUCCAAACAACCUCACUUUCUUCGCACUUUCUUCUCAUAUCCUCACAUAUCCACUCCCUCAAAUCCUUACACAUCCACUCCCCAAUCCAAACACACACUUAAUAUACAUCGAUUUCUAAUCCUACACCAAUAACACUAUGGUUGCAAAAAUUCGUCAAAUCACACAGUCAUGAAACAAAAAUGGUAUUUGUUUAGUGAUGAAUUGGAAAAAUUCAUGUCUGAAUAAUAAAAUUGUUGACGUUAAUGUUGUAUUUGUCCUUUCAUUCUCAUUGAGAGUGUGCCACCGUAAUCAUGAGACAUAUAUUGUAGCGAAGGACUUAAUAGCAGUUAUUAAGGUUAUGAAUCUUGAUCCCCAGCCAUUCAUCAAAAUUAAAUCACAAUAUAUAGCAACUAUUUAUACAUAUCAAUCAUAAUUUUUAGGUAAAUCUCAUUAAUUGUUGUUGAAAAUUCCUACUUGAUGGGAGACCAAUUGGUACUUGAUUCAUUGAAUUUAUGAAUGAUGGACAUUCCAAAGAGUUGAAGAUAGUCUUUUCAAGGUAUCUUGAAAAUAUGACAAACAUUAAUGAUAUAUUUUUUUAUAAAGAAAUAUUUCUCUCUCUUUAUAUAUAAAAGAAACUUGUGAAAAAGAGAUGAACAAACAAAUGAGAAAAACAACGUAGAAAAUAAAUUAGAGAAUCGAUAUCCAUCAUAUUGUGAGAUUAAAAAUCCUAUUGAAAGGUUAGAGAAACAUUAUUUUUUUCAACAAACGUUAGAAAUACAUUGUAUUUUAUUUUUGUUGGAUGAGAUUAAAUAUUACGCUCCUAAAAUGAGAUAAACAAAUAUUAUAAUCUUAAUCUUACAUGUGUCAUUAUUAUAAUUUACUCUAUUUUCUUUUGUAUAUUUACUUUUUCUGCAAAUGUCCAUUUUGUAUGUUUAAUCUUCAUACAAAUGUUCAUUUUAUAUCUACACAGAGAAGAAAUAAUUAAUUCUGAUUUUUCCAAUAAUUAUAUUCCAAAAAUUAUUAAAUAAUAAUAAAUUUAUUACUCAUCAGACCAAAGUAGUCAAUAAUAUGUUCAAACUAUAUUUUCGUAUUCUGUUAUGACAAUAAUUACGCAUUGACAACUUGUUUUGAAAACAAUAAUAUCUUAUUUUGUUUUUUCAAUAACUAUAUCAUAAUGAGUUUAGAUCAACAUGUUAAAACCUCACCAUUUCUGAAAAAAUCCAAAAGAUGAGAAGUAAAUGGAAGGAGUAUAAGAAAUUAAAAAGAGAGUAAUUGUUAGUGAAACUCAAAUUGUGUGACAACUUCUUGUAUGAUGUUUAUAAUUAAGCUUACACAUUUAUAAAGAUUAAUAAAAAAUAUUUAAUGAUAAAAUAAUUUAUAAUCAAAUAAAUAUUAAGGGAUUGUUAAUAAAUACUUGUAAAUAUAGUUAUUUAUAACAUUUAAAAUAAAAAAACUGUAUUGAAUAUUUGGAUUUGUUUAGAAAGAAAGAAAUAAUUAUAUGUAAUAUAUAAUAUGAAAGAGAAAUAAAAUAUAUCUAUAAUUAAUAUAAUAUAAUAUUUUCAUAAUAUAAAAUAAUAACAAAAUGUUUUAUAAAAGUAAAUGGUACUUCAAUAUUAUUAUAUAAUUCUUACAUCAAUAAUUCUUUUUUUUUGUCACUGCUUGGAGGGUGUUGGAGAAUAAGAUUGCUACUAGGGUAAAUUUGGGAAGGCGAGGGGUGGUGGUAGAGAAUCCGACGUGUGGUUUGUGUGGGAAGGUGGAAGAGUCGUCCAAGUAUCUGUUUUCAGUCUGUGAGUUUACCUGGCGGGUGUGGUGUCUUUGUUUUGAGUGGCUAGGAGUGUCGUUGGUUAUUCACAAGGAUCCUUGGUAAACUUCCAACAAUUCAGGUUGUGUUCGACUUCUGAUGUGGUUAAUGACGUUUGGGGGGCGAUUUGGGUUGGUGUUGUGAGUGGAAUUUGGAGACAUAGGAACUUUGUGACCUUCGACAAGGGCGUGGUAGAUGCGCUCAAAGUAUUGGCACUAGUACAGGUAUGUUUGGUCUUGGAUUUUUGCAAAGUCCUGUUGUAAUCCCUUUACGUACCCCAACUGGGUUUUGAACCUAGUGGAUUGUAUGAGGCUGGUUGUUUAAUGCUUUCUUGAGUUUAGUUUGGUUGUUCCUUAUUUAAGUUGGAAGGUGUCCUUUGAUAGGAGGUUGGUAAGACGCUAACUCUUUAUAUAUAUGGGUUGGACCACCUCUGAAAUGGUUCCCAUUUAUUUAUUUUUUAUUGUUGAUAAAAAAAAUUCUUUUUUUUCUCUUAAUUUUAUAUAUAUAUAUAUAUAUAUAUUAAAUUUUGAAUAGAAAAAAUAUUAGGGGGCUCCAAGAAACCCCAGUCCGUAAAGUCUUCCCUUAUUCACCUUUCAAUUUAGUUUUAUAGGAUCACCAUUGAUUGUUAUGUCUUAAAGAUGAAACAUUUCUGGUUUCUUCUAGUCUUGUAUUCAAGUAUUCAAGUUGGAUCUAAUUUAAAAAAAAUUAAAAUUAGUCAAAAUAUUAUUUAUGAGAAAUGAGAAUAAUAACACAUAUAUUUUUUUUUUAAAAUUAAGCGUUAGAGUUACAUCAUAAAAGUAAACAUGGCAGAAUAUACUAUUUUAAAUAAGAGUGUGGAAAGGUUUUCACCAGUUUUUUUAUCAACUAAGAAAGAAUGAAUAAAUAAAAGUAUUUAAGAAAUACUUUAAUCCUCUUAAAAAAAAACUUAUAUCUAAUUGCUCAACACAACUUGUUUCAACAACAUAAAUAACUCAUAUAAAUCAGUUGCACCUAUAUAACUCCCAACAAGGUCUUUCUCUUUCUUGCAAAAUGACAAACAAAAGAGUAAAUACAAAAUAUCUUUCAACAUAGCAAAAAAAUUUAAAGGCUUGUAUAAGAAUUAUAUACCAGCAUUGCAAAUAUCUUUCCUACGUCUAAUCAUACCAUUUGAGCAACAUAAUUCCUCUUACUUUUCAAUUCAAUGUCAAUAAGUUCGUAGAGCCAAUGUUUGGUAACCACAAAAAACAAUACCAGCAGGUAGUGUCCUUCCGUUGAUUCUUCAAGAGAAAACAAGAGACCAAUUGCUUCCCUAUGCUAACUAGCCAAGUAACUUCUACAAAUAGUUACCUUUCUUGACCGCUCUAAAAGAUUGUUUCCCGAAACAACCUACAACCAUGUACCUUUCAUAGUCCACAACCAGUUCAAGUGCAGAUAAAUUAACAUAAAUCCAGCAACAAAAACUCUUAUCAUCUCACCGAUUCAUUAAUCAGAUUUUACUCCCAUAAGUUACCUGAUGCACUUCAAACACUGAAUCUGAUGCACUUCAAACACUGAAUUAGAUAUAAGUACCAAUCUGAAAGAGAAUAAUUAAAACAUGAUAGAGUAUAUUUCAUGUCUGCUCAUGCUUUAAGUUGUGUCAUAUAUAAAACCUCUUCUGCUUCUACCUUAGCAUCCUUGAAAACUAUAUUGUUAAACUGCAACAAUAGAAUUAUUGGUUAGUGAAUUUUGUAACAUAGUUUACACCUCUUUGUAUACGUGUCAAAUAUGAUUUAUUAUUAUUAUUAUUAUAAUAAUGAUUUUAAAUUUACAUUGAUAAAUCAUAAUCCUUGAAUAUAGAUUAUUUUUGUUGUUAUUGUUGUUUUCGCCUUUUAAGUUUUUUAUACACAAAAAGUGUGGUACCUUUCACCUUUAAAUUUUAUUGAAGUUUACUUUAAAACUUUUUCUUAAUUUGUUUUAACUUUUUAGCUCUAGUUAUUUUUACCAAUACUUGUACUUAUAAAUUUACGGAAAAAAUAUUCUACAUAUAACUCUAACAAAGUUAUUUACACAUCGAAUCAAAAUCAUUAUGUGACACUCCAACACUAAUCACGUAUUAAGACCACUAAUUUUCAAGACAAUACAAUAACCUUUUUUAUAACAUUUGUAUGAGGAAAAAUCUCCACUAAAUAAAAAGUUUAACCAAAACUCAGGACGAUACUAUCGUGGCACCUAAUCCUUAACCUAUAAUCUUAACACCAAACUCUAUCAUUAGUUAACUCAUACUCACAUAUUAUAUAUUGCCACAACCAUAACUUUCACCUUCAAUGUCCUACUCACUCCUCACUGUAACAACGAAAUAAAUCUGAACUUUUCGUCUGGAAAAAAACAAUUUUGAGUUUUGAUUCAAAGUUGAUUUCUUGCUAGGUUUCUAUAAAAUUGAUGGUAUUUAGUGAUAAAUAUAUUUUUCGUUUUUAUAUUUUUACGUGAAAUUGAUUUAUGUAACAAUUUUACAUAAAAAAAUAUAGGAAAAAAACAUAUUUAACCUAAAAUUUAUUUAGCAAUUUGUGAAAUUAACAAUUUAAGUCUUAUUAGUAAUUUUUUUUAUAUUAGCAAGAAAUGAGCUUCUUGCAUAAAUCUUUAAAAUUUUACUAAAUAGUUAACUAUAUGACAAAUUCCAUUAAAAGGAAAUUAAGUUUAAACUUUUUAAUUUAGUUAAUUACGUUACAUUAUAAACUUUUAUAAAAUCAAUUAGACGUUUGUCGUCAAUCUGUUUAAAAUUAAACUAUAUUUUGGUAAAAAAAAGUAUUAAUAUUUAAUAUAUAAAUAUCAAUUAACAAUUCAAUCAUGAUGUACUUUACUUAAGGUAAUGAAUAGACGCAAUAUGCUUUUUUUUUCUGAAAUUAAUAAUUUUAGUGUGAUAGACCUUUGAACGAAUUCACUUAUAUAAUUAAAUAUAUUUAUUUAUUUCAAAUUUCAAUUACAAUAUAUUUAUAUAUAACAUAAUAUUUAGAAAGACAUGGUCAUAAUUGAUACUAUCACUCAAAUUUGUAUACAUACUACUUAACAAUUUCUCUUUUUUAGGAAAUCACAUAACAAAUUUCUUUUGUAGAAUAUGAAUUUAACCUCCUGAAUUAAGGAGUCAUUUGAUUUUAUCAUUCAUUAAUAACCUUUUUUCUCUUUCUUUUUUACAAUAAUGAAGAUCGAAUUUAGUAUCUUAUACAACUGUUUCAAUUUUGUUUUAUCACUAAACCAAUUUUAAUGAAUACACACAGGAAACAAUUACUAGGAAAUGAGCUGGACCAAUACGAGCUGGAUUUUAGAUUGCAUCCCAACUGCUUGUUAAAAUGACCCAUGCAAAUUUUGGGUUAAACGUUGGCAACAAAGAGAAACUAAUCAUCCAGGAAGAGACCUACUAGUUCUAUACCAAAAUCAAUAUAAUUUCCCACACCGUAACGUAGCUUUCAAUAUCAAAUUUGUGAUUAAAAUUAAUUUGAAAACAUUUCUCAAUUAUAUGUCAUCAAUAGUACUGCAAAACCAAUUCCACGAAAAUCUAAAACAAACAAACAACACCAAACGUUUCUGUAAAUGAAAACUUCCCAUCAGCAUGUGCAACGUGAAGGUGAACAAGUACUGAUGAGAAGACUAACAUGAUGACUCUUCAAGCAUACUAUGCUACGGACAUAUGAACAUGGCUGAACAACAUGGGGGCCAGUGACCACGUGGCACAGCCUAGUUCAACCACCAAUGUUGGUCCUCUUUGCGGGUUUAUUCCUGUUCCUUAUUAUGUUGACCUCCACACUCCCUCACUCCAUUUCAAUAUUACCCAGCACAGCCCCAUUCUCUGGCCAGCUUUUCUGAACGAGAAAAAACGAUGAAGGUGAUUGAAUUGAAACCAUGCACACAACCAUUUUGUUCCUCAUGCAUAUUUUCAACUUAUUGUACUACUUUUCCUUUAGUCCUUUAUCUGGAGGUUGGAAGUUUAUCAUAUGUAGUGUUCUUAUAGGUAUUCAUGUUAUCUUCGUGAAUUGUUUUGUCACAGAUCUUCAAUUGGGUGCAGAAAAGGUUUCAUCAUAACUCUCUGAAAGGUUUGACCCUCUUUCUAUAACUUCUCUCAUUUGCAAUUUAACAAAUCUCAUCCUUCACAAGCCUCAUUAUAAACAAAUCUUCAUGAUUAUAUAUAGGUUGUUAGUUCUUUUUCUUCUGUUUUUUUCAAGAGAGUGGCAACUUUUCUUCUCUGAUGAACUUUGUUUAACCAAGUCAAUGGGAUUAUAUGAUCCAUACUUAAUCAACCUUGACUAGUGUCAUCUUCUCUUCUAAUGAAUCCUUUGGUUUCACUCAGAUGGGUUUGCUUCAAACAUGAAAAAGACUGAACCUAUAAUUAACAACGCGGACAGCCAAGCUUUGCUGAAACAAGUUGCCCUUACUGAAUCACUUGGUGGAUGGGAAGACGGAAUUCUAACCAUUGGCACUCUUGGCUAUGAUCCCUUGAAGUCCAUCAACCCUCACAAAGAAUACUUUGCUUUGGAAAUUGAAGUUGAACAAGAAGAUGGUGAAGGAGAGGACAGCAUCAUGGUGGAUGAGCAGGAGGAACUGAAUCCAUUGAUAUACAACACAUUUGAGCACAGCCUUGAGAAUAUUGUUAGUGAAAACUAUGAUGAUGUGGAUGUGGUUAGGAGUUUCAACGAAAUCGUUGUGGCUCCAUCUGUGAUUUCUUAUGAAGUGAUGGAAUCAUACGAUGUGGAGGCUGAUGAAAAGAAGAAGAAAGGAGAGAGAAUCACAUUGGCUGAUCUCUUCUUAGCUGAUUCUGAUGUCAAGAUAAAGCUUAACCCUGCCAAAGUCUGCCACCUUGCUUCAAGUGAAAAACCAAACCUUAAAGCAAAACAUGGACUCUCUUUUGCCAAGAAGCUCAUUCCCCGCGUUAAGGAGAAUCCCCAUCCAAUGAAAGAUAUAAAAAAAGUAAGUUACUACCCAAAAAAAAUCAUGCCCUAUAACACUUUCUUAUUCAACAAAAAAAACAUUUUUUACAAUGCACAGACUUUUUACUGCAUUGAACUAAUAUAUAUUACAAUGUAAAACUUUUGGUUGUUUCUUGGAAUUUAUGUGUAUGUAUGUAUGUAGUGUUGGAACCACAGAUUGCAGAUUUGCUUGAAUUAGUUUGAUUAAGUAAAAUUUGUAAUGCUGUGUAGCUGAUGAAGAAGAUGUUGAAGAGGAAAAUCCACCCUGAUCUUGACGUUAAGAAUCACAAACCAGAAGGUCAGGAAGUGAGUGCAGCAGGACUAAACCUUGAUGAUAAUCACAUGAAUGAAGGCAAUGACUCAAGUUAUUUCCUUUCAAUUUAAGGUAUGGCAGUUCCAAAAUCCCUUUUCCUGCAAUGCCUUUUAUUAGCAAAAGAUUUGCAGUAAAUCAUGGAUUGCAUCCAGUUUAAGAGUGUUCCUCAUCUAUGGAAAAAAAAAAUAAAGGCUUUAUUUUCUCAUCACUAAAUUUUUAUUAAUUUCUUAAUAUAUAUUCUUUAAUAAAAAAAAGUAUAUAUUAUUAUUACUAAAUGUUAGAUAUUAAUUGAAGUUGAAAUAUUUUAUAAAAAUAUCUUUAAACAAAGUAAAAAUAUACCAAUAUUUCUGUUUAUGGAUUGGAACACGAAUAGAUAAUUAAUGUUUAAUCUUCAACGUUUCCACAUAGGAUUUCUUACAAUUAAUUCUCUAAGUCUGAAAGAAUAUUGACCUUAACUUCGUAAUAAGAUGAUUUUAGGUGAGUGAUGCUACUCACAUUCACUGAUUAGGGUAGAGUGUUAAUUGUUGGCAACUUUGCAUACGUUUUUCUCUAAUAACAAUCUGUAUAUUAAUAGUAUAGACAUUCUGCUUUGUGAAUCUAAUCUUUAAUAAUCAUAUAUUUAUCCGUUGGUACAGAUCAGUAUAUCAUCUUAAGGCUAAAUUCAUAAUCUGUGUAUUAUUAAAUCAAUUUUCUUCAGUCAAACACUAUAUAUAUGUCAAUCAGAAAAAACUUUAUGACAAACACUUUCUACUAUUGUUUUUUCUUCUUUAUACACAUAUGUUUUUAUGUACACUCUUAAUAUAAGAGUGUUUAUACUUUAACAAUAUUGUAUUGAGAAUAUUUUACCAUAUUAGAUGGAGAAAAAAAAUUCUUAAAAUGAAAUAAUUUUAAAAUUAUAUUAAUCACUUAAUUGUUCAUAUACAAUUAAUAUUUUCCUUACAACAAAUGGUUAGGUAAAAAAACUCUUACAAUAAUAUUAGGAAUGUCAAUGCGGGACGGACAAUGCGGGUUGACCCGCAGUCCGCUACCAAAAAGUGUAGAGUGGGUUCACUAAUUUAGCCCGCUGACCCGCUUUGACCCGUCCCGCAUAAUCCAGAGCCCACGUGGGCCAAUAAUGGGGCGGAACGGGUUGAUCCGUUGGCUCGCAUAAAUAAAAAAUAAUUUAUUUUAUUUUAAAAAAAAAUCAUAUCCCAUUUACUUAUUAUUAUAUUGUGACAUUUAUUUUAUUUUAUUUUAUUUAAGAAAAAAUUGAAUUUAAUGUACUAAAAAAAUAAUGUUUUUUUUAAUCAUUUAAAAGAGUUAGUUUUUUUUAUAAACAAUAAAAAAUAAAUAAAUAAGAACCACUUUAGGGUAUCCAUGUACAAAAUAACAUAGAAAUGAAUAACCUCUCCUCCCAAAAGUUUGUUACUAACUUCCCACUAGAACAGUACAGUUUGACAAACCUAAAUAAAUCAAUUAUGUUUAAUCGAAUACAACCAAACCAGGUCAGGGGAUCCAGAUCAUAAAAGAAAAAGCAAGCAGAAGGAACUUUAGAGCAUGUCUUUAGUUUAGCCAUGGAGUUAGUAUGAAGAGUGACACUAGGUUUAAUUUUAAGUAAAGUCUUACAUUUAAAAUUUGUUAAUAAAAAAUAAUAUAAAGAAGAGAUUUCAAUAGGAUAGUUAAAAAUUAGUCAUUUUCAUUAAAAUAUUUUGUAGCAAAACUUUGAUAAGAUAUUCUUAUACAUUUACAUACAUAUAUAGGAAAAAUAUAUGCAAAGCAAAACUUUAAUUAUUUUUAAUCAAACCUUCUAACAACCCUCAUUCUUGAAUUUACAUUUUUAUCUUAAUUGAAUGAAUUGAAACAGUGAUAAAAAAAUUUAAUUUUUCAACAGUAGGAAUAAGUUUUUUAUAAUUAAUAAAAUUUUAAUUUAAAAAAGAAAUCCUUAUGCGUGCUGCCUCACAAGUCUGGAAGUUACCUCUUAUACAGAACAGGCAAUGAAAUAAAUCUUCACUCCAUUCUCAGGACGGGCCAACCCAACUCACAUUUUGUGAGUCGAACACGGAUGAGUCUAUGCGGGAUGGAACAGCCCGUAUUACCACCCAUAAAUAAUAUCAUGCAUGUAAAACCUUUUUUUUAACCACAUCUUAUCGAUUUAACAAAUCAUGGCAUAGAAUUUACAGCCACGCAUAUGGUACUAGAGAGAUGUAUGCAUGCAUUUUAAAGCAAGGAGGUCAUUUUCCAAAUGAUAGUCAUGGACCAAUUAUUUGUUAAGUUUGGGUCCCUCCUACAAAAUAACCCAGAAAAGUCCAAGCAUGGAAGUCAAAAUAACAUCUUCUCAUCAAUCUUAAAAAGUGGCAAUUACGAAUUGCUUUCUCUUGUUGUGACCUUUUGCCAGCCAAUCCAAUGGGAAAAAGAGGGGACAAAAGCCACACUACAUAUUUAUCUCUUUAUUAUUCUACUUUUUUAUUCACAAUUUUCAAAACUCUAAUUGUGUUCAUCAUCUUCUUAAUUAACUUUUAUUGGUAUCUCUUCAAAACAACCCCCGAUUUUAGAGAAAUGUUAGAAAAAGGAAUUUUAGUUUAAAGUGACACUAGUUAAUAUUUUUUUUUAAAAAACAAGGCAACUAGUUAACUAAUUUGAUUAAAGGAAAUCGUGCAUUUAUUAUACAAUAAAAUUAUAAGAUAAUUUAUAUAAUAUUAUUUUUUUGUGUUUUAUCUUUUUCUAUCACAUUGUUAUAUUCCUUUUUAUAAAUUAUACAAAUAUCAUUUCAUUUUACAGAGACUACAUGUAAUUAUGUGUAGCUAUAAUUGUAGGAUUUGAUGAAAAUAUAUAAGAGUAUACAUAAAGACAUACACAUGAUCAUCAACUUGUCAGCUGUCAAAGACAAUCGGUUUUGUAUUGACACUCUUCUUAUCAUAUAGCUAUAAUUGAGUUUAAAACUAACUACAUGAUUCUUGCAUGAGUUAGAUAUGAAAAGAAUGAGUUUAAAAGUAACUACAUGAUUCUUGCAUGAGUUCGAUAUGAAAAAGAAGGAAGACGAAAUAUCUAAUUUCUAAUUAAUGUAUUGAUAAAAAAAUAAUUAGAAAUCAUAUAUUAUUGACCAAAAAUAAGUUUAGUUCAUAGUAUAUAAGUGAGUCAAAACAUCAUUUUGUUAAAAGUUAAGUUAAAUUUAAAGACUAGUUUUUAAGAUGGUAUUAGAGCAAUUUAGAACUUAUUCUAACAAGAGUGUGUUAGGUUUAUCGUGUUAUCCGUAUCAGAUCAGAUCAUUCAUAAAUAUAUACAAUCUCUCACGCACGAGUUAAUAGUUUUCGACGUAAGAGAAUGUAUUAAAGAUGCUACGUCGAUUAUAGAUAAGAUCAGUUCAUAGUAUAUAAGUUAGUACAAAUCUCACUUUAUAAAUCGGUUUUAUAAAGUUGAGUUAAAUUUAUAGUCGACUGCUUAAAAAAGUUUAUAAUUUAUUUACAAUUUACAAAAUUACACUUCAAUUAAGAAAAACUAACUUAAUAAAUAAACGAGUAAGUAACAGGUAUAUUACAUGUUUAUACAUUAUAUUCGAAACUCGCGACGUGAAGAAUGAUUAUAGGGACAUAUAUAAGCUCUACACACGAUAUCUCACCUUUUUAUAAAUUAAAAUUAAACUUGUAUAAGUAAUUAACAAAUUAUUUACAGUUAAAUAAAAGAUCUAUUUAUACUAUAUACAAAUAUAGUUUCAAAGUUCUUUUUUCAAAAUAUUUCUCAAUAUAGUUAAUGACAUAAAAUACUUUGCAUGGAUCAUGUAUAUAUGAAAAUUAAAUUCGUGUUUUAUAUACAUAAGCUAAAGUUAUAUAAGUAGAUCUAUUUGGUUCACUAUAACUAUGGAAUUUUUUGGUUUAAUUGAAGUGAAAAAAUUUGUGGGUUGUUGCAGGUACUAGCUAGUGUUGAGCUGGUGGGAGUAUCAGUGUUUAAUUAUCUGGAAACGUAGAUUUGUUUAUGAUAUAUGUAAGAUUAAAUACUUAGAUUUUGUUCUUGUUUAUUUAUGACCAAUGCAUUGAACCCAUGUGAUCAUUCUGUAAUUUGUGGUAUCCUUUUGCUUCUGUUGGCUUUAGUUUAAUUUGACCAAAAAAUGAGUGUCUCAAAAAACUUCCACCAAAAAAUGACAAACGAAUAAAGGAAUGCAAUUCGUAUAAAUUUUAUCAUCGUUCACAACAAACUAAUAUGAGUGUCUCAAAAAUUAUUAUGUCCCCACCCCUCACAAAAGUUGGUGCUUAGUGUUUGUCUAAAUAUUGCAUGAUUAAUGUACAUUAACAGUUUCGAUGAAGUUCUACUUAAACAACACCCAUUACUUUUACUUUUAGUUUUAGUACAAGACGGUGGAAACAAUGUGAUGUAAGCUACUUUCUUUCAUUUAAUUUAUUUAUUUUUGAACAAAAAAUGUUUUGCUAUUUUAAAAGCCUAAAAUAGUUUUAAUUAUAUGAUUGGAGUUUAAAACUAACAUGUGCUCAAGAAUCAGAAGAAACCCAUGCAAGGCAAUCAAACUCAAUACUAGUCACAUUUACACGAUUCUCAUUCUGUGCAUAGUUUUAAAUCGUUCCAUCGAUGACUAAUUGAAAACAUUACAAAAUAGGGAUGAUUGUGAAAAAAAAAAAAUUAACAUUGUGUAUACUAUAUUGGUUGACGCAAAAUCAUAAGGUAUGAUAAAUGUUAUAUAUAAUAUCAAAUUUUAUUAGAAUCAUUGUUCUUUGUGUGUAAUAUUAGGUCGCGAAUAGAAAUGUUUUUAUACUAUGUUGUUUUAUUCUUUAGCAUUUUUUCGUCUUCUACAUCUUUUAUACAUCCAUCCUCUUUUUUUUUUCUCCGAUUCAUUUAUAUCGCUUUUAUAUUGCUAUAGUUAUAAGAAAAUAAUAAAAAAUGGUAAGAAGAAUAGAUGUUUAUUAUUCUCUUAUGGGUAUAAGAAAUAUAUAAGGAGUUUCUCUCCCUAAAUUACAAUCUAAUUAGGUAGGAUAUUAAUCAUGAGAUUCUAUCAUUAUUAAAUUAAUUACAUUGCAUAUAAUUGGGUACAAUAUCGUACAAUAUUGCAUACAAUAAUUGCAUAUAAUUUGAUAAUUAUUAUUUCCUUAAUACUCCCCCUUAAGUUGGUAGGUGAAGAUCAUGAACCCUCAACUUGUGUCGUAGCGUCAAAAAUCGUUCCUUGUCCAGUGCCUUCGUAAAAAUUAUUUGCGAGCUGAUACUGUGUGUCGGUACAUAUGAAGGACUGAUUAUCCCAGUUUGUAAUUUUUCUCGCACAAUGUGGCAGUCUAUCUCAAUGUGUUUUGUUCGUUCAUGAAAUACUGGGUUUGUUGCUAUUUGUAAUGUCGCUUGAUUGUCACAGAAAAGUUGAGCUGGCAAGUUACAUGGCACCUUUAAAUCCUGCAACAGAUAUCGCAACCAAACUAUCUCCAAACAAGUAUUGGCCAUCGCGCAGUAUUCUGCUUUCGCUGAUGAUCUUGAUGUGUUUGUCUGUUUUUUGGACUUCCGUGAGAUAAUAGAAGAACCAAGAAAAAUGCUAUACCCAGAUACUGAUCUCCGAGUUGUCUGACAAACUCCCCAGUCUGAGUCGCAAUAAGCUGUCAAUGUCACAUUAUUUUCGGAUGGCAAUAGCAAUCCUUGUCCUGGUGAUCCUUUUAUGUACUUUAGGACUCGAAUUGCGGCAUCCCAAUGAGGUUUUCGUGGAUCCUGUAUAUAUUGACUUAGGGUCCGAACCGAAAAUGCUAUGUCAGGCCGAGUAACCGUGAGGUAUAUCGGGCCGAGUAACCGUGAGGUAUAUCAGUCGUUCCACGAGUUGCCUGUAUUUGACUGGAUCCUUUAAUAACUCUCCAUCGUCUGUUGUGAGUUUUAGGUAUUGUUCCAUUAGAAAUUUGUCUGGACGAGCACCUGUGAGUCCCGUAUCAUGCAAAAUAUCAAACGCAUAUUUUCUUUGGAACAUUUAAAUACCAGCUUUGAAACGGGAAAAUUCAAUCCCUAGAAAAUAUUUUAGGUCUCCAAGAUCUUUAAUGCAAAAUUGUUGUAAUAGAUAAUCUUUAACACGCUGAAUUUCUGUCAAAUCAUUUCCUGUCAAAAGAAUAUCAUCCACAUAAAUCAAAAGGGCAGUAAAUGAUGAAUUAUUUUGUCUUGUGAAUAGAGAGUAAUAUGUCUUGGACUGUUGAAAUCCUAUAGAUUUAAUCACAUGAGAAAAUGUUGAAAACCAUGUUCGAGAUGCUUGUUUGAGACCAUAAAGGGAUUUGUUGAGUCGAAAUACAAUGUGCUCCCCUAUCGAUGAUGCCCGGGUGGCAAGUCCAUGUAAAUAAUUUCAUGCAAUGUGCCAUGUAAGAAGGCAUUUUGCACAUCUAGCUAAUGAGUAAACCAAUUUCUAGCUGUUGCAAUGGUGAGGAGACACCUCAAAGUUAUUAAUUUUGUUGUUGGUGAAAAAGUUUCAGAAUAGUCGACACCUUCAAUCUGAGUGUACCCCUUUGAGACAAGGCGCACCUUAUAUCUGUCGACGCUACCAUCUGAGUUGUACUUUAUUUUAUAGACCCAUUUGCAUCCGAUGGGUUUCUGCCCAACGGGUAACGGGAUCAAGGUCCACGUUUGAUUUAGCUGCAAGGCAGAAAGCUCUUCGUCCAUUGCUUUUUGCCAAUUUGGACCAAGGAUAGCUUGAGCAUAAGUGUGAGGUUCUUUGGUGGCUGUGAUGUUAGUAAGAUAUGCACUAUGUCUAGAAGAAAAUCGUGAAUUAGAAAGAAAAUUAUGCAUAGGAUACCUGGUUCCAUUCGGCCGAUCUUGGGCAGUGCUCGAAUGAUUGGCUUGGGAUCCCAUUACGUAGUCUUGAAGCCAGGAAGGUGGGGUUGAUGUGCGACUGGAUCAUCGAACAAGAAGGUCGGUUGGAGAAGGUUUGGUAAUGGGUGCUAGACUUCUUGGCAUGGGAGAAGAAGGUUGGUCUACUAGAGGUUCAGGUGUAUUAUGACGAGUAGGAGAAGAAGGUUGGUUUGAUGGAGGUUCAGGUGCAUUGUGACGAGUAGGAGAAGAAGGUUGGUUGGAUGGAGGUUCAGGUGCAUUGUGAUGAGUAAGAGAAGAUGGUGAAUGUUGGACAAGAGUGGGUAAGUCAAUGUCAAUAGUGGGAAAAUACCUUGUAAUGGAGGUGAGGAUUGUGUUUGUGACUGUUGGCAAAAUGGGAAAACACUUUCACGGAAGAUGACAUCCCAACUUGUAAAAAAAGUGUUUGCAUCUAUAUCAAAUAAUUUGUAUGCUUUUUGACUUUGAGGAUAACCAAUGAAGAUGCAUUUUCAGGCGCGCGGAUCAAAUUUUUGCUUAGGUGAAACAACAGUUGCAUAACAGAGGCAACCAAAAGUUUUUAGGUGAAAAAGUGAAGGUGGUUGAUUAUACAGUAGCUCAAAAGGUGAUUUAUUUUUUAGUAAAGGUGAUGACAAGCUAUUAAUGAUAUAUGUGGUAGUUAAAACGCAUUCUCCCCAAAAUUCUAAUGGUAAAUUGGACUGAAAUAGGAGGGCUCCUGUUGUGUUUAAAACGUGUCUAUGUUUGCGUUCUACUACUCCAUUUUGUUGAGGAGUGUAGACGCAAGUGCGUUGACAUUCAAUACCUUUUUUGAGAAAAAAUCAUUCAUUGAAAUAAAUUCCAGUCCGUUGUCAACGCGAAUGGUUUUAAUAGAUGCCUGAAAUUGAUUUCGUGCAAAUGUAAUGAAUUUUUAUUUUUUUUCAGCAAAGAAUCAAUUAAAUUAAAUUAGGGACACUUUAGGAGUGUCUCAACCCUUAUACAAGAACCUUAAAAACUAAUAUUUUAAGAAACCUACUUAACCAAGCACACCUUGGCUCCAAAAAACAAAAAACAACCCCCAUCAACCUGCAGGAUAAACUUACACAACAUAAUGGUUCCCUGUUACCCAAAACAAAAUACACGCUUCACCCAUAACCAUUCUCUUUUAUCCCUGAAAAAAAACUCUACUCUAUCAACCCAACUAAAAAUUCAGCUGUAAAAAAUAAGAUGUCAUUUCAUCACCAGUGCAGCAUAGGUCUUUAUUACUGGAUUGCAACUCCAGUCUCAGUCCUACCACCGAAGCAUACAAUAAGGUAAUCCAUCAUGGCUACACCAGUUACGGAGAUUCUCAUUAUAACCUAAGCUUAAAACCACUUCCAGCUUAGUCUUCAGCAUCAUGCCAAAGCCUCCCCACAAAGUAAAGACUCUUUCAACCUCAACCUUACAAAACAUUAAUAACAUUAAUAAUUAAAAACGUAAAAACAGCUCCUCUUCCUUUAAAGUGCUUUGUCUCUGUGUACUCCCUUUUACUGAAAAAAUUCUGCUCCCCACGGCUGGACCUGCACCAAACCUUCACACCACACAAUUCUAGAACAAUAAACAAGAUAGGGACUUCUACAAGCAUAUUAAAAAACGUCCAACCAAAACAUUCUAAUAUUGAAGAUUGUCCGGAUUCCUAUGGUUUUCAAGCAGGAAUAUGUAAAAGUUUGGAAGAACAAAAUUACAGCACUUACCUUGUUACCACAUCUACGCAGGUUAAAGGAGAUAAAAUCCAGUCUGAAAAUGAGAAAGUGACUCUCUUAUCUUUAUGUUUCAUCCAAACCCAUGAUUGUACUUGUGCCAUAGUGAAAAUUUCCUCUGCAUCUACCUUUUCUUGAUUAAAGGUAACCCUAUUUCUAUGCUUCCAAAUAGUCCAUAUAAUUGACACCCAAAGACUCAUCCAAAGUCUAUUACCUUCCUUAUUAAAACAAAUGCUAGAGAAUUGUUCGAAGUGGUUAUUCAACACGUUGUGAUUCACCGAACUAAUUCCCAACCAUCUAGAGCACAUAUUCCACACUUUACUGGACUCCCUACAUAAGAGGAGGAUAUGCGAAGAAGUCUCCUCUUCCCUUCCGCAAAACACGCAUAAAGUAUCCCCUAGUGGCACUCCCCUCUUAUGCAAAUUCUGUUUAGUCGCAAUCCGAUUCGAGAGAGCUCUCCACACAAAGAACAAUGCUGAGGGCAUUGCCUUCAGAUCCCAGAGAGAACCAAACAAUGAUACCCCCCCCCCUGCCUGUGAUUAACUAGCUUAUUAUAAGCAGAUUUAACCGAGAAAGUGUAUGAUGGAGGGUCAUUCCAUAACCUUACGUCCUCAUUAUCUGCUUGAAAUGACGUCAAUGAUAUUACUGACAUGAAAUCAUCUACCAAAGUCUUCUCCCAUUCAAACCAUUCUCUUCUCCAAUUGAACUUCCACUCUCACCCACCUGUAUUCCAGCUGCCAAGACUUUUGAUAGUCUUAUCUUUGAGCUCAGAGUUGUUGUACAACCUAUUGAUGACUUUUUACGGCAAGUGCACCACGUUUGUCAGAAGUAAUAAUUGUCUCUAAGGACGGAUAUCGAUCCCACAAGGAACAGUGAAUUAUCAAGUACAAUAAUCGCUAAAUAUAGAACAAAACAAUUAAAAGUGUAUUGAAAGUGGUUGUGUUGGCGAUGAUCAAUAAGAAAACAGACAAAGAAUUAAUUGUUUCAAUUGGAAAAAUAGGGAUUAGGUUUCAUCUCUCUCACUCUCAUGUAUUUUGAUUAGCAUGUCAAUAUUAAGUUCUUUAAUUGAAAUUGAUGUCCGUAUAAAAAUCAUUUAUAUCGAUUCCUCGCAUAUAAAAUUCUUAAGAAUGUUCCCUAACUAUCGAUCUCUCGCAUAAUUAUAAGAACAACUUAGAACGAAGCUCAAACGUUAAUAGCAAUUAACAUUUCAAGUCUAUUCCUAGCACUUAAAUAUGUUAAGUAUUGUUGUUUAAGUCUGAACCCUAAAAAUACCUCCCGGUCAGAUUUAAGAUUCUCAAUUUGUCACGGAAAAUUAAAAGUAAAACAACAANNNNNNNNNNNNNNNNNNNNNNNNNNNNNNNNNNNNNNNNNNNNNNNNNNNNNNNNNNNNNNNNNNNNNNNNNNNNNNNNNNNNNNNNNNNNNNNNNNNNUACUCCCAAUCCCAAAGGGUAGAAUUAGCCACGCAUACUUCUAUCACCUUCCACUCUCCCAAUUGGGUUACAAUUCACUCUAUGGUGUUUUCCUCUCAAUCUGGCACACUAAGGUUGAGCCUCUAGCCCUCUAUUUAUCCUAGUUUUCUAGGGUUAGGUUGUUUAUUGUGUCGCGCUAAUGGGCUAAAUGAUAAAACAUAAAAAGGGCCCAAUCUUUCUUUGCAUCUUUUUCUAUUUUGGGACCUUCUAUCUUUAUCUUUUUAGCUCAAAUCAUUCAUCUUUAAUCCAAAUCUCCAAUCUUCCUUAGAAAUCUGCAAUUAACACCAAAUUUGGGAAUAAAAUACUCUUAUUCAAAUAAAGAUCAUAAAAAAUGUAAAAAGAUAUAAAUUCAUAAAUUAGGGAUUCUUUUAUAUGUAAAUUAGCAAUAAAUCCUCAUAAGUGUCUAUAUUUUAAUAUGAAAUAUUACUGAAAUUAGACACUUAUCACCUAUCAUACCUUGCUUUGAGUUGGCCAAUAGCUAGCCAUUCAUCUUCCCAAAAUUUGAUCUUGUCCCCUUUUCCAACUUUCCAAGUUGUAUUCUGAUUGAACCAAUUGUCGCCUUGGUCCGAUAGGCCAACUUUAGAUAAAUCAUUCCACCAUCUAGAUGUGAACUUAUUUCGAUUCGGUGUACAUAAAUUCAACAACCUCCUCAAAUCAUACUUAGAUUCCAAGACCUCCUUCCAAAGUCCACACUUAGUGGAGUCUAACCUCCACAGCCAUUUUGCCAAGAGAGCCUUGUUAAACAAAUCAAUAUGUUUAAUGCCAAGACCUCCCUCCUCUUUCGCUUUACAGAUAUUUUCCCAACUAGUCCAAGCAAUUUUCCUCCCUUCCUUUCCCCACCCCCACAGAAAUUUUCGCUGUAUCUUAAUAAUUUCCUUACACACUCCAGUUGGGGCUUUAAAGAAGGAUAGAUAAAAGAGUGGAACGGCGUUGAUAACAGAUUUUAUAAGGCACACUCUUCCCGCAAAGAAUAAAUUCCUACCCUUCCAAACAGAAAGCUUCUUUCUUAUCUUUAAUAACACUGGUUCCCAGAAAGAACACCUAGAUGGAUUGCCACCUAUAGGUAAACCUAGGUAGGUGAACGGGAUAUUCAUUAAACCACAAUGAAGAAUUUCAUAAUACAUCUUCACCUCGUACCUAUCUACUUUGAUUGCCCCAAUCUUACUCUUGUGAAAGUUAACUUUGAAGCCUGAACUUAGUUCAAAACAUCUUAGAAUAGCAUUGAUACACAUGAUAUUCUGCACGUUUGGUUCGCACACGAAAAGAGUAUCAUCCGCAAAUUGUAGCAAAUUUACCUCCACCUUCUUGCCCCCUACUUUAAUACCCGAAAGCAGGUUAUUUCUUGUGGCUUGCUUUGCUAAACCAUCUAAACCUUGUGCCACAAUCAGGAACAAGAACGGUGUCAGCGGAUCCCCUUGUCUAAGGCCUCUAGUUGGUUUGAAUUCCUUUGUUGGGCUACCAUUUACCAAAAUCGAGACUGUAGCUAAUUCAAGGCAGACUCUAAUCCAUUGAACCCAUUUCCCACAGAAUCCUAGUCUUCCCUUCAUAUAAAAUAAAAACUCCCAACUUACCGAAUCAUAUGCCUUCUCAAAGUCAAGUUUCACUAUCACCCCGCUCUUUCUCCUUUUUUUCAGAUCGUCCACAACCUCAUUCAAUACAGAACACUGUCUAACAAACCUCUAUUAGACAGAAAAGCAUAUUGAGACUCAUCUAUUACAUUUGCAAUGACCCUUUUAAUCCUAUUAGCUAGCACUUCCGUCAAAAUCUUAUACAAACAACCAACAAGAGAAAUAGGUCUAUACUCUUCAAAGGAUUGGGGAUUCUCCGAUUUUGGGAUCAACGUUAUAAAGGACGCAUUGCAACCCUUUGGAAUCAUCCCCUCUUUAUGAAAGAAUUUUACAGCUCCCAUCAUGUCCUUUUCUAAAAUAUUCCAAUUAUUUUUAAUGAAGCUGAAGGUUACCCCAUCUGGGCUAGGACUUUUAUGACUAUCGCAAUUUCAGAUGGCUUCCUUUAUUUCUUUUUCAUCGAACGGAUCAGUCAAGAACCUAUUUUCAGAAUCGGAUAUCUCCUUAAAAACCACAUUGUCCAACCUAACCCCGAUAUCUUCGAUUGCCGACAUCUUGUUUUUGUAAAAUUCCAAGACCAACUCUUUUACCUUGUUUGGUUCUUCCACCCAACUCCCAGAUUGAAUACAAUUAACACCUUUUAUUUUGUUCCUCAUCCUUCUCCAUUUGAUAGAAGCAUGAAAGAAUUUAGAGUUCGAAUCCCCUUGCUUAAUCAAUAACGCUCUUGACUUUUGUUGUAAUAGGGAUUCAUUUCUCUCAUUUAUAACCUGUAACUGCCUCAGGAGUUCUCUUCUUACCAUGAUCUUGUUUUCAUCCAAACCUUCCUCAUCAUCUCUCAAAUCCAACUCUUGUAUUUUCCUCAAGAUCUCAAGUUUUGACUUUUCAGUAUACUCGAAAACAUCUUUGUUCCAACCUUUUAGGUCACUCUUCAGCAUUUUCAGUUUCUCUUUUAACACCAAAAUUUUGUUACCUUGAACCAAGUAACUAUCCCACUUGCUUUUAACAAAAUUAACAAACUCUUUAUCAUCCUGCCAAAUGUCAAGAAACCUAAAAGGUUUUGGACCCCAAUCUGCCACAUUUGAUUUUAACACUAUCUCACAGUGAUCAGAUAUUUGUCUCUCUGUAACGUAUUGCUUACUACCUGGCCAGAAUUGUAACCAUUCAAAGGACAUCAAAAACCUAUCAAGCCUACUCUUUUCUUUGCCAUUAGGUUUAUACCAAGUGUAUUUUCUUCCAAUACAAGGUAUAUCCACCAAUUCCAUAUUGUCGAUGAAGUUAUUAAAACCUUGCAUUUGUCUCUUAUUACCGCUUACUUUAUUAAACCCCCUUCGUUCCCUCUCAUUUCUUAUGGAGUUGAAGUCCCCCAAUAUGCACCAAGAACUGCAAGGUUCCAUUUGCCUAAUCUCCAAUAAUUCUGACCACAUUUGUGUUUUCUCGUGAAUUAAACAGGAAGAGUACACAUUUACCACAACAACAGAGAUAUUUUUCUCCUUUGAUAACCCAGAGAACACAAUGAACCUUCUAUUUAUGAUGUUGUUGGUGCACUGGAAGAAAACUUUAUGCCAAAUCAUAAGAAUACCCCCUGACCCGUUUGCUGGCUCACUAUAUAAAAAAUCAAUGUCAUUAUCGCCCCAUAACUUACAGCAUAAAUCUAAGCUGAAAUUAUUCAUUCUUACUUCUUGCAAACAUAACAUUUUAAUCCCCUCCUUUCAAAUAAUUUCCUUAACAUACCUCCACUUUACAGGACUCCCAAACCCUCUCACGUUUAAAGAGAGAAUUCUCAUUAACAACCUAAAACGUCCCCCGCUUCCCUUUUAAGUUUCAUAAACCUAUCCCUUUUUUCUAGUUCCUUUAAGCUUACCAUAAAUUUUCCUUCUUCCCCGCAAGAAGCCCCUAACUGUUUACCCAACUCCCACACUCUAAUUGUUUCAAGGCUCCCAUGUUUCAACCAAAAUAAACGAUUACAGUUAUUAAUGGCCGUAUUAGAGACAAAAUUACUAAUUUGAGAUAGGACUGACCUUAUAUUCUUGCGUUCAUCCCGCUUGCUGCUCUUGCUUGAUUCUCCCACCCAGAACACUCUCCUAUCCAUUGUUGUAGACGAAUUCGAGGAUAUCGAAUUAUGGACUUGCUUUUUUUGGUAGUUCGCCUCAUCCUCAAUCAAUUGGGUUCCCUUUUUCUUUUGCUUGUUGAGCGGAAGAUAAGUAUCUUUGAUUCUGUUUGAUUUCGAAUCCGAUUGAAAUUGGCUUUGCUUAUGUUUGUUCUUUGCGACAACAGAGAAGUGUUGCUUGGAUGACUGAUUUGCCUCUUGUGACUCUCCUAAUGAAUCCUCCACCCUCGAUACAGACUUGGAUGAAUCGUUAACCCCCCCUUUGAUCCCUUUCACUGACAUCGAAAUUUGAGACCAUGAGUCUGUUGUUCCUGCCGCUACCAGUUUCGUCGUGCACGGAGGAAUCCUCCUAUUCUCCUUUGCAACCGCGGACGAGUUAGAGGGGGGCACGGUGGUUACUCUGUUUCGUGCUUUCACAUGGUGUGAGGUGAUCUUGACUUCCCCGCUAAGGCCUCCCUGUUCUGAUUCAUCAAGAGAAAUGAAAUUUUCGGGUAUGGGCAGCCUCCCAAAUGAUCCGUUCCAAAGCUUCUCCUCUCCAUAGAUAAUUGGGCCAAAUUUCGACGGGUCUCCAAUAGAUUUUUGCUUCUGCACCUCCCUUCCAUUUCCCCAUGGGUUGCAUAAACCAAACCAUCUUGGGCCAAUUCUGAAGGCCCAAUCCUCUUGUCCACAUCAGCCCUACUUAGAGCCGUUGGGGAAAUAGCCCCUAGGUCAUCCUUUCCUAAGAUAAUAGGUGCAGAGAGGGGGCCUAGAGGUCUAGCUGAAAGAGCCUCGCUACCACCCACCAUACCGAUAGGUUCCGAUCUCUGGUGACCUUGCUCCGACGAUGGCUGGGCAUUUCACAAUUCCACCAUCAAAUUCUCCUCCGCCACCUUUCUUCCAACCUCGAAAUCCCUACUCCCCGAGCGCGCUAAACCGUUUGAUGCAAUUGAACCCACCUCUAAGUCCAAGCCUUCAAAUUCUUCACUCCAAUGGCAUUGACACAGUUUAUCCUCCACCGAUACCUGAUACAGAACCUCAUUAAUCUUCAUAUAACUAGUUAUCUUCGCCUCACACCCCACUGAAACUCUGAUUUUGAACCUUGCGUACUCGAGCUCUACCAGUGCCAAAGUUGCCUCAUCAAUCUCGACUAGGGUUCCCAGUAACGCUGCUAUGUGCUUGAAACAGUCUGAAUUCCAUAGCUUCAGUGGUAAACCCCUGCAUCUCACGUAAACCAAUUUAUCCACGGCUACAAAUUGUUCUUCCCAAGGAAUUAUUGUAUCAAACAGUUCUUCAAACCACUCUUUAUUCUCCUUUAUGGCAUCGUUGAUCUUCAUCUCAUUUUCCCUUUUCAACAGCACAUGGAAACCCUCCAGAAAUUUGACCUUUAUAUAUCCAAGGCCACCCAAAAUAAAACUUUCGUUUAGGCUAGAUACCUUGUUAAGAUCCGAGACUCUCCCAAUAUAACACUUACUUAGCCAUUCUCUAAGAGUUUCCUCUGCUCUAAAGUGUAUAGCAUGCACAUUUUCUUUGUUAUGUGUUUGUGCUCUACCUCUGUAACCAUACUUAACAGAGUUUGCGUACGUGCUUGAUCCUUUAGCCCUCCAUUCUUUUUUUUAUUUCUUUUUCGGCCUCUGUUACCUUUUCCUUCAACUUAACGUUCCACUCUUUUCUUGUAUUUGCUGCCCUGUUGUAUUUUGGCUUAUUAACGUUCAUCUUCCAACUCCCAAUCCAAAUUGUGUUUAGAUGAUAUUCUAACUCCUUGAUGUUCUGGACUCCUUGAAAUCUUACAAAUCCAAAUCGUUGCUUCUUAAUAUUUAAUCUAUUAGAUAUAAAGAGGUCGUUCACCCUUCUCCAUCUUCUAAAGAUUUUCCACAAGUCUGAUUCUCUGAGAUCGAAGGGGAAGUUAGAAAAGAAGAAGGAUGUUCCUCCCUGAUUCAUAUCACUUCUAGUUUGCAGGUGGUCUCUAUGUGCAAAUGUAAUGAAUGACUCUAAGAGAUGUUGGGUUUCAUAUUUGUGAUUCAUAAGAAAUAGCCAAGUACAUCUAGUAUAGUCAUCGACUAUAGUGAGGAAAAAACGUUUUCCAAAAUGAGUUGGGGUUUUAUGAGGACCCCAAAUGUCACAAUGCAAUAGAUUAAAUGGAGAAUGAGAUUUUAUUGUGCUUAAAGGAAAGGGUUGCCUUGUAUGUUUAGCUUUGGGACAAAUACUACAAUUAUUAUGAAUGGGAAUGAGAUUUUUACUGAUAGGGAUAGGUAGUAAGGAAGAUACAAGUUGUAGACACGCCAGAGAAGGAUGUUCGAGGUGCUUGUGCCAUAAAUCAGGGUCGGUCGAUAUUUGAGAUGCGUGGGCUUGGUUUGGAAGAGGGGACAUGUAGAAUAAGCAUGCGUGUUGUUUACCCGAGCCAAUCAUCCUCCCCGUAGCCAAGUCCUGCUAAACGCAACCAUGUGGAGUAAAAACGACACAACAAUUUAGUGAACUGGUUAUCUUACUAAUGGACAUGAGAUGGCAGUUGAGCCUGUGGGCAGAUUAAUAUUUGAAAUAAAUGAUGAUGAAGUGUGUGUGAAAAAUUGUGAAUCAGAUGCAAUGUGAUCGGUUGCUCCACUAUCCAAAAUCCAUGGUUUCGUAAAAGCAGAAUUAGAAGAGGAGUUAUGGGCAAGCAGACCUGCAGAGCUAACAAACGUGUCACUUUGACUGUUAUUGGUGAGCAAGUAAAUAGCCUUUGCCAAUUGCUGAAUUUGCUCGGCACUGAAGCCUUGUACGAGGUUUCUAUCGGACUCGUUACUGAUGCCUUCUUUGCCAGACAUGAUUUUUUAUUUAGGGGAUAAAAAUGGAGAGGCUAUCAGGGCACCAAGAUCGGUGCUCUUAUAUAAGAAAAUGAUAAAAAAAUGGUAAGAAGAAUAGAUGUUUAUUAUUCUCUUAAGUGUAUUUUACAUCACUUCAUGUAAAAGAAAUAUAUAGAGAGUUUCUCUUCCCAAAUUACAAUCUGAUUAGGUAGGAUACUAAUCAUGAGAUUCUAUCAUUAUUAAAUUAAUUGCAUAUAAUUGGGUACAAUAUCGUACAAUAUUGCAUAUAAUUUGAUAAUUAUUAUUUCCUUAAUAAUAGUCUGAAAAAUAUGUCUCGUUUAAGAUUUAUAUCUCUAUUUUCUUUUAUUAAUAAGAAAUAAAUAAAAUAGAAUGAGAUACUUAUUUCAAUCUUUAUAAAAAAACAUGUCUUGCUUAAGGUUUGUAUAUCUUUCGUUUUGAUGUUUUGUGUUGAUAACAUAUGUAUCAAUCUUUUUUUGAUAUGCUAUUAUUCUUCCAAAACCUGCAAAAACUCCACUUGACAGAGAACUGAAAACAACUUCUAUUUUAGCUUUAUUAAAAUCUCUUGUCAUAUAAUUUACAGGAUUGUUGUAUUUCUCUUUAUCGUUCAAUCCCAGAAUCACCACCAUUCCAAUCAGGGUUCGACCAAGAAGAAUAUCGACCUGGAGCCUUUGUCCUUACUGUAUAACCCUUGAUGUUGUAAGUCCAUGGCUCAUUCAAAGUUAUCCAGUUCUUCACUCUAUCUCUAAGUUCCUUGCAGCAAAGUUUUGCAUAGUCCUGAAAAACUUUCAUAAUGUGAGUACUUAAGAAGCCACCAUAUUCAUCUUUUAAGUUUGAGGAAGACACCAAAGGAAAAGAGCCACAAAUGGUUUUAAACCAUUUGCCAAUAGCUCAUUGAUAGUCAAUUCCUUCUUGGUUUAUUCCUCCAUUUAGCUUUCCAUUCGAAAGAAUUCUUGACCGAGAUAUGAAAAAUCUAUAAGCAUCCACAUUCAUAUCCUCCAUAAUCUAAACAUCUUCAUUUUACUCCACGAUCCCAUCCUUCCUAUCCUUCACAACCUACACAUAUUACACUGAUUGUUACCUUAAUCAAUGUAAUAUGUAGCCUCAUUCAUAACUCAAAAUUGACCCUAUAUCACACUGGUUACUCGAGUCAGACGGUGUAAUAUAGGGGCUUACCCCUGCACAUUUUAAGCCCCUAUAUUACACUGGUUGGCUCGAGUAAACGGUGUAAUAUGGGGCUACAUAUAACACUAGUGGCUUAACCGGUGUUAUAUGUAAUUCACAUUUCACAACACCCACAUCUACACCGGUGGCAGGAAAUGCCUCUUAAAACCAGUGUAAAAUGCAAUUUUUGCACUAGUAAAUCAAUAAAUAGUUGUAGUUGUUGAACAAGAUGCUUUGAUGUCUCCAAAUCCAAGAGGAAAGCUUGAAGACCUUGCUUCUGGGUGUGUGUGUUGUCUAGUUGUUUGAAACUUGUUAAUUCACUCCUUAAGAUGAUCCAAGUUCAUUUGAAUCUUUAACCUUUUGAAAAGAUGAGUUUUCUAAAAUGCUAUUGAAAUUUGAACAGGUUAAAAUUUCGAAACAACAGGUUGUUUUACCUUAGUAGUUUUUGAAAAGGUUUUUGAAAAGUUUGACUUUGUUGUCAAGUCAAUUCAACUGAUUGUUUUGACAAAACAAUUGAUUGUUUUUUCUGAAAACCUUAACAAAAUUAUGUUAAGUGGUUUUAAUAUGUUUUAAAUGAUCCUAACUACCUUGGCUCCUUUAUUAAAUGUUUUUGACCACUUGGUUGGUCAAUAUAAAGGUGGUUUUACGCUCCUAAUCUUGAAGUAAGAAAAGGAGUUUAUCAAAACAGUUUUUCCAAGAUUUGAAAGAGCUUUGGAUCAUUUUUAAGUGUGUGGAAUACGAUUGGGUUGUAAUUCUGAACUUUAAGCUUUGUAAUACCCAGGUGUAUUCUAUUCCCUUCUUCCUUAAUUACUGUAUUUCUGUAUUUGUGUUGCCAAGGAGUGUUGUGUGUUCUUGAGGUGUUCAAGAUCAACAUUCUUGGUGUGGUUUGCCAAAGGUAGUGUGUUUCUUGAGAGGUUCAAGGUCACUUACUUUGGUGUGUGUACCUGUAUGGAUAUUGGGGACUGAGUAAUGUUGAUCCACGUCGAUACACGGUAUUUACUUCACUCUUGGUUGUCCUAUUCUUCAAGUCUCCUUUCCUCUUCGCGUGCCUCGGUCGGCUGGCGGGGGUACCUGCGAUUGCACUCCGACGCUCAAGUCAACGAUGGUGCUCAAGUGAGAAUUCUCUGAUAUCUGAAAAACGUACCUUUUCCCCCUUUCAGAAGUCCCUUUAGUAGGUUGACUUGGGCCUUGGCCAUAUGGGCCAAGCAGCUGAUGGUUAGAGACAUGCUUAGUGGUCCCUGGGUCGUGCUUGGUGGUUUCCUGAAAACCAGGAGAGUGAUCUAGAGAACGUGUUUUGACUUAGUCAACGAUUGUUGUAACUGUUCCUUACUUCACGUGUAACCACGUUCUGUAUUUAAUUUAAGUUAUUCAACGAGAACGUCUCGGUCGUGUGCCGACCGGUACAGUGUGUGGUGUUUGUAAUCUGGUUUUGAUUGCAUAGUGGAUUACCCAGUGGUUUCUGGGGACUGGAUGUAGCUCUUGGUGUAAGAGUGAACCAAUAUAAAUCUGUUUGUGUGAUCCAUAUAUUCUAACAGUAGUGUCUAUCUUGAAAAUUCCCUCGUACUGGAAAUCAAAGCAGCAAGGAACAUUAUCAAAGAGUUCAUGUGAAGCUUUUAUAUGUGAAAUUCAGUGGCUAACUUAUCUUCUUCAAGAUUUCAAAGUUCCUUUUGAACAAUCAUCUUUUUUAUACUGUGACAAUGACUCAACAAGAUACAUUGCAGCAAAUCCAGUGUUUUCACGAGCGUACAAAACACAUAAGAAUAUAUUGUCACAUUAUUAGGUAAAAAUUGAAAAAUGGUCUCAUCAUUUGCUUCUCAUUUCCACCACAGAGCAAUUAGUUGACAUUUAUACCAAAGUCUUAAGUCAUCAAUCUUUUAAAAGUAUUUGUUCCAAGUUGGGUCUUAUCAAUAUUUGUUCCUCUGCUUGCGGGAGAUAUCAAAGGAUAUGGAUACAAAACUUUUAUAAGGAAGCCAAAAUCAAUUUUAUCUUUUAUAAUUCUUAAGAUGUUUCUCUUUGUGCAAGUAUCUAACAUUUAUUUUGUUUUAUAAUUGACUCUUUAUUUUACAUUUCAUCUCUCUUUAGUUAAAGUGUCCUGCUUCUAUAUAUGAUGACCAUUUACUUUGAUUUAAUAUAAAAAUAGAAAAUACUCGUUCUCGUAUAGUUUGUUUCCAUUUUUCUCUUAUGUUUCUCUAUGUUUUAUGUUUUAUUUUAUAAUAUAACUAAUUUCAGUGUAAGAAAAAAAAAGUAAAAUUUGUUUUUAGUGGUAAUUUUCAUAUUAGAAACAGUAUUUGUAUUACUUUCUUUCCAAGAAGAACGGUUAGUUCAAAAAAAAAAAGUAUAUUUAAAGUUUAAUGUAAAGAAUAUGUCUCUUUCGAAGUGAUUUCAUUGUAAAAUAUAAAGAAUGGUGUUCGUUUUCAUUUAUUCAAUUUAAAGCAUAUCUCAAUUUUGAUUGAAUAAAAAUUCAAAAUAUAUUUAUGUUCUAUCUUGAUCAUUUUAAACAUAAUUUAACCACAGACGAUUCUAUCUCUCUCUCUUUUCAAGCACACUUCAUUGUAAUAUAAAUAAAUAAUAUCAAUUUUAACAUAAUGGACUUGUCCAAAGUUGAACUCAGCCACAGCCCAAUACAAACAUAAUUCUGAAGGCAAUCCAGACCUGUCCAAGGUACCAAAAUUAAUAAUAAUGUAUGUACAAAUUUAUUAUUAUUAUUAUUAUUUAUUAUUAUUAACAUAAACUUCAAUAAUCAUGUAUGUACAUCUUUAUUAAAAAUAAAAAAUUUAAUUUUAGUUCCUUUUCAUAUAUGAUAUGACAUAAAUGAAGACAUAUAACUCAAUAAUUAUAUAUAUAUAUAUAUAUAUAUAUAUAUAUUAUAAAUACAAAUAUUAAAUAAUAAUUAACUUUAAGAUAAAAAUUAAUUAAUUAUUAUAUUAACUAAGUUAUAUAUUAUUUUAUAAAUUAAAAGAAUAUCAAUAUUAACAUAUUUUUGUUAUUAAUAAAAAUAUAUAAUCUUAAGGAUAUGAUAAGACAUGUAUUUUAUAAUUUUCAUUUACAUUUCAAUUUUAUAAUUUUAAAAAAUAUUUUAAUUAUUAUAUUUAAAAGAAUAUAGUUAAACUAAUAUUAUAAUGAAAUAGAACAAUCGAGUUUGAACUAAACAAAAUUAUAUUAACAUAAAAAGUUAAUUUUUUUUUCUUCUUAUUAGCAUAUUUUAAAUCAUCAAUAUGUUUGUAGUAUAUUUGUUUGAUGUGGUAGAAAAAAAAAUCAAUUAAGUAAUAAUAAAUUAUAAAAAUAUUCUUAGUUUAAUUUUAAUAAAAAUAUCUAUGAAUUAAAAUUUCAAGAUGAUUAAUUAUAAAAUAAUUAAUUUAUAAAAGUGAAAUAAUAUGUAAACUCAUUUUGUUAUAAUAUUCCAUAAAAUAUAUGAAAUUAAAGAAUAAUUAAAUUGUAAUAUAAUUUCAUAUUUCUAUAUAAAUUUAAUUUAUUUUGUUAAUAUUUAUUUUAUAAGAAAUAAAAUAAAAAUCACUAAUAUCAAAUUAAUAUUCAAUUGAAAUUAACUUUGUUUCAAAUUUUUUUAUUUUAUUUUAAGGAAAAAAUUAUAUGGCAAUACAUUUGUAUUAUAGAAUGCACAGUAUGGUACAAAGUUUACUAGAACAAUGAAUAACUGACCAUGCUGGAAAUAGUCCUGUAUUUUUCAGUAAGUGCCUAACUCAAGUCAACAUGAGAUCAUUCCCCACAUUCCGGCGAAGGCAAACUUGAACUUCAUGCUCUUCUGAUCCUGGAAGAAGCUUAGGCACCGUUAUCUCAAACACAGAUCCUGUUCCAUCAUAGUAAGCUUCUAUGUUGACAUCUUCAGAAAACCUUUAUGAUGCCAUGAGUGACGGUAUUCCUCCAUGUAACUUUCACACUGGGAAGAUCAACGAAUGACAGACUGUUAAUGAUCAAGUAACCUUGUUCAUCCUCAUUCUUCAUCAUUCCCAUAAAAGAAAAGGUCCUUUCUUUUUUGCCCGCUAACCCGCAAAAAAAAGUUUGCGGGUUGAUUUUGGUUGGGCUUGGCAGUGAUAACUUGAACUGAAAAAAAAAUAUUAAUGUUUUUGAAUUAACUAUGUUAAUUAUAGUGGUAUUUAUGUUUAAUGUUUUCGAAUUGGCUAUUUUUAAUGUUUUUGAAAUAGAAGAAUAUGGAUAUUUGAUUUUUAUCUUAAUUGAAUUAUUGAUGUUUGACUAUGUUUGAAAUGGAAGAAAAAAAUAUUAAUGUUUGAUAGUAGAAAAUAUAUAGGAUUCAAUUUGAUAAUUUUUUAAGAGCAAAAAGUAAAAAGCAUUUUCAUUGGAUUUCUAAAAAAUAAACCCAAAUGCAGGCUAGCCCGAGCUAACCCUUGUGCGGGGCGAGGCAGAGAAUCUAGCCCGCAUUCAUUAUGCAGGGCGGGCCAAGUGCGGAACGGGCCGAACAACUUUUUUAUCCCUAAUAAAAAUACUAUCACAAAUCACAAUCAUACUAUGAUAACCAUUCACAAGGUGAAAUACUAAUAAUUAUAAUUAUUUAUUAUCUAUCAAAGGCACCAAAAAGUCCUAAACACUCCACAACUUUUAAAAAAAAACUUCUAAUUUAACAUUUGAUACUAACAUCUUACAUAACUUAUCUAGGUUGUACAUUGUCCAACAACUUUGCUCUCGACUGAUAACUAACACUUAUUAGGCACUAAAAAAAUCAGUUUUACACAUAGAACUGUAUCCGUAUUUAAAUUCAACAUUACUUACGGAUUUAUAUUCGUAGGUAAAUUCCACAUUACUCAUAGAUUAUUUCCUCGAAUCUCUAUUAAUAUGUAAAUUUAUCAUUAUCCACAAAUUUAUAUCCGAAGAAAAAAUUAACAUUACAUACAGAUUAUUACUCACUUAUUAUCAAUAAUAAUAUUAAACAUACUAUCAAUAAUCAAAACAAUAAUAAUAUUAAUACUAUUAUUAAUAUUAAUAAUAUGAUAAAUGUCAUUAUUUGGUGAAAUUUCAUUCAAAAAGCUAGACACUUAUGAUUUUAAUUGUUGAUUAAGUUAUCACCCAACUCUAAUUUGUGAAGGAUUGAAUUUAUCAAUAUAUUUUUGAAUCAUAAGAUUAAUGAAAUCAUUUGAUCCCAAUUUUGUGUCAUUUUCAGGAAAUUAAUGAAAGAUGGAGCAAAGGGCUAGAGGAUGAAUAUAAAAGCUUUAGAAGAUAGAAAACAAGGCCUUGGACAUUCAAGAAAUCUCACUCAAGCAAGCCAGUCUCGCCUAGGCGAGAAUUGUCUAGAGGCAACCCUUGUUUCAGUGUUAGACUCGCCCUCCUGAUCUUUGCCCAAGACUCGCUCAAGCAAGAAUGCUCUAAAGGCAACCCUUGUUCCACUGCAUGCUCAACCAAGCUCGCCUGAUCUUCUCCCAAGACUCCGUCCAGCGAGAUUAUUCUCGCCCAAGUGAGAAUGCUCCAGAGACAACCCUUGUUCCAGUGCAGGCUCACCCAAGUGCUCAGGUUUCGCACAUGUCUCGUUUAAGCGAGAAUACUCCAGAGAAAGAAGUGUUUUGGUUCAUGGAUUUUGCUUAAGUGAGAUUUCGCUCGAUUGAUCACUAAUCCAAAGACAAAAAAAUAGUUAUAUACGAAGAAAGAGAGAGAAAAGGGAGUAUUGGAAAACCCUAGAAAUCGUACAUGAAGGAGAAAUGCUCCCAACUCUCUUCUCUUUAUUUCCAUUAUCUUUUGGUGCUUGUAAUGACUACUAUGAGUAGCUAGUUUCCUUUCUUUGAGAUUGAAUGUAAUCUUUUUAAACUCUUAUGUAUUUUGGUGAUAUUUAUAUAUACUUGAUAUGGUAUUUUCAUUUUAUGUUUAAAGCUUGAUUCUACUCUUGAAUAAGAUCCUUGGAUUUGACUGAAAUAUUUAUGAGAAUCUGACCAAAAUGCAAAUACUUUAUAUAUUUUGAUACUAGGAAUAGGUUUUGAUAUAUCAAAUGCUUCAUAACAUCUUUUCUUCAUACUAAGAAGUGUUAAAUAGUUGAGGAAUCAUUGCUUAGGAGAUGCUCUUAAGAAUUUCAUAUUUGAGGAAUCAAUGUGAAUGACUCUUUUUAUUGAUUCAAUAUCAAGUAGUUCAAAGCAUUGUAUGAUUUUAUUUAUCUAAAAGACAAACGAGUGAGACAGAUUAACUUCAAUCUCAAUCUUAUUAACUAAACUCUUAUCAUCAUUUAUUUUGUUUUUAUUUAAUUUUACAAGCUAAAUUCACUCAAACAAUAACAAUAUAUAAUGAAUCAAAUUAGUGUACAUAUUUCUAUAUUUAGUGUGUGUUAUGAAGUAAAUUUUAAGAGAAAUUGUUCCACGGUUUGACAUCUAUCUCUUGAGACAAAAUAUUACAUCUAACUCUGUAGAGUCAACAUAAUACUAAAUAUUAUUAAUUUAUUUACUAAUAUUAUUAAUAUUGUUAUUAAAAUUAUUAAUAUUGUCAUUACAAUUAUUAAUAUUAUUAAAUUAUUAUUAUUAUUAUUAUAAAUAAUAGUAUACUAACGUUAAUAUUUUUAUUAAUAUUAUGAUUAAUAAUAUUAGUAAUAUUUAUAUUAUUGUUAUUUUUAAUGUUAUUAAUAAUAUUAUUAGUAUUAUUAAUAUUAUUAUUAGUAUUAUUAAUAUUAUUAUUAGUAUUAUUAAUAUUAUUAUUAGUAUUAUUAAUAUUAUUAAUAUUAACAUUAUCAUUAAUAUUAUUAUAAUUAAAAUUAUUAAUAUUUUUAACAUUACUUACUGAAAGUUGGAUUCACAUGGUAUUAUCCACGGAUUCACAUCAUCUUAUUCAUGGAUUCACAUCUAUUAUAUGGCAUAUGCAGGUAAUAUUAAAAAUAUUAAAAAUCUUAUUACUUUUAUUAAUAAUAUUUUUAAUAAUAUUAUUAUUAAUAUUAGUAUUUUUUUAACAUUAUUAUUGUAAUUAAUAUUAAUAGUAUUAAAUUAAUAUUACGAUCAAUAAUAUAAGUAUUAUUUAUAUUAUUAUUAAUAUUAUUUUUAAUUUUAUUAAUUUUAUUAUUAAUAUUGUGAUAUUAUUUUUAAUAUAUUAAUAUUAUUGAUAUUAUUAAUAAUAUUAAUAACAAUAAUUAUAAUAAUAAGGAUAAAUAUCACAAAAUAUCAACAUAUAUGAGAUGUCAAGUUAUAUAGUGAUACCUGAAAGUUUUUAUUUAAAUUAUAAUAAUAAUAACAUGAGAAUAAAAUUUACAUGUUCAGUUUGAACGGGAGUGGAUGGGUAAAUAACAAUUUUAUCAUUCAUUUUUUACCUUUUUUUUACAUGAUUUAGCUUAUCAUUAAUUAAAGCCUAAAUACCUAUUUUUAGACAUUUUAUAAUUUAAUACUCAACUAAAAUUUUGUUAAUGUCAAUAAAAGUCAGAAUGGUUUCAUAAGUAAUUAAGUUAAUUUGUAGACAAUUAUUUAUUGCAAUGUUUAAAUUGGUGUAAUGAACUUUAAACUUUAAUGAAUCUUUGAAUUAUUAUGGUUCAAAAUUAAUUGUACUAAAUAUUAAAAUUCACAAUAAUAAUCUAUUAUGCCCGAAUAUAUCCUAGUUGAUCAUGUACCUCCACACUUAAUAUAAUUUGCUUUCAGGAAGAAAAAAAAAUGUGAGUAAUACUUAGACAAAUUUUAAAUAAAUAUACAAAUUAAUAGGAUUUAUUUUUAAAUUGUAUUAGUAUUUUGAAGGACAAAAUUAUAAUUCUGAAACUUUUAUCUAUUUUCAGUCAAAUAACAACAAAUUGGUAAAUCGAAAUUCCCAUAUUUCAAGAUUCACCUUAAAUCUGAUUCUCUUUGGUAUGAAAGAUCUAGUCAUACAUUUUUUAAUUGAAUGUGAAAAGACUACAUGUGUGAAAAGGAAGUAAACAAACCAAAUUUCAACGUUUGAAUAUAAUGAUGCAAGCAAGCGUGAGAAACAAUGCCACCAAAACCUUUUCCUAUUGAAUUGAAGAGAAGAUUUGAGGGAGAAAAUUUAGAAUAAUUUGAGAGGAAAGUGAGUUUGGAUUGGAUAUAUUAAAGUAGAUUUGUGAGAAAAAUUUAUUGAAGUUUGUAAUUGAUGUGAUAUUGGAAAAGAUUUUUUUAGUUUUUUAAAAUGUAUAAAAUAUAAGUUUACAAAUUUCAUAAAUAAUAUUUUUUUUUUAAAUUAUUAAAGAAUUUAUUAUAAAAAAUUUAAAAAUAUAUAUUAGUUUUAAAAUAAAUAAAAUAUUAAAUUAAAUAAAAUAUGUAUUGAUAAUUAAAAUUAAUACUAAUAAUUAAUAAAGAAAUUAUAAGUGUUAUAUAUAUAUUAAAAUAUAGUUUACAUACAUAAUCAUAUAUAAUUUAUUAAUUUAAAAAAAAAAUAGUGUCAAAGUCAUUACAAAUCUUUUCAUAGAGAAAGAAAAAGUUUUAAAGCAAAAAGUUGCAUAAUGUAUUUUCAUUCUCUUUUCUUUUCGUUUUUCCAACUUUCUUCUAUUCUUCCCUUUUCCACACGCCCUUAAUAUUUUGCUUAUUUAAGAAUUCAAACAAACUUUUAAGAAAGUCAAAUAAGUUACCAUUUAAUUUAUAAAUAUUUUAUACAAACUUUUAAAUUAGCCCAGUACAUAUUUAAUGAAUAUAAUUAAUGUUUCUAUAAGUUAAUUUAAACUUUUUACUAUCACUUUAAUUACUAUCUUUCAUUAAUUUAUAAUAAAUUAUUAAAAAUACUUUACCUCUUAUUUUUGUACGAUUAAAUAUGUUUUUACCAUAUAUUAUAACACAGAAUUUAUGUAAUAUAAAAUAAUAUUUUUUUUUCAAGAAAACUAUCAAAUAAAUUUUUACUAAUUUUUUUUAUAAUAACAAAUAAAUUUUUAACGUGGAUUCUAUUAUAUUAUAAUAUUUAUUUUAAUUAUGAGUUAUUUUGAAAUAUUUUAAUAUUUUAAUCUAUACUAGAAAUGUUCCGGUAAAAAGAUUUAUUACUUAUUCUAAUAGUUUUCUUAAUACAAUUACAGAAAAAGUUUAAAGUUAAAGGAAAGUCAAUUUAACAUAAAAGAAAAAAAAUAAAAUAUAUAUAUAUAUAUUUAACUUUAUUUAUAAAUCUAAAGUUUUAACUAGAACUAAAAUUAAUUUAACAUAAAAAUAAAGAGAGAAAAAAUAUAUUUAACCUUACUCAUAAUUGAUAAUUUUUUACAAUACAUUACAGUUAUUUUUUUUUUUAAUAAAAGAUCAUUAAGAGUAACACUCAAUAUAUCCUUUCUUUGUUAAGGUAGAAAACGGUUUUUAUUAUCAAUCGAAUAAGCGUUUUUUAUCAUUAAAUAAAGAAAUUAAAGGUUAUAAAUAGUAAGAUAACUUUAGUAAUUGGUAACAUUAUUUUAUAGAUUUAAUAAAAUCAAGUAAGUAAUUGUUUCUAUUAUUGAUAUGCAUAAUUAUAUUAGAAGUGACUAGUUUUAAUAAUUGGGGAAGGAAUAAUAAACGAGGUUAAUAUUUGAUUAAAUAAACAAAACAAAUUUCCUUUUAAAAUUGUAGAAAAAAAAGCAGUGUAGUCUUGGGAUUUUCAAACUACAAGUAUAAGUAGUGUUGGUCUUAGGUUGUUGGAGAGAGAAACAGCAUCAGUGUUAAAAAGUAUACUGUUCGAGAGAAAGACCAUCUUCUCCUUUCUAUCUUCUGCAGCGUGUAAGAAUUUUUCUUCUCUUUAACUUCUUUCCAUCUAUGCUUGUGCCUUUCUCCAUUUCUCCAUUUUAAGCCUUAGUUAUCUGAAUUUUUCUUGGGUUUUUAGUCUUGAACAAAUCUUUUUCCCUUUUUGUGUGUUGUAUUGUAUGAAUAAUUUUAUGGCAAUGGGGUGUACUUGGUUUUUCUGUGGGCAGCGAAGAGGCAGUGAUGAGUUCAAGUACCAAAACGUUUACCUUUGAGGAGGUGGCUAAGCACAAUCACAGGAAGGAUUGUUGGAUUAUAGUCAAAGGGAAGGUCAGUUUUUGUGAUCUGGAUUCUGUUUAUUUUAUCAUUUGAUUCUAGAUCUGUUUUCAUUAGUUCGAUCUUUUAUUUUUCCUUGGAUGAAUCUGAUGUGUGAAUAAUCUAUGGAUGAAUGUUUAGGACUUUAUCUUACUUGAUUUGACUGAUCCUGGGGAGUUUCCUAAUUUUCCUCAUACAGAGGGUUCGGUUUAUUGAAAAACAAAAACUGGCUAUGGUUUUGAACAAAAACCGUUGAUUCAAUCCCUGUUGUGUUAACCAUAUUGCAGUUAUAGCUCUUAAAUAUAUAUCCUUAUAUACCCUCUGUAACAUACGUUUACGCAACAAUAUAGAAUACUUUCUCUUUCUUUCUCUCUCUUACUUACGCUUCAUGCAUUGCACUUAUACAAACAUGGUAUCAUGAGCAAAUCUUAAGUUUUUUUUCCCGUCAUGGCUACUUCACCGUCCACUCCUGAGUCAUCUUCUACGUCUUCUCAUCGCUCUCUUCCUCUGGCCAUGACCUCCAUUCAUCAGUUUACAACACCGAUCACGCUUAAACUAGAUGAAGAUAACUACCUUCUUUGGAAACACCAGGUUCUUGCUUCCAUUCGAGGACUCAAACUGAGUCAUUUUCUUGCCGGUACCAAUGUCCUGUCCACAACUGCUUCUUCCGCUGCAGAUAGUUCUUCCCCUUCUGAUGACUCUUUACGCUAUCAACAACAAGACCAGCUUAUCAUCGCUUGGCUUCUUGCAUCAAUGUCUACACCCAUUCUUACCAACGUAGUGGGUCUUGAUACAACUGCAGAUAUUUUGCGCACCUUGAAACUCAAUUUCCUCUCAUCUCGGCCAAGUUCACGAAACUCCAAGCUUCAGUUAAAGACUCUCAAGAAUGACAGAUCUAUUUCCNNNNNNNNNNNNNNNNNNNNNNNNNNNNNNNNNNNNNNNNNNNNNNNNNNNNNNNNNNNNNNNNNNNNNNNNNNNNNNNNNNNNNNNNNNNNNNNNNNNNNNNNNNNNNNNNNNNNNNNNNNNNNNNNNNNNNNNNNNNNNNNNNNNNNNNNNNNNNNNNNNNNNNNNNNNNNNNNNNNNNNNNNNNNNNNNNNNNNNNNNNNNNNNNNNNNNNNNNNNNNNNNNNNNNNNNNNNNNNNNNNNNNNNNNNNNNNNNNNNNNNNNNNNNNNNNNNNNNNNNNNNNNNNNNNNNNNNNNNNNNNNNNNNNNNNNNNNNNNNNNNNNNNNNNNNNNNNNNNNNNNNNNNNNNNNNNNNNNNNNNNNNNNNNNNNNNNNNNNNNNNNNNNNNNNNNNNNNNNNNNNNNNNNNNNNNNNNNNNNNNNNNNNNNNNNNNNNNNNNNNNNNNNNNNNNNNNNNNNNNNNNNNNNNNNNNNNNNNNNNNNNNNNNNNNNNNNNNNNNNNNNNNNNNNNNNNNNNNNNNNNNNNNNNNNNNNNNNNNNNNNNNNNNNNNNNNNNNNNNNNNNNNNNNNNNNNNNNNNNNNNNNNNNNNNNNNNNNNNNNNNNNNNNNNNNNNNNNNNNNNNNNNNNNNNNNNNNNNNNNNNNNNNNNNNNNNNNNNNNNNNNNNNNNNNNNNNNNNNNNNNNNNNNNNNNNNNNNNNNNNNNNNUGAAAAUUGCUCAUAUAGGUUCUGCUUCAUGUAUAUCAUCUACCUCAUGUACUUCUUUCUCUUUACAUGAUCUCCUACAUGUUCCUAACAUUACUAAAAAUUUGCUCAGUGUUUCCAAGUUUGCUCGGGAUAACAAUGUAUUUUUUGAAUUUCAUCCUCAUUCUUGCUAUGUUAAACACCAGGUAACCAAACAGAUUCUUCUACAAGGCACUCUUAAAGAUGAUCUCUAUAUCUUCCCUGACCUACGCUCCACUGUUUUUUCUGCUAACUACACUUCUUUCAAAUCUGCAAAGCCUCCUCUUCAUCUUUGGCAUAAUCGGCUUGGGCAUUGUAGUUUUUCUGUGAUCAAAACUAUUCUCAAACAUUGUGACAUUUCGUGUAAUGCAAAACCGAUUUUCUGUGAUGCUUGUGUUAAGGGCAAAGCCCAUCAAUUGCCUUUCUCUUUAUCUACAACUGUGUAUCAUCAUCCUUUAGAAUUGAUCUAUAUUGAUAUUUGGGGACCUUCUGCUGUUUGUGCUAACAAUGGUGCCUCAUACUACAUUUCGUUUCUCGAUGCAUACUCAAAAUACACAUGGAUUUAUCUCUUGCAUACUAAAUCUCAAGCUCUUGCUGCUUUUGAACGCUUCAAACUCUUCUCUGAAAAUCAAACUGGUUUUAAAAUAAAAACCAUCCAAACAGAUAAUGCAAAAGAAUUUGUUGUUUUUAACACCUUUUUACUCAAACAUGGUAUACAACAUCGUUUCAUAUGCCCUCACACUCAUGAACAAAACGGUGCUAUCGAAAGAAAACAUAGGCAUAUUACUGACAUGGGGUUAUCUAUGCUUGCUGCUGCUUCUCUCCCUGUGAAAUUUUGGGUUGAAGCUUUUAUUACUGCCACCCAUAUAAUCAAUGUUCUCCCUUCCAUUGUUUUAAAGGGUCAAACUCCGUAUGAACUUUUGCUUAAGACUAAACCUGACUAUACCAAAUUUAGAUCUUUUGGAUGUGCUUGCUACCCUCUUAUGCGUCCCUACAACAAACAUAAACUGGAUUUUCGUUCUGCAUGCUGUUUAUUUCUUGGCUAUAGCUUACACAACAAAGGUUACAUCUGUCUGUCUUCCUCUGGCAAAACUUUUAUUUCCAGGCAUGUGGUUUUUAAUGAAGAUGUUUUUCCAUAUUCUAACCCUCAAUAUGGUUUUUUACCUGCUCUGUCAACUCCUUCUAUUUCUCCUCCUAUACAUCCUACUCUAACAGUUUUAUCUUCACCCACUCACUCCACCGUCGCUCCUUCUGCAUCUCUGCCGACCUCCUCCCUGCAUCUUCAACAAUCUUCUUCUUGUUCCACUGCUCCCAUCACACGUAAUAGCUCACCCACUCACAAUAUUCACCCAAUGAAAACCAGAGCNNNNNNNNNNNNNNNNNNNNNNNNNNNNNNNNNNNNNNNNNNNNNNNNNNNNNNNNNNNNNNNNNNNNNNNNNNNNNNNNNNNNNNNNNNNNNNNNNNNNAUAGACUCUGGUUCUCCUGAACCUACUACUGUAGCUGCAGCCUUCGCAUCCCCCCAGUGGACUCAGGCAAUGAAUGAUGAAUAUCGUGCUCUUAUCACAAAUGGCACAUGGACUCUGACUUCACUACCUCCGGGUGCAAACCUUGUUGGCUGCAAAUGGAUUUUUAAACACAAGUUCAAUGCUGAUGGUUCCUUUCAGAGACACAAAGCCCGGUUGGUGGCGAAGGGGUACAGCCAAUCUGAGGGUCUAGAUUACUCUGCAACCUUCAGCCCAGUAGUUAAACCUACUACCAUACGGGUUGUGCUUGCUCAUGCUGUUUCGUCUCACUGGCCCAUUCAUCAAAUCGACAUUAACAAUGCUUUUCUCAAUGGUGACCUACAUGAACAUGUGUACAUGCAGCAACCUCCAGGNNNNNNNNNNNNNNNNNNNNNNNNNNNNNNNNNNNNNNNNNNNNNNNNNNNNNNNNNNNNNNNNNNNNNNNNNNNNNNNNNNNNNNNNNNNNNNNNNNNNNNNNNNNNNNNNNNNNNNNNNNNNNNNNNNNNNNNNNNNNNNNNNNNNNNNNNNNNNNNNNNNNNNNNNNNNNNNNNNNNNNNNNNNNNNNNNNNNNNNNNNNNNNNNNNNNNNNNNNNNNNNNNNNNNNNNNNNNNNNNNNNNNNNNNNNNNNNNNNNNNNNNNNNNNNNNNNNNNNNNNNNNNNNNNNNNNNNNNNNNNNNNNNNNNNNNNNNNNNNNNNNNNNNNNNNNNNNNNNNNNNNNNNNNNNNNNNNNNNNNNNNNNNNNNNNNNNNNNNNNNNNNNNNNNNNNNNNNNNNNNNNNNNNNNNNNNNNNNNNNNNNNNNNNNNNNNNNNNNNNNNNNNNNNNNNNNNNNNNNNNNNNNNNNNNNNNNNNNNNNNNNNNNNNNNNNNNNNNNNNNNNNNNNNNNNNNNNNNNNNNNNNNNNNNNNNNNNNNNNNNNNNNNNNNNNNNNNNNNNNNNNNNNNNNNNNNNNNNNNNNNNNNNNNNNNNNNNNNNNNNNNNNNNNNNNNNNNNNNNNNNNNNNNNNNNNNNNNNNNNNNNNNNNNNNNNNNNNNNNNNNNNNNNNNNNNNNNNNNNNNNNNNNNNNNNNNNNNNNNNNNNNNNNNNNNNNNNNNNNNNNNNNNNNNNNNNNNNNNNNNNNNNNNNNNNNNNNNNNNNNNNNNNNNNNNNNNNNNNNNNNNNNNNNNNNNNNNNNNNNNNNNNNNNNNNNNNNNNNNNNNNNNNNNNNNNNNNNNNNNNNNNNNNNNNNNNNNNNNNNNNNNNNNNNNNNNNNNNNNNNNNNNNNNNNNNNNNNNNNNNNNNNNNNNNNNNNNNNNNNNNNNUGUCCUACUCUCAGCAAAUCCCAUUCUACACUCAAAAACGAAACAUUUUGAGUUAGAUCUCCAUUUUGUUCGUGAUCACAUUCAACACCAACGUGCAUGCCUCACCCAUAUUCCAGCUAGAUUCCAAGUUGCUGAUAUUCUCACAAAACCCAUUUCGGGUGCAAGUUUCACUACCUUUAGAGAUAAACUUAUGGUUUUGGAUAAUCCAACCCUAAGUUUACGGGGGGCUGUUAACCAUAUUGUAACUGUAUAACUGUUGCAGUUAUAGCUCUUAAAUAUAUAUCCUUAUAUACCCUCUGUAACAUACGUUUACGCAACAAUAUAGAAUACUUUCUCUUUCUUUCUCUCUCUUACUUACGCUUCAUGCAUUGCACUUAUACAAACAUGUUGUGCUUGGCAUUUAGAUUUUAGAAUUUUGAUAUAAAAGUAAUCAAAAUUCUUUCAUUUCAUCAAUUAAAUCCCUAACCAUGGUUUGUACAACAGUAAUUUAUGCUUCCUACAAUAAUAAACAGGGAUUCUCAUACAAGGAUUCUGAACACCUUAUGAUAACUGAUAAUAGCUCUUACUGAUUAACCAGAUUAAUUUAGCAUACUCAUCAUGGGAAACCCAAAAGCCCAACACAAUGCAAAUGGGUUAAGUGUUUAUACUAGCUCAAUAAUAAAACAAAUCUCUUGUGGGAAAAUGGCUAAAAUGUUUGAUUAAUUGAAGAGUUGCAUUGUGAUUGCUGAAAUCGUGUAAAAUUGUGGGAAAAUGCUUGACGUGGCUGCAACUGUGGUAGUGAAGAGUGCUUAGAGCAUCUCUUACCCAGAACCAAAAAUAGUUAAGCAUAAUUUUGUGAAUCCUACAUUGCCAUCUAGGAUACUAAGAACCUUUUUGUUUUGUCUUUUCUCUCCAGUGUUAAGAACUCAUUUGAAGUUCUUCAUCUACCUCAUCUCCUUCCCUUUCUCUUUCUCAGCUCUCUCAUCUCCUUCCCUUUCCCUGUUCUUCAGAGUUCUUGGGUCAAGAACAAUUGUUCCAGCUUGGAGAACUUUCAUCUAGUCCAACCAUAGUUCUUCUAAGAACAAUUCUUAGGUUGAAGAACCCAACAAUAAAGAUGGUCUUAGGGGGUGCACUUAAAACUACUCUUCUGGACUCAAACACUAUAAGCAUAUAUAACUAGACUAGAUUCAAUUUUAUAAGAUUUUUUUAAUGAUGCAAAUUCUUUCCUUGUGAAAUUCAUUGAAAAACGGAUAAAUCAGAGGGCUCGCAGUGGUAAUAUGGUAUUUAAUGAUUUAGAAAGUUGUUUGGGCAUAAUUAAAAGACAUUUAUACCAUUUGUAAAAUAUGGAUUGUCUUUUAUUUAUUUUCUCAUUUUGGCUUUAUAGCAUCUGCAAAAACACAACUAUGUACAAUUAUUAUAUUCUUAAUUUUGUUGAGGGCGGCAACUGUUGGAAUUUGAAGUUCAAUUUUAUCUCAAACUAUUUCUGUGAUAAAACUGUCACCGGAUUAGUCAUUGAACAUGAAUGAGAUAGCAUACUCCUGGUUGGUAAGAGGCUAUAUAUCGAUGCUUGUUUGUCUUGCUAUGAUCUGGUGAGUCUUUUCACAAAGUGACAUUGAUGUGAAGUUUAUUUUUAUUAAAGGAUAGGAUUCUCCUGUCUAAAUAUGUGGAAGUUAAAUGAGUUAUUUUUCAAGUGCUCAUUACAUAUUAUCAUAAGACUACCUGAGUUAACAAGCUUCAUAAACUAAUAUAUUAUCCCCUAUCGAGAAGAAGAUUUUGCUUUCUAAAUUCUAGUUGCUAGAACAAGUUGCUUGUGUGAAAUGUUCCAUUGCAUUUUAAUUAGUCUCUACAACUUUUUGCUUUUUAUCGAAAGAACAAAUGUUAUUAAAGAAAAUACAAACUCUUUCAGAAAAGGGAAAACAAUGAAAGAAGAAAGUCUUCAGACAACGUUUCCAGCAAUGAAUCUGAGCCAAAAGAAUCCCUACCUCUCCAGGUCUCAUAGACCUCUAAUCUUCCAAAGCUUCAUAUAAACAGCUUAUUCAAAGCUUGCAAAAGGGAACGAUCACCUUCCUCUUUAAGAACUUUACAUGGUAUCAUAUAUUAAUGACUCCAUCAACAAACACCUCUGCAUCCAUCACACCCUCUUCAAGCACUCAGAAUCUCAAUCCUUCAAAAGUACCUCCACUUCUUCUCAUAACCAUCUCUUGUGAUUUCUGGUAUUGAAAAAACUAUGUUGCUAAAACUCUUGAUUUCAAUUUUCGAAGACUCUCUGGAAAUCAUUUCCUCUCUUUUCAUAAAGCCUAUAAUGUUUUCAAUCCUAUUGAGGGAUGCCACACCCCACCACCAGCUCUAUCUAAUCAGGAUGACAUCGAUUCUUCCCUUCCUACGUAUCAGUAAAAGAAAA